rnacentral:lncRNA from 1 species
UUUUAUACAAAUAAUAAGGUGAAAUGGCGUCACAACUAUCCCAAAAAAGAAAAACAAAAAAAGAAGAAGAAAGCUUCAUUAAUUGUCAGAUAUGAGAUUUAAUUAUUUUACUUAUGAUCAGAAAGCUUCAUUAAUUGUCAGAUAUGAGAUUUAUAUCCUCAACCGGAUCCUCCCUUACAUUAACCGGGCAAAUUUUUUUAGUGUAUCUCCAAUUGCAUAACGACAAAACAAUUCCUGCAAAUACACAAACCAUGAUUAUACACUCUUUAAUAAACUUAUUAUGAUUUUAGUCUCAUUUAUUUUAAUAAAAAUAGUAUAAAAUAACAUAAUAUCUCAUUACAAUUUUAUUAUCAGACAAUCAUUAUAAAAUUAAUCAUUUAACAAAUUUAAGAAUAAACAUGGAUAUUAAUUGUUGGUUGUGAUUCAAAAUUUUUAAUUUGGUAAAGUCCCACAUUGUCUAUUUUGAAAACUAUUCAUGUGUAUAUUAGUGUAUUAUAAGUGUAUUAUAGUCUUAGGUUUAGUAACAUGGUUGAGAAAAAAUUGAUGGACACACGCACAUGAGGAUGCAUGGCUAAGAAAUUGGGAUGCGAUAAGUUUGGAUCUUAGAAUUUUGGCCAAAAAACCUUAAUACAAUGUUCAUAUUUUUUACGGUUCUGUUCAUCCUUUUUUCCUAUAAAUACCAGUCUGAUCUUAGGAGUUAAUACACUUACAAAAUUAUUCUUCUUUUUAAUAUAUACAUUGUUACUAUUUUCUGGGCAAUUCACAAAGAUAAGUCCAAAAUCUUCUUCUAUAAGUACACACAAUUGGAGGCUUCGUCAUUGAAUCCUGAAGAGUGGACGCUAGAGCUAAUCUAUACCAAAUGUUAUAACUAGUGAGACCAAAAUUAUUUUUUAGAACAAUAGUUUUGCUACGCCUCGAUUUCAGUUUUAAUUUUACUGUUUGUUCGUCUUGUUAAUUAAUACUGCAAAUUUUUAAUAUAUAUGUAUCCUUAAGCUCUGUCAAUUUUGCUUGGUAGCUUUUUUUUAAUGGCCUUUACUUUGGAGGGAUGUUAGCACAAGCACAAAAAUAAUUAUAUAAUCGAUAUUAAGAAUCUCUCAAUGACAAUAUUGAUAAAACUCAUUCUAUGGAUGAAAAUUUAAACCUCACAAUAUGGACGAAAUUAACUCCACAAUAAGAAAAAAAUAAAGUCUCACAAAAGAUGAAAGACAGUGCCUGGAUAUGUUAUAUUUAGAUUGAAUGAAUGAAAUAAAAAAUAGUAUAUAAUAUAUUGUUUAUAUGGGAAGUGAUUCAUAACUUGCGUUAGUUAUGAGCACUAUUCAAGUUAACUCAUUUUUUACAGUCCAAUAGAAGAUCUAAAUAUUUGGUUGGGACCGGUCUCUACUCUCUUAUGGUCAGCCAAUUUUUUUUAUGUUGAUCGUUACAUGAAAAGUCGUAGAAAUUAAUUAUGGAACUUAAAGUAAUUAUAAUUUAAAUUACAAAAAUAUAGCUAAUUAAUACUUCACUCGCUAAUUGGUUCACAAAUAUAAAGAAUUAUAAAAUUAGUAGUAGACUAAUAUAAAGAAUAGUACUUGACUAGGUAAUUUAGGAAUAGUAGUUGAUUACGUAAUUUAUUUAUGGGUAGAAAUAUAAUAUAAACUCAAUCACAAAUGUUGGGAGAAAAAAAAAAUACAAACUCACAAAUGUUGAGAACUGAACUUGAAACCAUCAGUCUUAAAUCAUGCUAAGAUCUCAUUGACAGAUCAUUCAUUUUGUUGAAUAGAGGGAGUAAUGUAUUUUGAAGACACACACACACACACACACACACACACACACACACACACACACACACAUAUAUAUAUAUAUAUAUAUAUAUAUAUAUAUAUAUAUAUAUAUAUAUAUAUAUAUAUAUAUAUACAAGUUUACAACAUAAUUAUGAUCAAUUAUGCAUGUAAAUAUGUAUAGAAAUAGUGCACUAAGAACACUUACCAAAAACUUGAACAACAACUAGGAAUCCAAUGUUGGUUGAAGCCAUAUUCCUUCUUUUAAAUUAGGAUGAGUUUUGGCCAUUGCGUCCAUUACUUGUAGGGAAAUUUUUUUUAUGAAAAAACGCGUGACUGAAUUUUUCAAAGUCUUCGUAAUUAAGAAAAAACGUGUGGAUGAGUUUUGGCCAUUGCGUCCACUUAAUUAUUGGCCGGAUGAUACUCAAAGUCAAAGUCUAUUUAGUCGUUUAAUUUAAUUAUAUAGUUGGAGACUUGGAGUGCCGGUCAUUGGUGGUAUUAGUCAAAGAAUACUCUCAGGUCACUUUAGUUAAUGCCUUUGUGCCCAAAUAGAGAAAAAUAUAACUUGUGUAGACACCCAAAAUUUAUGUUUUGCAAUUAAAAAUAACAAAGUACCAAAAGAAAAAUAAAAAAUAAGAAGCUGAAAAUUAGAAAAAACAUAAUUUUACGGUUUGAAUUGAAAAAACAGGAAGACCUGAGGGGAAGGAGAGAUAUGACCUAAGAGAGUAUGUGUGGGCCUUGGGGAGUGGGGGCUUGUAACACCACACAAUCCUAUAUCGAUAGAUAUAAAAAGAAAAUUAUUUGUAUAUAAAGAAUUAAAUAUUUAUUAAUAGUACCUUCAGUUAUGACCUUUCGGGUGAGCAUAUAGUGGGUUAAGAUAGUCCAAUAAGAUAUAAUUAGACCACCUGAAACACUAUUAGACCAAUAAUUUAAGAUUUUAUUUGAACUUAAGAUUUGAUCCAAAUUAUUUCAGAGCUCUUAAAGCCAUCAUCCUGAUGGCGGCUCGACCCUUGAAUUCCCAAGAAAUUAAACCUUUAUUUCUUCCUCUAUAUAUGUUUUGAGAGAGCAUAUAACUUUAAUUAAACAAGUCACAAGUCGAGUUAAUUUGAGUUGGAUAUAACACUCUCCUUUAGUUGAAUGAUCAUGAUUCUUUUUGUAACGAUCUCAAAAUUAGGACAAUUUCCAUUUCCGAUUUUGGUCGUUAAAAAUACAUUUUCAUUCUAGGUUUACAACGCUAAUCAAUAUUAUCAUUGAUAAAAUGCGUAUAAAUUUAAAAUUUCAAUGAUUUUCUUUCUUAUUACCUAAAUCGUAACCUUUACAAUUCAUCUUAUUUCAAAAUCAAAUAUAUGUUAUGAUUUAUCUUCCCUACAUUAAAUAUAAGUAUUUAAAAAAAAUCGACCUUCAAUACGUACACCAUUCUUUUAUACCUUUAUAACAAAAAUUUAACAAUCAUAUAUUUCAUAUAUAUUAUCUCUUUUACACCGCUGUCAUCAAACCAGUUACCAAGUAACUGUACAACUAUAUCUCAUAUUCCAAGACAAAUAUUCGUUAUUUUACAACUCAAAGUUUAUACAAUUUUGCUCAUGUACAUUACAAUUACAAGAAUCAUUUUAUCUUAAUAUAAAUCUAACUAAGGAAAAUAAUAAAAAAAAUUCAAUUCGUAUCAUGCUUGAAGUCCUUAUCGCCAUGUUAACUAGAGCAAUUCAUCUUUAAGCUGCAAAUAUAAUUAUUUAAGUAUGAGCGGGAUGGCUCAACAAGUCCAACAGUUUAUACAAUUCAUGUUUCACGUAACAAUUAUGCUCUAUAAUCUAUUCAAUGACAUUCAUUUCAUUUUAUGCAUUUCAUAAAUGUAAGACCCUAACUUUUAAUGAAUAAAGAUUUAAUUUUCUCUAAAUAUUAUUCUAAAUAGUAAGGUGAUAAUUUAAUAAAUGCUAUAGUUAUGGGUGAUAUGUGCAAAUUUUACAAAGUAAGCAAGCUGUUAUAAAAUAUUCGUUUUGUCGGGAAAUAUUUGUUUGAUGGAGGAAUAUUCUUUUUGUCGGAGAAUAUUCGUACGACGGCGCAAUCAUUGGUGGACUCCACAACAGAAUAACUAUUGGAUAUAGAAAGCGACAAAAAUAACAUUUUUAUAAAAAUAACGGCAAAACUUUUACUGUUAAAAUGUUGAAAUACCCGGUGAUAAAAAAUAUAGUAAUACGCGUUGUUGCACUGCACACGGUAUUGCACAAUAUCUCUGGUUAUUGAUGCUUACGUAAGAAGUCACUCAGUUUCAUUCAAUAAUUGUCACAGUAGUUGCUGCAUAGUAUCUCAUAUUAUUGAUUCAAUUAUUAUCACAGUAUCAUAUGUACAAUAUUUUAUAUUAUUAAAUCAAUAAUUGACACGACACAAUUAUUCAUAUAAAUAUUUGUACUAUUGACAAUGUCUAGAAAGUUCUGUCGAGGAAAGGGGUAAGGUUAUUUAAUUGUGCGCCAAUAAGAAGAAAUCCUUAUCAGAAAGCCCCCUCUUUCCUGGAAACGAUCUGGUUUUGCCAAUAUUGUGAGUUAUAAUAUUAAUGAUGAAUAAUUGUUGAAAGAUUAAAAAUGUGUUGAUUGAAGAUAAGUGAAUUAUGGUAAAUAUUUAUUCAAUUUUUGAUAUAAAUAGAGGGGUUGUCAUGAGACUUUUGUUAUAAAUUUGGCUUAUUCUAUGGGACCCAUAGGUCAUCAUCUAAGAGUCACUUUCACCAAUAGUACUUACCUUUCACAUUACAAGCGUCAAACCACUUCCUUUUUCACAUUACAGGCGUCAAACCACUUGCCUUUUCACAUUACAUGCGUUAAACGACUUGCCUUUUCACAUUACAGGCGUCUUUGCCUCUUCGCAUUGCAAGGUCCAAGCUAGAAUUCUUCUAUAAAUAGAAGCUCAUUUCUUCCUUCAUUCUUACCAAUUCACGAAAGCUAUAGAGAGAGAAACUAUAGAAAGAGAAUAAGAGAGAAAGAAGAAGAUCGAGUAUUCGAGAAGCAAACACACACCACCAACACAAAGUUCUGUUACCACACUAGUGCAAUAUCUAGUCUUUUAUUAUGGUAAGGGGUGUUAUUUUCUUUCAAUACUCGUAAAGGAUGUUAUUUUCUUCAUACUCAUAAGGGUUGUCAUUCCAUUCUUUAUUAAUCUGUGGGAAUAACAUGUCUACGCGGAUUACUGCAUGCCUGGUGAAUAACCAUUCGUAUUCAUUUUUUUAUUAAUUUGUGGGUAUAUUUUGUCUAUGCGGAACCACAUGCCUGGUGAAUAACCCUUUGUAAUCAUUCUUUAUUAAGUUGUGGAAAUGAUCUGUCUACGCGGAUUAUCGCAUGACGGGUAAAAAUCCAUUUGCAGUUUCGUAUAUUCUUUCAUACUAGCUUGUAUUGGAUAUUAUUUCUUUUGUACUCGUCAAGGGAUAUCGUUUUCUUUCACAUUUCUCCAUUUAUGGUACAAAAUUAUUGUUUAUUUCCAUAACUUUAUUAUUAAAUGGUGAAAAUCCCUGAAAUUAGUAGAAUAUCCUUAAUAGUAUGUGUUUCAUCUAAUAUCAUUUCACUGAAAUAUUGGUCUGAAUAUUUUUAUUAAAUUUUAAUCUAUUCAUACGGGGUACUAUUCAUUCGCGGUACUAUUCACGAAGAAAAUUAGUUUCUUUUUUUGUCCAAUUAUCUUUGAAAUUUGAAUCUUAAAUAUCAUUUAUUAAAUUUUACUCCACAAUUGGUGAUCAUGUUGACAAUUUGGAUAUUUUUGAACUCGGGAUAAAUUAAAUUAUAAAUCUCUAAUAUUUGUCAUUGAUCUCACUUAAUUCAUUCUUUAUAUCAUUGUCAUCAUCCUCAUGCUUAUGUUAUGGUGAAAGUCAUCUUUUACCCGUAGUACAAAGAUGGACUGUUGAUUGGUAUGAUUAUGACCAGAUAUUAUGUAUUGGUAUAAUCAUGACCUUUAAUGUUACAAAUAAAGGUUUGUGGUGAAAGUCCUCUUUAUCCCGUAGUGCAUAGAUGGACAUGUGUUUGACAUGAUCAUGACCACUGGUGAUAUAAACGAUUAUCGUUGGCCCGUAAUGCAUAGAUAAUUCUUUGAUUGGAAAUUAUUAUUGAUUGGUGUUACAGGGAUAAAAUAUUAAUGAUGAACUUUUAAAUCAUAAAAUAUAGUAGACAUCAUGAUCUACUUGACUCUUCUAAUGGAUUGUUAUUUUCAUUGCAAUUGUUGAUCCAAAACUUGUUGUCUAUUGUAUUCUAUCAGAUUUUUCCCUGUUGAAGACUAAUGAUAAUUUGUUCUACGUAUAUUAUCUUAGUCAUAAUAUUCUUUACUAGGCUAGUUGAACUCACCCUUUUUCUUUUUGUCCUGUUGUUCUUCUCAGGAAAUGAAAGUGUAGCUGGAACUAGUCGGGGAGUGGAGUAAUGGUCCGAGAUAGUUACUACAGAAGUCUUCACUAUGUUGUGAAAUAGUGUGAUAAUAACUAUAAUGAAGACUUAAUUUGAGUUUGGAUAUUGUCGUAUUAUGUACCGUGCAAUAUUUGUAUUCAAAUUCCCAGCUUAUGUGUUGUCGUAUUUUGCACGAAAGUUUAAUAAUUUUAAAUAUGGAAGUUUGUACCAUGUAUUUUGGUGACUCAAAAUAGGUUGUGUGAACCUAUUUUGGGGGCGUCACAAUAAAUGCAACAUAAAGCUCAUGUAAUGCAUUUAAAUAAAUAUGCAAUUUAUAUUUCAUGUUGUGCAUCAAAUACACAUUUCUCAGUUUACAUACAUUGCAUCUAAUUUUAAACAUUUAAUACAUGAAUUCCAUAUAAACAUAUAACCAAAUUCGCACAUAGCAUCGAAUUCCAUUAUCUAGCACAUAUCGAUAAUUUAAAUAUCACAUUAUCGUAUAAUCAACCAGUUCGCAUACUACUAUAAGAACUUUCCUCGAUAUUCGUUCAUUGUUAUACAUUCAUCUAGGACUCAUUGCGUAAUUGUGACAACCCAGAUUUUUGCAAGAAAAUAUUAAAAUAAGAAUUUAAUAAAUAAAAUUCUUAUUAUGAGAUGUGCCGAGUUUGAAUGUUUAAAUAUAUGUGUUAUACAUAUAUGUAUGUGAUUUAUAUGGAGAAUUUAAUACGUAUAUAUAAGAGUGAAAUAUAUAUAUAUAUAUAUAUAUAUAUAUAUAUAUAUAUAUACAUAAAUUUGGAAAUUAAGCUUUAAUAGUUGAUUAAACUAUUAAGUUAGUUAGUUUGAGCUAAGUACGAAGUAAAAGAUGUAAGCAAGGAAAAAACAAUUAAUAUUAAUUAAUUGAGAUUUAAGAUAAAGAAUAUAUUAUGAGUAAUAUAAUUUUAGAAUUAAGUCUUGAACGACAAUGGUGUUAUUGUGAAUUAAAUUUCAUAAGUGAAAUGAUUAAUUCAUUUAAUUAAAAUAAUGAAUUAAUGUAUGUAUUUUGUAUAAAGAAAAUAAUUAUAUUAAUUAAAUAUAGUAUUCUUAAUAUAUAACAUAUCAAUGUAAUAUAUGAAAUGGUUUAGUAUCUUUAAUGAUGCCAAUUGAAUAUAAAUUAAACAUGAGAUGUGAUAAUUAGUUCAUUAUUUUAAAAUGAGUGAAUUUAAAUAUUCAUUUUGAUGAAUAAAAAUAAAGAAUAUAUGUUAUUUUCUUUAAAUUAUAAGAACUAUGUUAUAUAUAUAUAUAAUGAUAUAAUAAUUAUAUUAUAAUAAUGGAAUGAGAAGAAAAAAUAUGGAUGGGGGACCAAUAUAUAUAAAUGAAUAUUUGUGUUGAAUUAAAUUAACAUUUAACUUAUAGUUAAAUGUAUUACAUUGAUAUAUGUAAUAUAUAUAGGCUAUGACAUGCGAAUUGGACUGAGUAUAGAAUUAGUACUCAGCUUUCUUAUAGUGUAUGGGGGGAAAGUAACGUAUUUGAGCUCUCAAUUUCUCAGACCCUUCCUCUCCCAAAAUGCUCAGGAAUUUAUAUUGAUAUAUCUCAUUUGGCUAUUCUUCAUACAUCUCAAUUGAAAGUCUAUAAGAGAUAUAGAGAGAGAAAUGAGUUUGCAAUGGAAGUUGAAAGAAAACUUUGAAAGUUCUGAUAAUUCACAAAAGAACUGAUGAUUUAAGAAGGAUUGGAUCAAGGAUUAAGCAGGAAUUAGAGCUCAAAAGGUAAUGUUUCAUCUCUGACAUAUGAAUUGGAGAGGCUCAUAAGCAAUUAAAGUAAUUAUGUAUUUAUAAUUGGUAGAAAAGUAGAGAUGGAUAUUGGUUGUGUUAAUUAUAUAUGAUUUCCAUAGGAAAUCUAGGAUAGUUAUAAUUGAAAUUUUAUGAAACUAAGUUUUUGAGUCGAUGCCCAUAUGUUGUUUGUCUUAAUGCCUAAGUGAAAAAUUUACUAAAGAUAUAGAAAUGUGACACCCCUAAAUUCGGGUACUUCAAUUUCAUUGAUUUGGUGCUCAUUAUCCAUCAAAAUCACAUCUAAACUACCAACAAUAAAGGAUAAUAAACUUCGUAAACAAUAAUUCCAUUAAAGGGUUACAUAAUCAAACGAAAUCUCAGGUUAUCUAACCUUAAUUAUUACAUCAACAGUGGAAUAAAAAAACAUAAACAUAAUCAAGUCUUAUUACAUAAGCUUCACAUUUGAAAUAUAAUUUAAACUUCAUCAACUUAUGCAUCUUGCCCUUUCCCUUGCUCGUGGACGGCUCCUAGGGUUUUUCGAUCUUAGCUGAAAUGUUUAAUGUAAGAGUGAGCAAAAAAACUUGCUCACAAGUAGAACAAUGUAUGAAUGAACAAUGAAUCAACUUUAAUUGAAUAAGGUAUUCUUACUUGAAACAAUAAGCUUUAAAUCAAGAACUAUGAGUUCAAUAGAAUAAUUGACUUUCAAAUGAAUUUUAGGUAUCAAAAUCAAGGUAUAUGCUGAGGUUCACAAGAUCACAAACUAUGUCCUAGGUUAACAAGUAUUUAUAGCGUAACCUUUAAUAGUCAUAAAGACUAUAUAUGGACUAUCUAUCUCGUACUCCAGGUGAUCAGCUAUUUGUACAAUAUAUUGUGCACAAAUAUUUUAACGCUAUUGCGUAGCUCAGAAUUAUAGUUUUCGAUAACAUAAUCCCUUAUUUUAGGGUUGUUCAUCUCAUCUUUAACAUUAGGAUUCAUACCAAAGGAAGUUUGGUUUGGAAUAGCACAAAGAAAAUUUAUAUCUUUAGAACGUUCAUCAAUUAAGGACUAGUUUACCAUAAAGGAUUCGAUAAUCAUUCAAAAGUUUGAUAGCAACAUAUUCUUUUAUAAGGUACAUAAGAAAGUCAUGAUUCAAUAAGUGAUAGUCACAAAAAUUCACAAUUGAAUAAACAUCAUUUAUCGAAGCAAUGCUUUCAGAAAGAACUAGGAAGCUUAUUUAAGAUUCAUAAACAUUGAAUAAUUUAUGAAACAUUGUUGAAUUAUAAAAUAACAAAGGUUAGGAAACUUGCACAAUGAAAAAGAAGAGUUAAGAGACUUGUCUUGCGAGUUCGCUACACAAUUACAGUACACUUCCUUUAAAAAUCAUACACAUUUCAGUCACAAUAGCACAUUGAUUAGUUAUGAAAUAGUAUUCAUUAACCACUUACAUUAAUCCAUCCUAUGCCUUUUUGAUUAUCACAUUUACUCAUCUCAUUGUGAUUAUAAUAUGUUAUGUUAUCUUGUUACAUGUUUUAAGCUUUACUACAUUCAUUAUAAUAGGUUAAACGAACAUCCCUCGAAUUGUGCAAUUACCAGCUCAUUACUGGGUCUGUUCUGCACAAGGCGCGGUUGCGCCACAUUUGAACUUGAUCACUGCGCGGCAGCACCCUAGCCUGUGGAAGCACCCCAACUGUUCUUUAUUCCGACGCGGUAGCGCUGGAACUCAGAAGCAGUUUCUGUAGUUCGACUCCAGACUCUGCUACAACCCAAAAACUCUUAAUUUCAUCACCCAUACUCCAAAUAAAAUAAUUUCAGAUGUUAUAAACUUUAUAAACUUGAAACUAAACAUCUAUAAAAUAAUUCUAACAUCUCAAACAACUUUAACAAUCAAAUUAAGAACUCAAAUUCCAUGUUCAUGUUCUAUUUUCAUAUUUUGACAUACUUAGCGAAAUCAAUGAUCACCACGAAUUCGAUUCUCAACCAUUUUGAUUCAUACAAGUUGUGUUGUUUUCGUAUCUCAGAGUACUACCAUAAAUAAUCAUCAAUUUGAGAUUUUGAACAUGGAUUCAUAACUAGUUUAAAACAGUCUAUAAUAUACAUAUUACAACCAAAAGUCUAAUUUUUUUUAUUUAACACAUUUACACAAAUUUGAUUACUUCAAAAUCAUUUAUAGAAGAUAUAUAACAAAUCAUAUUUACCAAAAAAAACAUAUAUAACCUAACUCUCAUCAAAUCAUUCAACCAAAUAAAUUUACAGUGAAGAAUUUUGGGAAAAUAUAACUAAGAGAUUUAAAGUUAGUUUAUUACCUUUGAUUACUUCUUAUACUAGAUAGAUGAUGAAUAUUUGCUAAUUUAGCCUUCCUUCUCCUCCUUGAUUCUCAGACCUUCUUCUCCAAUUCUCAGAGAAUUCUCUCACUUUCUCAAUUUCUUUUUCAAGCUUAAGGAAAAUUGAGCGUAUGAAUAAACUGAACAUAACUUAACGCUCAAUUGAGUUGGCCGGUUACAAAAAUAAAACUCUCAACUGUUAAAAAUAUGGACAGUCUAAACCAUGUUUGGCUAAACUCAAUUAACCCAUCUUUAUUUAUUUUAAAUAAUUCUCUUAUUAUAUGAUACACAUGUGUCACACAUAGUUUAAUUAAAUUAUUUAGCCAAUACAACUAUAAUUUCAUUUAACCAAUUAUUAGCCCUCUAAUUUAAUUAUUUAAUUAAAUUAGAAUGUUACCAUGAUAUUAGCAUAAUAAAAUACACGCCAAAAUAUUAAUCAACUCACAUAAUUUAAUCAACAUAACCACAUUUAAAUAAAUUAUUCUAUAACAAUUUACAUUUAAUAUUUAUUUUAUUUAAUUAAUAUUCAAACUAAAAUAUUUACUUUAUUCAAUAACUAUUUUUAAUUACUUUAUAAAAUUACAAUAUAUCGUUACAGGGAAUAAAAUGGGAUAUGAAUGGUGUAAAAUGGAACUAAAACAUGUCCUGAGUAAUUUAAAAUCACGAUAUAGCAGUUAUGGAUUAUAAUAGAAAGUUUGAUUUAUGGAAAUUCAAGCUCUGCAGAUAACAGACCAUGUCUGCGUCUGAAGCUGAAGUGGCGUGACCGCGUCACUUCCCGAGUCUAUACCAGCGCGACCGCGCUGGUCACCAAAAAAGCCAAGAUUUGUUUUUCAUGAUUUGAGCUUUUGGACAGGUGUAGCCAAGUCUUUUAUGUUCAAAAAUGUAUUACAAUUAGUGUCCAUCAUAAUUAAGUAAGGAAUAAGUGAUUUUAGUAUGAUCCAAUAUAACUUUUCAAAUGAAAACUAAAAUAAUUUGAAAACUAAACUUAGAAGACCUAUAUUGAUUCCAAGUACUUAAAAUCAUGUGUAUUGAUGAUAUAAGGAGCCUAGCAUGUCCGCAUUGAAUUGUUUAAAGAAAAACUCAAUUUUGAGUUUAGCAGGGAGUAGCACGGCCGCGCCACUCCCAGGUUUAAAUGCAGCGCGCCCACGCCGUGCUAUAGAAUAUUCAAGGAAAUUUUGUUUUAGGUCUGAAGUUUGAGGCAUGAUGAUAGUAUGGAUCUUUAAAGCCUUAAAAAGCAUGUAAUUCAGAGUUUUUAUACUAACUAUUCAUAAGUCGGUUAUGACAAUUAAAACUUAGUAUGAGAUUAUCGAAACUAAAACAACUAUUAUGAAAGAGCAAGACUAAGAGUCAAUGUAAUCUAAUUGAUUUCAUUGAUUAUGUGCAACUGAUGCAUGUGUAUAUGAACUUAUAAAGUAAUGUAGGAUAAACGCAAAGCAGUUAAGCUGUAGUUGGUAAUCAACAAACCAUUCAAGUCUUUUAGUUCAUAUGUUCUAUUUGAACUUGAUAUUGUUUAAUUAUAAAAUUACUGCAAGGAGUAUAUAUGUUAAAUUAUGUAUGAUGCUCGAUAUAUUUGUGAAAGUCAAUUUAUGACUAAGUUGAUUAAGUUAUGACACUCAGUCUUUACAUGAUAUGUGAAAUGCAACAUGUAUGAAAUGUAUAGUAAAAUGUUUAUGAUAUAUGAACUGAGCAUAGAAUUAUGUGCUACGUGAUGCAUAAAAAUUGUUUGACUUGUUGAGCUGUCGAGCUCAAUCUUGCAAAAAUAACCUUUUUGCAGGAUAAGGAUACAAUAUUAUAUUAUCUGCUAUCUGAAUGGUAAGGAUCAGAAGACAUGCAAGAAAAUAAACUUUCUUAUUUUGAACCAUACUAAGGGUUUUCAAUGUUUGUAGUUGACAGUUUAUAAUGUGUAUUUAAUGUCAGGUUGUGAAUAUUGAAUUAUUCGAUAUAUUAAUUAGACCAGUCUAACAGAGCCACCAAAAAGCUUUAUUGAGACAGUUUUUAGACCCAGCAUUAACAAGUUAUUCACUCCAAAAUAAUUUUCAAAUCCAAUUUAACUUGACCAAUUUAUUUAAACUACUUCAAUAUACAUAUAUAUAGCCUUCCUUGAUAAUAGCUUUGCUCAAUUCUUUCUUUUUAAGCUAAACAACUCUAAGAGGAAUAUUAUCAAACAUGAUAUGGACAUUAAUUUUAUGGACAAAUUUCACCAACUUAUAUGCAUCCUUUAAAUCAUAUUUUCCUCCCUUAUCAAUUACUCCGCACAACAACAACUAAUCUCCUUACUAUUCACAAUCCAAUCAACAGUUUAUUCACAACAUAAUUUAUCCUAGAGAACAUUUAAUUUCCAAUUUCAAAUGAAAUACUAAAAACAUAACACUAACAUUGUAAAAACUUAGUUUUGUUGAAACAUUAGCUUAAUUAAUCAACUUAUAAACCUCCUUCACUACUGUUGUUCCAACUAUUUUCCUAAUUCAGCCCAUUAAUUUUUCUUAUUUUUCGAAAUCAAAAAAGUUUUAGCAAGCCUUUAUGUGUUAUGGUGCUUAACAAUUAAAGAGGCAGAGAGGAAGAAAAUAAGUUUGGGACGAAUGAAAUUUACUUAAGCUCGACAAAUUUAGAGAGGACAGGAGAUGAAAUGGAACGGAGUAGAGUCUAUCCUUAUAAAGCCAUGCUUAGUGAACUGAUAAUACCCAACUUUACUAACAGCUCAUGCUAAUUUUAGCCGAGUUAUUCUAAUAUUUACUUAAGGCAAGCCACCUCUUGCUUUCAUUCCUAAUUCGGCUAAAAUAAUUGAUUUCAUUCAUUUUUUUAUCCCAAUUAAGAUUUAACAUGUAUUCUUAGCAUAUAGUUACUAAUAUAUGUUAGAAUUUGAGCUUAAAUUGAAAUGGUUAUCAUUAAUUAUUUGAAAUGAUUACACAAAUUAAUGUGUUCUACUCCAUGAGUAGAUUAAAUUAAGUAUUUAGAAGCUCAAAUCCAUAGAAUAAUGAAUGAGAAAUUAACUCUCAAAAAUCACCCUUGGAAAUUGGAAAUGAUAAUAAAUAUUUGUGGAAAUCUAAGUCCCAUAUCGGUUAAGAACUAAAUAUUAAAUGAGUUUAUAUACAUUAAAGUUGCUCUCAAGUUUGGUCCCUAAGGGGAACCCCACUUUUAUGGAAAGGAGAGAACCUAGCCAAGGUUUGGUUCAAACCCAAACGCGCAUUACUGGCCUGACACGUGGCUCUAGGGUCUGGGUCCUUGUAUAUAAUUUUUUUGAAAAAAUUUAUUUAAAAAUUAUUUAAUUUAGUUCUAUUAUCAAAAGUAUGUCGUUUUGAUAAACAGUAUUUAUUAUUAUACUACGUCGUUUUGGGAAGAGUUACCUGUCGAACAGACGCGUCUAAACUGCGUCGUUUUGGGAAAGACUAUCUGCCUGAACAGACGCUCCAAAACUAUGUUGUUUUUGCCUGAAUGGACGCGCCUGUUUUGUUAAGCCUUAAACUACGUCGCUUUUGUUCUGCUAAGCCUAAAACUAUGUCAUUUUUUGUCCGAACGGACGUGCUUUUUUUGUUAAGCCUUAAAAUUACGUCGUUUCGGCUAAAACAGUGCCUUUUCAAGGGGUUAACUCCCUCUGAUCAGUCACUAACCCCUCCUAUAAAUAGAUAGGGGGUGCAGCCACUUCGAUCAUUUAAUUCAAGCAUUCAAGCAUUAUCAGUCUAGUUUCUAGUAUUCAUUUCAUAGACGUUCAUUUUAGAGAGAAAGUUCUAGGCAUUAUAAUUUUGGUUCGUUGAAUAUACUAUUUGGAGUGCUACUAUAGUAUAUAUUGUCAUUGUAUCCUAGGAGACAAGUGAUAUCAACUCUGAGCAUCAUACGGAGUGCAUAAUUGUCUUAAGAACAAAGUAUCAAGUACUAGCCUUGAUACAUAGUAUCACAUAAUUGUCUUAAGAAUAUAUUUUAUAUAUAUAUAUAUAUAUAUAUAUAUAUAUAUAGUUCCCAUUCAGUUUUACUAAUAAUAUAUACUCUACAAAUACAAAACAUAAUAUACAUUACCUAUAUUAUCUAAAUAAUCAAUUAAAUAACCUAUUCAAAAUUUAUAAUUCAAUUUCCUUGUUUCUUUCCAUAAUUUGUAAUUUAACACUUUAAUUACUAAAUACCAUAUAUACAUAUCAAGUAAUUCACUUGGGAUAAUUAUAAUACAAAAAAAACAUUCACAUCAAUCUAAUCUCCUUUCUUAUAUAGUUAAACAAUUGUUUAUUUAAUUAUUUAACUAUUAAGUUACUUAAUAAACUUAAUAUUUCAUUUAUAUUUUCUGUAAAAUGAUUAACUAUUAUAAGUUAACCUCUUUCUUAUAUUUUCUUUUUUUAAUUUCAUCACUUAAUGAUUUCACAUAACACAUAUAUAACGAUAUUUAACUAUCAUAAAACAUAUUUUUGUGUUAGAAUAUGUGAUUAGGAGUAAUCUUCUCCUAUAAUAAUGGAGUGAUUAUCCCCCCUAAUAUCAGGAUAGAAUCGUGCAAUUAUGAUCAUUCAAAUAUAGCAAUAGAAUAUCUUGUUGUAACAGUAGCAUAAGUUUAGCAAUAUACUCUUGUAUAUAUAUCUGCUACAUUGAUGAAUAACAAUAUAAAAAAAUUCUGUUCUCUUUGUGUUUUAUCAUGGUAUCAAAGCCAACUCCGUUUUUCCUUUAUCUAUCCUAGGAACCGGAGGUUGUUCUUUGUGUUUUUUUCUGAUCAUAAUUCUUUACUACCCACCCAUCAUGACUACUCCUACCAUUGAUGAUGGUGUUGUUAUCGGGAAUGCAAAAACUAAUUCCCUAGCUUUACCAGCACUAUAUAUGCAAGACGUCUCUUCUUCGCUUACUCCAGAGAAACUUGAUGGCACCAAUUAUGUGGAAUGGGCUUUGAAUGCACAAAAUAAAAUUUGCGGUCGAAAGAGUUGGGGAUUUAUUUCAGGUUCAAAGGCUGCACCUGAGAAUACCAAUUCUGAAGAAUAUGAAGCAUGGGAAGAUGAAAAAUGCAUGAUCAAAUCAUGGUUACUCGAUGCAAUGAACAAAGACAUCGGAUUCAUUUUCUUGCAACUGUCCACAGCAAAGGAAAUUUGGGAUAUGGCUAAGCAAACAUACUCAGUCAGUCAAGAUGCCUCAAAAUCAUAUCAGUUAUACUAUGAGGUAAUCUCUGUUCGUCAAAAUGGUGGUUCUAUUAUUUCUUAUAGGGAAAAAUUACAAAAACUUUGGCAGGAGAUUGAUGCUAUAGAUGAUUGUGCAAUGAAGUGCAAACCUGACAUUGAGAUAUAUACCACUAAGGUUAAUUCUCAACGUGUUUAUAUUUUCUUGGCUGGUUUGGACUCAUCACUGGAUGGGGUUCGUGGACGGGUACUUGCCACUUUACCUCUUCCAAAUCUUCAAGUUGCUUAUGUUAUAGUUUGUGCUGAGGAAAAUUGUCAAAAUGCUAUGAUGGGUGGAAUAUCUACUGAUGGUACUGCUAUGGCUACUAAAAGGAUUAAUCCAUGGCAAGACCAUAAGAAAGGGACACGCAAAUGUACUUACUGUAAUGGUGAUAACCAUGUUGUUGAUACAUGCUUCAAACUUCAUGGUUAUCCCGAGUGGCAUCCUAAAGGAAAGAAAACUUCUGCCAACACUUCUCUACAACAACAGCCAGUGUCAUCUUCUACAGGAUUAGUUGCAUAAACUGGUAUGACUAGUACUGCCCUUAACUCUCUUUCAUGUACUAAAAAUAGUGACUGGAUAAUUGACACGGGUGCAAAUGAUCAUAUGACUUGAGGUUCUUCAAAAUUUAGCUUUUUAUCCCCUUCACAUUCUAGCUUAGCUAUUACUAAUGCCAAUGGUGUGUCAUCCCCUGUUACUAGUGUUGGUAAUGUUCCUUUAUCCUCCACUUUAUCUCUCUCUAAUGUACUAUAUGUUCCAUCCCUUACAUGUAAUCUGCUUUCCAUUAGUCAGAUAACCAUGCAAGGCCCUUAACUGUGUGGCUCUGUUUUAUCCUACUCAUUAUAUUUUUCAGCACAUAUAUACCAAGGAGAGGAUUGGCAGUGGUAGACAACGAGGAGGAUUGUACUAUCUAGAGGGAGGAACAUCAUCACAAGUUUACCAUAGUCUAACACAUAUGAAGAGUACAAAUCAAUCGGCCAAUAUCGCAGAAAUUUUGUUGUGGCAUAAACAGCUUGGUCAUCCAUCAUUUGGAUAUCUUAGACGAUUAUUUCCAUCUUUAUUUGCUAAUUGUAACCUUUCAUACUUCAUUUGUGAGACAUGUGUUAUGGAUAUAAGUCAUCGUGUUGUAUUUCCUAUGUCUUCUAAUAAAGUUGCUACACCAUUUUCAUUAGUACAUUCGGAUGUAUAUGGGGUCCCUCCCCAGUUUCCACAAAUAAUGAAAUGAAAUGGUUUGUUACCUUUGUGGAUGAUUGUACUCGAAUGACUUUGGUAUACUUGCUAAAACAUAAGAGUGAUGUUUGUUCAGUUUUUCGUCUCUUUUAUCAAAUGGUACUCACCCAAUUUGACAAAUCUAUUAAAGUGGUACGUUCAGAUAAUGGAUGUGAAUAUUUCAAGAGAGAAUUAACAGAUUUUUUACAUUCAAAAGGUAUCAUUCAUCAAACAUCAUGCCGAGAGACUCCUCAACAAAAUGGAGUAGCUGAGAGAAAAAAUCGAUAAUUACUUGAGGUCAUCCGGUCACUAAUAAUUGAAAGUAGUGUGCCUACUUACUUGUGGGGAGAGGCUCUCAAUUCAGCUAUUUAUGUGAUUAAUCAUACACCCUCUAGUACCAUAUCCUUUCAACGACCGCUUGAUGUCCUUGCUAAUCAUUGCAUGCUUCCAUCAUUGGUUAAAUUGAUGCCUCGUAUCUUUGGAUGUGUAGCUUAUGUACACCUUUCACCUCAACAUCGAACGAAAUUUGAGUCAAGAGCUUUACAAUGUGUCUUUAUUGGUUAUGGGUCUACUCAAAAAGGUUAUAAAUGCUAUCAUUCGGAGACUCGUCGAUUCUAUACCUCUAUGGAUGUUAUCUUUGAUGAGUCAAAAUUUUAUUACUCUCUUCCAGAUUUAAAGCCUACUUGUCCUGAAGAUGUUCGAUAAUUUGCAAGUCAUGAUGAUGUCUUUUGUUUUGAGCUAAAAUUAGCAACUCUACCCACUAGUGGACCCUUGGACGAGGACACCUCUACUAUAGACACAUCCAUGGUAAUACCUACAGUUCCUGAUUCUUGUCCACAAGACUCUAAUGAUCAUUGUGAAAAUUCUCAACAACCUCUUGAUAGUACAUUACCUCCUAAUUCACCGGCCAACUCCUCUCCAGAGUCAUCACAACCUACAGGUACAACUCGAAAAUUCUUCUGAAAUUAGUUUGCCAUCUAACCUUGUUCAUCAUGCACUUCCACCACGAUCUACCCAUGGGAUUCCAGCUGCUAAAUAUGAACCCGAUCCAAAAGCCAAAGUGAAAUACCCAAUAAGUAAUCAUAUCUUAUCUCACAAGUUGUCUGCUUCAUAUGCAUCUUAUGUGUGUAAAUUAUCAUCUAUCUCUAUUCCUAGUACAUUACAGGAAGCUUUGGCAGAUCCUCAUUGGACUGCAACUAUGGCAGAGGAAAUGGAGGCUCUAAAAAGAAAUGGAACAUGGGAUCUUGUUAUCCUUCCAACAGGAAAAAAACUGUGGGAUGUCGAUGGGUCUUUGCUGUCAAAAACAAUGCAGAUGGAACUAUUGAAAGAUACAAGGCGAGACUUGUCGCCAAAGGGUACACGCAAUCUUAUGGGAUUGAUUAUCAAGAAACUUUUGCUCCAGUUGCUAAACUCAAUACUGUGAUAGUUCUUUUGUCUUUAGCAGCUAAUAAAGAUUGGCCUUUACUCUAAUUCGAUGUCAAAAAUACAUUCCUGCAUGGAGACCUUACAGAAGAUGUGUAUAUGGAUCCACCUCCUGGUAUUUCAGAAUAUGAAGGUAUCACUCGAGUUUGCAAACUCAGGAAGGCUUUGUAUGGCUUGAAACAAUCUCCUAGAGCUUGGUUUGGUAUAGAUUUACUCAAGUCAUCAAAAAGUUUGGUUAUACUCAAAGCAAUUUGGAUCAUACCUUGUUUAUAAAGCAUAACAUGGGUAAACUCACUGCCUUAAUUAUAUAUGUUGAUGAUAUGGUAGUAACAGGUGAUGAUGCUGAGGAAAUUCAGUGCUUACAACAACAUUUGGCAUCCAAAUUUGAAAUAAAAAAUCUUGGAGAUCUUAAAUAUUUCCUCAAGAUUGAGAUAGCUCGAUCCAAGCAUGGUAUAUUUAUGUCACAACGUAAAUAUACUCUCAAUUUAUUGAUUGAAACAGGGAUGCUUGGAUGUAAAUCAGUUGAUAAUUCAAUGGAGCAAAAUCAUAAGUUUUUUCAAUGUUCUCAUGCUAGUUCUACAGAUAAAGGGAGAUAUCAGAGACUUGUGGGAAAAUUAAUUUAUUUAUCCCACACUCGACCUGACAUUGCUUAUGCUGUGAGUGUGGUAAGUCAAUUUAUGCAUGAUCCACGUAAACCUCACAUGGAUGCUGUAGAACGGAUUUUGCGAUAUUUAAAAUCUUCUCCAGGCAAAGGUCUAUUAUUCUCCAAACAUGGACACUUAGAUGUUGAAGGGUAUACUGAUGUUGAUUGGGCUGGUUCAGCUGACGACCGGCGUUCUACAUCCGGUUAUUUCACUUAUGUAGGUGGCAAUCUUGUGACUUGGAGAAGUAAAAAACAGUCUGUGGUGUCUAGAUCAAGUGCUGAAGCUGAAUAUCGAGGAAUGGCAAUUGGAGUAUGCGAAUUAUUGUGGUUAAAAAACUUGAUGAAAGAUUUGGGAUUCUCUCAAAGAAUUGCAAUGAAUCUUUGUGAUAAUACAUCAGCUAUAGAGAUUGCCCAUAAUCCUAUUCAACAUGAUAGGACAAAGCGUGUAGAAGUUGAUAGACAUUUCAUCAAAGAGAAGCUUGAAGUCAACAUUAUCCAUUUUCCUUUUGUAAAGUCAGAAUUUCAACUUGCUGAUGUUCUUACAAAAGUAGUAUCCAACAAAGUGUUUACAAGUUGUCUUGACAAGCUGAGCAUGUGUGACAUCCAUGCACCACCUUGAGGAGGGAUGUUAGAAUAUGUGAUUAGGAGUAAUCUUCUCCUAUAAUAAUGGAGUGAUUAUCCCCCCUAAUAUCAGGAUAGAAUCGUGCAAUUAUGAUCAUUCAAAUAUAGCAAUAGAAUAUCUUGUUGUAACAGUAACAUAAGUUUAGCAAUAUAUUCUUGUAUAUAUAUCUGCUACAUUGAUGAAUAACAAUAUCAGAAAAUUCUAUUCUCUUUGUGUUUUAUCAUUUGGUAAUAGAAUUUAUUUUAUUCACAAAUAUGCACCGUUCAAUAUUCUCGGAUAUCAUAUUAUUCAUGUUUCAAAUAAUUUCAUAAUAUCAAUAAUUCUACAUAUCUCAUAUGAUGACAUUUAAUCACAACUCUUUGAUAUAGUUUGAAAAGAUAUUUUCUUAAAUUCUUAUUUUAAUUUUUUGUGAAAUUCGGGUUAUCACACAUUUUUCCAACUAAGCUCAAGUGUUAAACGAAUUUGAUUCUAGUUUAAACGAGUCAAAUUAAACUUAUUCGCAACAUCUAAAUUUGUUUACAACUAUAUCAACUUUUGUUGACCUCUUUAAAUUUUGAAUGCUACUUGAAAAUAUUAUAAAAUUUGAAUGCAAACUUUUUUUUAUCUUACCUAAUAUUUUUUUAAUUUUUUUCACGUAAUUUUCAAUUUUAUUCAAUGUUACGACAAAGAUUUUAAGACAUUUCACAAUCAUAUUUUUUUUUCUAAUUAUUCCGAGAUCCUAUUUCAAGAUCAUAUUCAAAUAUUAUGUAUUUAAAUAUUUCAAAUAUUCAAAUGUAUAUUUAUAAUUAUAUUAAAAAUAUUUUGAAAUUUAAUUUUGAUAAACAUCUUAAUUCUCGUGCCAUAGUUUGAGAAGAUUAAAAGUUCAAUACAAUGUCAGUAACACACGCGCAUCUUAAUAUUAUGAAAUGUCACUAAUGAAGUAUUUAUGGUGGACUAAAUUAUUCUUAUUUUAAUUAUGUGUCAUAAUUUUAACACAAAUUAUGCAUAAAAAGUCAUAUACACAAUAUGGAGAAAAAAGUAAUAUACACUAUGAUCAGAAAGCUUCAUUAAUUGUCCGAUCUGAGAUUUAUAUCCUCAACCGGAUCCUCUCUUACAUUAACCGGGGAAAUCUUUUUACUAUAUCUCCAAUUGCAUAACGACAAAACCAUUCCUGCAAAUACACAGACCAUGCAUGAUAAUCAUUAUGCUAAUAUCCAAUGUUGCUUGAAGCCAUAUUGCUUCUGUUAAUUAGGAUGAGUUUUCGUCAUUUUGUAGGCAAUAUAAAAGAACGUGUGAAUGAAUUUUUAUAAGUAUUUGUAACAUCUUAAUUUCACAUCGAAAUAUAUAGAAAAAAUUUAUCAUUAUAUAAAAAAUUAAGUUACUAAUAAUAGUACAUAUAGUUGGUUUUUGUUUUGAUUUACAAAAAACUAAAACCACAUUAUCUAUUUUUAAUAUGGGUUGUGUGGGUUGGAACCAUAUAUUAUAGACUAAAAAUAAGUCAACCCAUAUUUUAAAUUUCAAACUUACAGUUAUUAUGAUCCAAUUAAAUAAAUUAUUUAUCAUAUUUAAUUAUUUUAUAUUCCUUCACAUUUUAUCUCUAAUGUUUUAUGCAUUCUUUCUCUCUAAAAUUUUUUAUACACUCCAUCUAAAAUUUUUAGAUUUUCUCCCUCAAAAUUUUUAGUAUCUCUAAUGUUCUUUAAACUCUCUCAAAUCUGUAACAUUUUCCUCUCUAAAAUGUGAUUACAUUUUCUCUCUAAAUUUUGAUUAAAUUUUCUCUCUCUAAAAUCUGUCUCUCUCAAAUAGAAAGAAUGAAAACAAGUUUUGAGGCUCAAAAGUCAAAACCAAUAUGCUUAUAAUUCUGCACUAAAUAUGAAAAUUUGAUCAAAUUUUUGCAAGUAAAUUAAGCAUGGCACCUCUUGCUGUGAAGACGAUAUGGGUCAAUAAAAAUAAAAAUUGGUCAAAAUCAGUUAACUGGUUUGGACCUUUUUAUUAUUUGAAAAAUAUAUGUUUAAACUUUAAUCAACUUAAAAUUUAAAGUAGUUAAUCAAUUCAAAUAGUUCUAAUAAAUAUAGGUUGACCUAUCAAUUUAUAAAUCAAAUUAUAAUAUAUAUAUAUAUAUAUAUAUAUAUAUAUAUAUAUAUAUAUUUAAAGAAUUAAGUUAAUAACAAUAAUAAUUUCGGUUAGUAAAAUACGUUCAAUUAGUCAAGUCUAAAUGACCUUGAGUUUGUCGAAGUCUAUUUAGUCGUUAACUUUAAUUUAUAUAGUUGGAGUGCCGGUCGUUGGUAGUAUUUAGUAAAAGUAAACUCUCGGGUCGCUUUAAUUAAAUCGUCCACGAGAUUAUACAAGCCACGCAUAGUUCUUUGUCAAAGUAGUAGUAUGCAGUAAGUCCUUUGGAGGAAGAAAAUCAAAAAAAAAUUUGGGUCGAGACAUAAUACGGAAAGUUUGUGAACAGAAUCAUCCUGCAUAUAUAUAUAUAUAUAUAUAUAUAUAUAUAUAUAUAUAUACUAUCAUUUUCUAAUAAAGAAUUUGGUAAAUACCAUAUAUUAUAUUUAAAAGGCUUGAUUUGGUCAAAGUCAUUGAGCUGAGACUUUUAUUGAAUUUGAUGUGAAACAUUUCAAGGCAAAAAAAAGUUUGCAUUCUUCAUGUAGUAUUUAAAUAUAUAUAUAUAUGGCAAUAAAUUAAAUAUACUCCAUCUGUCUCAGAGAAAAUAUUAUUGAUUAAUUUUGUGUUUGUUUAAUAUCAAAAUCAGUAUUAAGAAACACAUGAUUGAAUAGAUACUUUGUAUUACUUUACAAGAGUUUUAAGAAUUAAUAAAACUACUUAUAUUAGAUCUUCAUUUAUCUAUUGAUAUCCCGAUGAAAAAUUCUGUAAUUAGUUUUUGAGUAAUUUUACAAGUGUUCUUUGAAGUUAAAGAGGAGGAUCUAACUUACUUAUACAUGAUUUUGAUAUCAUCUUAGGUAUAGAUUGGCUGAGCAAGCAUCGAGCCAUUAUUGAUUGUCAGGCGAGGAAGAUUAUUUUUGGAACUUUAGAGGCUCCAUAAUUCGAGUUUCAGUGUUCCAAGUCGAAUGGUGUUGUAAAGUUGAUUAUCAGCUUUGAAGGCGAACAAAAUAAUUGCUCAGGGAUGUGAUUAUUAUUAGGCUUAUUUGAAGGAUACCUUGAGGGAUGAGCCCCAACUUGAAGACAAUCUAGUUGUGCGGGAAUUUUUUGAGGUAUUUUUAAAGAUCUUUUAGGAUUACCACCGUCAAGUGAAGUUGAGUUUACCAUGGAGCUCAUUCUUGGAGCGGAACUUAUCUCUAAGGAACCCUAUAGGAUGGCACCAUUAGAGUUGCAGGAGUUGAAUGAAUAAUUGCAGGUGUUGUUAGAUCGUGGAUUUAUUAGACCGAGCGUAUCGCCAUGGGGAACUUCGGUCUUGUUUGUGAAGAAGAAUGAUGAAUCUAUAAGGUUGUGUAUAGAUUAUAGGGAGCUAAAUUGGAUCACUAUCAGGAACAGAUAUUCAUUGCCACGGAUUGAUGACCUUUUUAAUCAGCUCCAAGGGGCAAAGUUCUUCUCAAAGAUAGAUUUGAGGUUAGGGUACAAUCAGUUGAGGGUGAGGGAUGAAGACAUUCCUAAAACAGUUUUUCAUAUAUACUCGGUAUGAGCACUAUGAGUUUUUGGUGAUGUCAUUUGGGCUGACUAACGCUCCCACGGUGAUUAUGGAUUUGAUGAAUCAGGUUUUUAACGAGUGCUUGGACCAAUUUGUCACUGUCUUCAUUGAUGACAUUUUGGUGUAUUACAAGUUUAAGGAGGAGCAUGAAGAGCAUCUUCAUACUAUUUUGGGGGUUCUGCAGAAGAACAAGUUAUAUGUUAAGUUCUCUAAGUGCUAGUUUUGGCUAGAACAGGAAGCAUUUUUGGGACACGCCGUGUCUACAGAAGGCAUUAAGGUGGGUCUUGCGAAGGUUGAGGUUAUCUUUAAUUGGCCGAGACCCCCACGGUAACCGAAAUUAGGAGUUUCUUGGGCUUGACAGGAAACUACAGGCUAUUUGUGGAAAGUUUCUCUUUGUUAACUUUGUUAUUAACUGAGUUGAUUGAGAAAGGACACAAAGUUUGUGUGGAAUGAGGAGCGUGAAAAUAUUUUUGAGGAACUUAAAAAGAGGCUUGUAUCGGCUCCAGUACUCACACUAACGUAGGGGACAUGACAUAAUUAUAUUAACAAUGAUGCUUCCAAGAAGGGUUUAGGGAGUGUUUUGAUGCAACCUGGUAAGGUAAUUUUGCCUAUACCUCCAAAUAACUUAAACCUUAUGAGGUGAAUUACCCUACCCACGACAUGGAAUUAGCAUCAGUUAUUUUUGCCCUAAAGAUUUGGAGGCACUAUCUAUAUAGGGAGACUUGUGACAUUUUCACCGACCACAAGAGUCUUAAAUAGAUUUGGAGGCACUAUCUACAUAGGGAAUCGAUAAAUUAUCGGACCAGACCGGCUCGUACUGAUUACCGAAAGUAGCCAUGUUUAUGUACCGAUAAUAGUACCGGUUAACAGGUUCGGUACCGAUACGGUACCGGUUUGUACCUAUACCGGUUGUAUGUAAGUAACUAAGAAGCAUCACUGAACUGUUAUCAACUAAGCAAGUAAGUAUCACUGAUUCACAUAUUUCAAUUAACCCAUUCAAUCAUAAAGAUUUCCAAAUCAUACAUUAAAAGCAACAAGCAACAAUACAGGUCAACAAUACAUAUGAUCAAACAUAAAGUUAAGUUAAAUAUCAAUACAGCAAGAUGAAUACAUCAAUACGGUAAGACAUAACAAUUAACAUCAAAACAAAAUAGUACUUCUUCAAAUUAUGAAUACAGUAUCUCAAGGAUCAAUAAACAUCAAUACAUCAAUAUUGUAGUAGUGAUAAAACAGCCAGCAGCAGUGUUAGCAACAAAAUGGCCAUGAGCCACCAUUCAGAUAUCAAGGAAAAAAUGAUCCACCAUUACUGCAAAGCAAAAAUGAGAUUUUAAACCACACCUGUUGUAAGACCCCAACUUAUUAUUAAUGAAAUUGAAUUUCCUCUAUUUAUUAUUUUGAAAUAGUAAGGGUUGAUUUGAUUAAUGUGGUUAGUUAUGGGUAAAAUGCGCAAAUAUUUCAAGUAAGCAAGUGGUUAUAAAAUAUUCAUUGUUGUCGGGGAAUAUUCAUUUGGUCGUGGAAUAUUCGUACGACGGCGCAGCCUUGUGUGGGCCCAUAACGAAAAGCGAUUGGAUGAAGAAAACGACAAGUAUAAGUUGUUUAUAAAUAACGGCGUAGUUGUUACCGUUAAUACUGUUUUAAUACCCGGUGGUUAAAACACAGUAGCACAAGGUAUUGCACCAAUUAUUAAUUCUUACAUAAGAAGGCACUACUCAAUAAUUGUUACAGUAAUUAAUGUUCAAUAUUUUAUUUUAUUGAUUCAAUAAUUGCUACGUUAAUAUGUUAUAUUAUUGUUGUUUCAAUAAUUGUCACUGCACAGUAAUUUUCUUUAUCAAAUCAAUAAUUCAUAUUAUUUGAAUAAUAUUAUUAGAUAACAUUAUUGGCAAUGUCUAGAAAGUUCUAUCUAAGGAGAGGUUUGGUCACCUAAUUGCGCUCCAGUAAGGAGAAAUCCUUAUUGGAAAACCCCUUCUUUCCUGGGAACGGCUUGGUUGUCAGUAUUGCAAUUAUGUAAUAUUAUUUAUGAAUAAUUAAUUAUUGAUUAUUAUGAUAAGGAAAAUAUUCAUUUUAUGUGGAUAUAGAUAGAGAAAAUUUUAAAGUGAAAUUUUUUGAAAAAUUGAUAUUUUAUCUUUUCUGAUAAAAUAAUUCAUUUAAAUAUAUUAUUAUAUUUUAAUAAUAUAAUAAUGGUGAUAUUUUUACAAUGAAUGUGGGAUAUAUGAAUAAAUGAGGAGGAAGAUUAUUUUUGUUACUAAAAAAUAUUUAAAACAUGUUUUUCAUGUUUGUGGACCCCAUUUCUUUACUGAAAUUUGAUUAUAGCCUGUAAAAUCGUCCGUAUGUGGAUUUUGGUCAAUUUCUGUUUGGAAUUUGGAAAAACUUAAACUUACAACGUUGUAGAGAAUUGAAUUUCCUAUGGAAUGGACAUAAGAUUCGAAUUUUUCUGAUAAAGGGCUAUUUAUUAUGAAUUAUUGAAGUUCUGAAGUUCCAGAAUAAUUGAUUUUUAGAAGUUUUAAUUAUUUUUAUUAAGAAAAAAGUUUUUAUUGAUUUUGGUGAGGGGGAACCACUUGUGUGGCAGAUGUUUUGGAUCAAAGGAAGUGUGCGUAGGAAUUUAUAAUAUAUAUAAUAAUAUUUUAUUAAAUUUUCUGCUUUGGUGUUCUAAGCAUUUUCCUAUAAAUAAGAUGCUUAGGUUAGAAUUGAAAAUCACACCAGAAACAAGUUUUCUCUCUCUUUCUCUCUCUAUAUUAUCGAGCGUAUUCUUGUGAGUAUUUUGAUANNNNNNNNNNNNNNNNNNNNNNNNNNNNNNNNNNNNNNNNNNNNNNNNNNNNNNNNNNNNNNNNNNNNNNNNNNNNNNNNNNNNNNNNNNNNNNNNNNNNNNNNNNNNNNNNNNNNNNNNNNNNNNNNNNNNNNNNNNNNNNNNNNNNNNNNNNNNNNNNNNNNNNNNNNNNNNNNNNNNNNNNNNNNNNNNNNNNNNNNNNNNNNNNNNNNNNNNNNNNNNNNNNNNNNNNNNNNNNNNNNNNNNNNNNNNNNNNNNNNNNNNNNNNNNNNNNNNNNNNNNNNNNNNNNNNNNNNNNNNNUAGCGAGUACUAGUCGGGGUAUGGAAUGAUGGUUCUAGAAGUUGUUUUAGUAGUCCUCACUAUUUUGUAAAAUAGUGUAUCAAUAAUUGUAAUGAGGACUUAUUUGAGUGUUGAUAUUGUCUAGAAGACAAUAUUUGUUUUUAAACUCAUAGUUUAUAUGUUGUCGUAUUUUGCACGACAAUUGUAUUAAUAAAGUUGUAAUUGUUUCUGUACCAUGUAUUUGGAGACUCAGAAUGGGUGUUGUAUACCUAUUUUGGGGGCGUCACAGUUGAUAUCAGAGCUUAGGGAUAUGAUCUCUAGCGAAGAUCGGGGAAUAAAACUAAGAGGGGAGAGACGAGUAAAUCCUUCGCUAGUGUGUCCUACCUAAGCUUAUUUGUUGGUUGGUCAGAAAAUAAGGAUAUUAUGUGAUAUGUUAAUUUCUUUAAUUAACCCUUGUUUUAUGGCAGUAUUUGAGAAUGGCAACUGAGAAUGUUAACAGUGGAGUAAAUGAGACCGUGGAGACACCUUUACUCACCAAUGAGGAAAAUGUGCAACAGGCCGGCAAUGUUCCUCCUGUAAACAACACCACUGAUCAGACGAUGAACGAUGGGAUGUUUAGAAGCUUUUUGCAGUUCAUGCAAAAUCAGACGAAGGAGACUCGUGUACAAAAUACAUGUGAAAAUGAUAGCAACGCACGGUUUAUCACAGCCAAGCAGUUCAAAGAGUUGGGACCACCAGAAUUCUGGGGAAAGCUGGAUCCGAUUAAGGCGGAGACAUGGGUCAAACAAAUUACUGAGAUAUUCGAUGUCUUGGGAUGUACGGAGGAAAAGAAGGUUCCAUUUGCCACCUUUAUGUUCCGUAAUGAGGCAGAUUACUGGUGGGAAUCUGUGAAGCGUACCCAUCCAGCCGCACUCAGCAUGUCUUGGAAAACGUUUCAGAAACUGUUCAAUGACAAAUACUUUCCUGAAAGUAUUCGUCAUAUGAAGGAGGUAGAGUUUAUUAGACUUGAGCAGAAUAACAUGACAGUGUCCCAGUACGAGGCGAAGUUUUCGGAGUUAUCCAGGUUUGCACCUCAUUUGGUGGAGAAUGAGGAAUGUAUGACGCGAAGGUUUCUAAGAGGUUUGAAACCCGGCAUACGUCAGUAUCUCAGUUCUCAUAAAUUUUCUCUCUAUUUAGAUGUUGUCAACAUGGCUCAAUUAUUAGAGCGAGAUAACGAGUAUGUUCAACCGAGGGACUACAACCAGGAUCAUACCGGUGACAUCAGUCAUCAGAACAACGAUAACCAGCGGAGAAAGAAAAAUACGGACAAAAACAAUAACCACUCUGGUGGUAAUCAUGGCCAUGAAAAUAGAAGAAGUGAGUCGGGGGGAGAUUUUAAAAAGAGGAGAUUCAACAAUGACAAUGCGAAGACGUCAGCACCAGCAGCAACUGGUUCUAAGGGAGGAGAACUAUGAGACCCCAAAUUUUAUGAAUAAAGAUUUAAAUUUCUCGAAAUAUUUUUUUGAAUAUUAUGGUGUGGAUUUAAUAUAAUGUUAUAGUUGUGGGUAAUAUUUACAAAUUUUGCAAAGUAAGCAAGUGGUUAUAUAAUAUUCGAUUGGUCAGGGAAUAUUCUUUUUGUCGGGGAAUAUCCGUACGAUGGCACAAUCAUUGGUGGACCCUACAACAGAAGUAUUGUCGUUGUUAGAAAAUGACAAAAUUAUCAUUUUAUAAAAAUAACGGCGAAAGUGUUACCGUUAAAACUGUUGAACUACCCGGUAGUAAAAGUACAGUAAUACCGUGGUUGCAUAGUAGCACACAGUAUUGAUUAUUGAUGUUUACGUAAGAAGUCACUCAGUUAUACUCAAUUAUUGCUACAGUAAUUGCUGCAUCAUAUCUCUCAUAUUAUUGAUUCAAUUAUUGUCACAGUAUCAUCUGCAUAAUAUGUUAUAUUAUUAAAUCAAUAAUUGAGACGACAAAGUUAUUCAUAUUAUUAUUUGCAAUAUUGACAAUGUCUAGAAGUUCUGUCAAGGAGAGGUUUGGUCACCUAAUUGCGCGCCAAUAAGGAGAAAUCCUUAUCGGAAAGCCCCCUCUUUCCUGGGAACGACCUGGUUGUUAAAUAUUGUGAGUUAUAAUAUUAAUGAUGAAUAAGUUCGUGUUGAUUAAAGAUGAAAUUGAUAGUUCCAUUGUGUUGGAAUUAUUAGUGUUAGUGGAAAUCGACAUUUAUUUCGAUAAUAAUUGAUGUCUGGAGGUUAUAUUGACCAAUCGGGUAAUUAACCGGAUAAAUGAGCAAUUAAUUGCUAUUAAUUCACAUGAUUAUAACUAUUUGUUCACAUGUGUGUACUAUUGAUUCACAUUCAUUUACUAUUAGGGGAGUUGGUGCAAGAUUGAUAAUACUUGCAUGACUAAGUUAAAAAUGGAGGUAUAGUUGAAGGUACUAUACUGUAAUUAAUUUUUUUCACAUGUCUAGAACUAUUGAUUCACAUGAUUUACUAUUAGGGGAGGUGGUGAAAGUUUGAUAAUACUUGCAGAACUAAAUUAAAAAUAAAGGAAAAGAGGAAGGUAUUAUACUGUAAUAUUCUGAGCCCCAAAACGUGCAAUUAUCAAAACUAUAUUUUUCUAUAAAUAGAAGCUCAUUCUUCCUUCAUUUCUCACCAAUUCACUAAAGCUAUAGAGCAAUUAUUAUAGAGAAAAAUUAUAGAGAGAAAGAAGAAGAGAAGUCUGCUACCUCUCUAUUCCAGUAUCCAGCUUUAUUCUAAGGUAAGGGGUAUUAUUUCUUUCGUAUUCAUGAAGAGAGCUAUUGUUAUUCCAUUCCUUAUUAUUCUGUUGGAACAACCUGUAUAUGCGAAGUACCGCAUACAUGGUGAAAUUCUUCUGUUAUUCCAUUCUUCAUUUUUAUGUUGGAAUAACCUGUUUAUGCGAAGUACUGCAUACAUGGUGAAAUUCUUCUAUUAUUUUGCUCUUUAUUAUUCUGUCGAAAUAUCCUGUCUGUGCGUUUACGCCGGACCUGGUUCCAUCAUUUAUUAUUCUGUCGAAAUAUCCUGUCUGUGCGUUUACGCUGGACCUGGUUCCAUCAUUUAUUAUUCUGUCGGAAUAUCCCGUCGGUGCAUUUACGCAUGAUCUGGUUCCAUUAUUUAUUAUUCUGUUGGGAAUAACCUGUCUGUGCAGUCUAUCGCACGCAUGGUGAAUCCUUCUGUUAUUCCAUUCUUUAUUAUUCUGUUGGAAUAACCUGUCUAUGUGGAUUAUCACAUGCAUGGUGAAUGAUCCUUUGUAUUCAUUCCUUAUUAAAUUGUGGAAAUGAUCUGUCUAAGUGGAUUACCGCAUGACGGACGAAAAUCCAUUUGCAGUUUCAUAUAUUCUCUUAUACUCAGUUGGUUAAAUCUUUGACUUCUAUACUCCAUAAAAUUUGGGAAUAUCCUUGAUAUUUGCGCUUCAUCCAGUAUCUAUUCAUGGAAAUAUUCUUCUAAGCGUUCUUGAAUUUUACUCUACAAAGAAGUAUCCUAGUGACAUUUUGGGACGUUAUUGGUUCCUGGAUAAAUUAAUUCUUGAACUUGUUUUAUUGAAUUAUUAUGUCAUUGUCAUGAUGAGUUAUGUUGGUUAUUAUGUGAAAACAUGAAAGUUUCUUAGAAAUCACAAAGGGUUAAAAAUCAGAUUUUGGUGAAAAUGGAACAUGAAAUUCAAUUGACCAUAUCUCCUAUUAUAUUUUGAAUUUUUAAGUGUGGUCAAGUUCUAGAGUUAUAUCUAUGAGUUUUCUAACUUAUCCAAGUGGAAUCACUUAAAAGGUGUUAUAGAUUUUCGUGUGGACUAAUUUUAGCAAAGGAGUCAAAAGCUGCUUCGCGACUCAAAAUGGGUGUACCAUGUUUUUCGCGACUCAAAAUGGGUGUUGUAUACCUAUUUUGGGGGCGUCACAACUGUGACGCCUCCAAAAUAGGUCCACACAACCUAUUCUGAGUUGCCAAAUACAUCGUACAAAAAUCAAAUACUGUGACACCCCCAAAAUAGGUAUACACAACUCAUUCUGAGUCGCCAAAUACAUGGUACAUAAUUUAAAUACAAACUUAAUUUACACAACACGACAAACGUAAGCUGAGAGUUUUAACACGAAUAUUGUCUCGUAGACAAUAUCCAAACUCAAAUGAAGUCCUCAUUACAAUUAUUAUCACACUAUUUCAUAGAAUAGUGAGGACUACUAUAGCCACCAUCUUGGACCAUCACUCCAUUACCCGACUAGUCCCAACUAUAUUCUCAUUUCUUGAAGAGAACAAUAAAAGAAAAGGGUCAGCUCAACUAGCCCAGUAAAGAAUAUUAUGACUAAGAUAAUGUAGAAUAAAUUAUCCUUAGUCUUCAUUAGUAUAUAAACUAAUAGAAUACAAUAGACAACAAGUUUAACUACAGCGGAACAAGCAACCCAUUAGAAAAGUCAAGUAGAGCAUGAUGUCUACUAUCUUCUAUGAUUUAAAAUUUUAUCAUCAAUAUUUUAUCUCUGUAACACAUCUCAAUAAAUAAUCUACAUCACCGAAUUAUCCAUGCACUGCGGGCCAAGGAUAUUUAUUAGUAUCACAUCCAUGAAUCAUCCAUGCACUACGGGCCAAAGAUAUUCGUUAUUAUCACCAGUGGUCAUGAUCAUGCCAAACAACUGUCCAUCAAUGCACUAUGGGCCAAUGAUGACUUUUAACACAUCAUUUGUAACAUUACAGGCCAUGAUUAUACCGAUACAUAAUUCCUGGUCAUAAUCAUACCAAUCAACAGUCCAUCUAUGCACUACGGGCCAAAAAUAACUUUAUCACAAUAUAAGCAUGAGGAUGAUGACAAUGAUAUAAGAAUUCAAUUAAGUGAGAUCAAGAAUAAAUUUUAAAGAUUUAUAAUUCAAUUUAUCCAGAGUUUAAGAUUUUCCAAAUUGCCAACAUGAUAACUGCUUUGUGGAGUAAAAUUCAAGAAUAAUAUUCAUGUAUCAAAAAUAAUUUGGACAGAAAAGAAAUCAAUUUUUAUCGUGAAUAGUACUUCGUGAAUAGUACCCCGUGGAUAGUACUAUAUGUAUGAAUAGUACCAUAUGAAUAGUGUCAUAUGUAUGAAUAGUACCCAUGUAUAUUACUUCGGCAUGAAAAGCUUAAAAUUUAACAAGAAUGUUCAGAAAAAUAUUUCAGUGCAACGAUACUAGAUGAAACGCAAAUUUCAAGGAUAUUCUAUUAAUUUCAAGGAGUAUAGAAGCAAUACUUUUUAACAUAAGUGUAGAAUUAGGAAUAUGAAACGAAAUAAUAUUACUUACAUACUACACAGUAUGGAAGAAAAUAUUAUUUUUUACGAAUAUUGAACAAAAAUAAUAUCCCUUACCUUAAAAGGAGAGUACUUCUGACUAGUAUAGCGGGGAUAUUCUUGAAGAAAACUUGCACUAUUUGCUACACUCAAAGUUUUCUUAACUCAAAAGAAAUAUGCUCAAUAUUAUAGAAGAAGAAUUCUCUGAUUCUGGUGUGAUUUUCAUUUCUAAACUAAGCAUCCUAUUUCUAGGAGAAUGGCAGGGUACUAUUUAGGAAAAAUCACGGACCCACAAUAAAGGAAAAAUCACGGGUGCAAAAUCGGCUGAAAUUCACGUGAUUUUUACUAUGCAACACUAUGCAAACACUAUGCAGUACUAUGCAAAUACUAUGAAGUACUAUGCAAACACUAUGCAAUAUAAAACAAAAACUGAGAUAACUUUCUACCGAUAAUUUUGAAAAAUGAGUAAGUGGGGGUCCAUGUAAUAAGCCAAAUUUAUAAUAAAUACUUCAUGACAAACCCCUUUUAUUUAUCACAAUUCACUUGAAUAAUCACAUUUUUAAACUUUCAAUAUUUAUUCAUCAUUAAUAUUAUAACUCACAAUAUUAACAACCAGAUCAUUCCCAGGAAAGAGGGGUCUUUUCGAUAAGGACUUCUCCUUAUUGGCGCAUAAUUAGAUGACCUAACCCCUUUCCUUGACAUAACUUUCUAGACAUUGUCAAUAAUGCAAAUAAUAAUAUGAAUAACUUUGUCGUGUCAAUUAUUGAUUUAAUAAUAUAAAAUAUUAUGCAGAUGAUACUGUGUCAAUAAUUGAAUCAAUAAUAUGAGAUACUAUUAAUCAACUACUGUGGCAAUUAUUGAAUAAAACUGAGUGACUUCUCACGUAAGCAUCAAUAAUCAAAGAUACUGUACAAUAUCGUCUGCUACUGUGCAACCACUCAUAUUACUGUACUUUUAUCACCGGGUAUUUCAAUAGUUAACGGUAAAAGCCUUUUCGUUAUUUUAUGAAUAGGUUAUUUCUGUUGCUUUCUAAAUCCGAUAAUAAUUCCAUUGUGGGGUCCACCAAUGAUUGUGCCGUCGUAUGAAUAUUCACCGACCAAACGAAUAUUUUAUGACAACUUGCUUACUUUGAAAAAUUUAUAAAUAUUACCCACAACUAUAACAUUAUAUCUAAUACACACCUUAUUAUUCAAAAAGAUAUUUAGAGAAAAUUUCCAUGGAGCAACACGUAACAAAUUUCCAUUGAGCUUUCCUCUCUUUUCAAAUCUUGUAACUCCUUUCCAUGGAGCAACACGUAACAACACAUGAUCUCUAACAUUGAAUUUCACGUCCCUUCGAUGAAGAUCAACAUAACUCUUUUUUCGAUCUUGUGAGGUUCGUAUACGUUGCCAGAUCAUUUGAAUCUUUUUCGUAAUCAUACAUACCAAUUUUGGUCCCAACAAUGUUGCUUCACCCACCUCAUCCCAGCAUACUGGAGAACGACACUUUCGUCCAUACAACGCCUCAAAUGAAGUCAUGCCUAUACUUGCUUGAUAACUGUUGAUGUAGGAGAAUUCCACUAAUGCAAAGUAUUUGUCCCAACUUCCUUUGAAGUCUAGGACACAGAGUCUUAAUAGAUCUUCAAGAGUUUGAAUAGUAUUCUCCGACUGCCUGUCCGUCUGAGGAUGAUAUGCAGAACUGAAUCGUAAAUUCGUGCCCAUAGUGUGACGCCCCCAAAAUAGGUAUACACAACCCAUUCUGAGUUGCCACAUACACGGUACAAAAUUUAAAUACAAACUUCAUUUAUACAACUGUUGAACUGUCGUGCAAAAUACGACAAUACAUAAGCUGUGAGUUUUAAUACAAAUAUUGUUACGUAUAUAAUAUGACAAUAUUCAUACUCAAAUUAUUACCAUGCCAUAUAAAGUACAACAACAAAUAUAUCAAGUCUCCAAAGGGACAUGAGAAGAUUUAUGUCCUCCUCAUUCUAAUGGAGUACAUUUUUGACGCUUUCAAAGUUGGGUUCUCAUCACCCUAUUGUUGUUCACUAAAAUUAAUUAUUAAGUGACGUAUAAUAUACGACACACCCAUCUUAGGCCCUUAAUACAAUUAUAUAUUGCAUGUCAUGUAGUUUUAUAAUGUAUUGAGAAACUUCCACAGUCUCGGACCAUCACACUAUUCCCCUGCUAUCCUCGUUUGACCUAGCUACACUCUUAAUACCUGUAAGGAAUUGUGAAGUAAAAGGGUGAGCACAAAUAGCCCAGUAAAGAAUAUUAUGACUAAGAUAAUUAAUUUAUCAAUAGCCUUCAUCAGUAAUAAAUCAGAUAUUUAGAACAUAUGGUAGAUAACAAAAGUUUUCAACCAGAGUUGCAGUGGAAUCAAUAAUCCAUUAGAAGAGUCAAGUAGAACAUAAUGUCUACUAUCUUCUCCAAAUUAAAAGUCCAUCGUUAAUAGUUCGUUACUGUAAUAUCCAUCAACAUUUCUUUGUUGUACCGAAGACAAAGAGAACUUUAAUCACCUGUCUUCACCUGAACUACCAAAGAUUAUAGUUAAAUUCACAAUUCAUGUUUAUAAUCAUGUAAAUCAACAGUUUCUCCUUGCCACAAAAGCUUAAUAGAAUGUACACUCAAUAUCCUUAACCCAAAGGCUAAAGACGUUCAAAUGUAAUAACAAUGAUCAUACCAAUUAGUUGUCUAUCUUUGCACUACGAGCCAAAAAUAUUUAACUAUAAAACAAAUGGUCAUGAUCAUACCAAUCAAUUGUCUGUCAGUGCACUACGACCAAAGACAUUCAACUGUAAGACCAAUGGUCAUGAUCCUGCCAAACACAUCAUCGAAUUAUCCAUGCACUACGGGCCAAGGAUAUUCGUUAGUAUCACCAGUGGUCAUAAUCAUGUCAUACACCUGUCCAUCUUUGCACUAUGUUCUAAUGAGGACUUUUACCACAUCAUUUAUAAUAUUACAUGUCAUGAUUAUACCGAAACAUAAUUCCAAGUCAUAAUCAACAGUACAUCUAUGCACUACGGGCCAAAGAUGACUUUCAUUUCAAUAUAAGCAUGAAGAUGCUGACAAUGAUAUAAGUAUCAGUCAAACGAAAUCAAUGAUAAAUAUUAAAGAUUUUUAAUUUAUCCAGAGUUUAAAAAUAUCCAAAUUGUCAACAUGAUAAGUGCUUUGUAGAGUAAAAUUCAAGAAUAAUAUUCAUGUAUCAAAAAUAAUUUGGACAAAAAAAAAAUUAAUUUUUGUCGUGAAUAGUGCCCCGGGUAAAUAGUACCCCGUGAAUUGUACCCCAUGAAUAGUAUUUUAUGAAUAGUGUCGUACGUAUGAAUAGUGAUGUACGUAUGAAUAGUGAUGUAUGUAUGAAUAGUACUCUGGCAUGAAAAGAUUAAAAUUUAACAAGAAUGUUCAGAAAAAUAUUUCAGUGAAACGAUACUAGAUGAAGCGCAAAUUUCAAGGAUAUUUUACUAAUUUUAAGGAGUAUAGAAGCAAUACUUAUCAAAAUGAGUGUAGAAUUAAGAAUAUGAAACGAAAUAAUCACUACUACAAAACAGUAAAUAGACAACGCGAAAAAAACGUUGUGAUUUUAGUCAGAAAAACGUCAGGGUUAAGGGUGUCAUCUAUCUGACACCCUUACAUAACGUUUUUAAAACGUUGUAGUUAAGCACAUUACACAACGUUUUUUAAGAAAAAAAUGUUAUAGAUUUAUUUUUCAUAAAUUAACAGAUGCUUAAAAACGUUGUAGAAUGUAUGAUUCCACAAUGUUUUCUGGAUAAAAAUGUUGUAGUUUAAUAUAUCAGACAACGUUUAGGCAUAUUUACACAACAUUUUUAAAAUGUUGUAGAUUAAAAAAAAAGAAAAAAAAAAGUUGUGUUUCACCUACAUUACCAAUGCACUUGCAAUAUGCUUAUGCCUGAAAGAUUAAAAGAGUUGUAACUUCAAUCAUUUAUCAAAGAUUCCAAAUAAUCCAACCACACAAUUAAUUUAGCAUUUGCAAGGAUACAUAUUUAGCUAAUAUAGUCUAUACUAUUCAGUCAAUUAUUUUGACAUUGAUGCACCAGAAGUAUAACAAUUAUUGCAAAGGUCCCUAGUUUAGACACUGAUGACAUCACCGAGUGCUGAAAGUGAUUUAUUUAUGCUCUGAGUUUCAUUUAGUUGACUACCAGUAGACCCCGACUUCUUCACUCUUUCAGAACCAGCAAGGUCUACAAAACUUAGCUGCACAGUAGACAUAAAAUGGUCAUGUAAAGAUGAAUUAACAAGUGAUUUUUCAUCAAAAAAAAAAACAAGCACAAUAUGUUCUCCGGAUCAAAGCAUUGUAUCUUCUUUCCCAUCUUCAUUCACACUACAUUUGAUAUUCUUUUAUUUAUAAUAGACAUUGCAGCAUUUUUUAAAUUCAUGACAAAGGAUAGGAACAGAAAAUGCAGAUGCAUGCACCUGCACUCAAACAAGAUAACAUAACUUAAUUCACUUUACAUUAAAAUAUACCUUUCCCCUCUUGAUGCUGCUGCAGAAACAAAAAUCGGCUCCACAGGGCUGCAUUUUAAGUCCAAUACACUGCAUCACUAUUUAAUUCCAUAUCUGUUUAAUAUGAAGUUGAACAAGUUAAAAACUAAUCUAUAGUCAGUAGGAUAGUCAAAGUUUGAGGUAACUCCUUAAUCGACUACUGUUAGUAAUUUCAAUUAUUUGAAGUGACAUUCAGAACCGUUUUGAGAAAUAUUUUCUGAUUUUGUAUGUUACACAGUACUGCAUAGGGCAUAUUCAUUAGACUUUUGCAACAGAAGCAGUAGUAGAUCUGCUAAUUCUUUAACCUGCAAGGCCAUAAAAAAUCAAGUUCAGCCUUUAGAAAAUCACAUAAGAAAAGGAGGAAAGUUGCAAGGUGAAAAAGAUAAUAAUGGAGUUCUUUAUACCUGAUUCAAAGUUUGUCGACUUUCCACAAUCGAAAUGCAGCCUCAUAAUCUAUUAUCCCGAUCACAGCAGUUAUGAUGAUAGCUCCCAAGAUGACAUUGGGAGUGUAAUAAAACAGUGGCAUGAGAAACAAUAAAGUUACUAGGACAGCUACAAAUCAAACAACUAAGAAUACUUAAAAGUAUAUAUUUCUUUUCAUACACGUGAUAUGAGUUAGCAUAUCCACAUAACAAGAGGACUACACAUCAGUAUGUAGUAAGCCCUAACCAAGACAACUUCCACUAGCUUACUGCCUCAUAUUGGCUUGCUGCCACAAUAAAAGGUCAGUCAUGCUAAUUUCCAUGAACAACUUCAACCAUAUUAUCCAAAUAUCAUUGCAGAUGGGUGCAUUCACAUGUUCACAUGGCUGCAUAUGAUAACCAAUACCAACAAGGAGAGAAGACAACUUAUCAAAUAAUUAUAGUCUCUAGAAUAAUAAUUUCAGCAUUACUUACUUGUGCAAGAACAGCAGCUGCUAACUGAAGGCUUGGUUCUAAGGUCUCAGGGACGACCUACAUAAAUUUAAACUCAAAUUCAAGAUAUGAAAUAUAGGGAAUGAAGGUUCUAAUUAUGAAAAAGUUUUACAAGCAGAGUAAUGAUUAGAGAAUUUUUAGCCAACCACUGCUUGAGAUCAAAUAGUUGCAAUACAUAAAAAGUUUAGUAUUCCAGGGACUUUUGUUUAUUUUGUUGUGAGGGGAAAAGGGGGUGGGAAGAGGGGUGGGAAUAAGUAAAACAACUUCAAUGAUUUUCAAUUUGACAUCUCCAGAAGCCCUAAGGAUGCACAUUGAUCUUUUUACCUAUAUUUACAUGUACAUCAUCGUCAACCUUCACGUAGAAAUCGGCAUCCCACAAAGCAACAACAGUAGCAAAAAAUGUCUUUGUCUUGGACGACAGUUCAAGGUAUCCCUCAACAUGUUCCUGCUCAGAUUGAAUUCAAAUAACAAGCAGGAUCAGUUAGCAUGUUUUCUCGGAGUAACCCAUGCAAAAGAAGGCAAUAAGAUGCAUGUGUGCAUGGAGGAGUUUAUACAGUAAUGUUUUACAUACAAAGAAACCAUGCAUAGACUAAGUAUUGAAAUACGUACCUGAUAUCAAGUUCGGUAUAUGUGGACAUCAUCAACAUGUGAUAGGAUCAUAUUAUGAGCCGCAAUGAAAGUCUCUCUCUCCGAAUUGCCUAGGCAACAAUUCCCAAACGAAACUAAGCAACGAGAUGAUGGAUAAAUCCCUAACCUAUAUCCAUGAAUUGCUGCAACAUUAGGCUCAUUGAAGGUUAUCUAGUACUUCACUCGGUCCCCAAAGUAAUUGAAACAUACAUUUGCGUAGAAUUUGAAAUCCUCCCUAAGAAAUAUAUAUGAUUCAUGGUGCACUUUAGGGGUAAAUUUUGAACAGUACCAUAUGCACAUAUAUGGAGUAAAACCAUAGUCUUUGAGCUGCCUGAAACCACUUUUGCUGAUUACCUUUUUCAGGCAGUGGUGUUAAUAUAGGCCUUGUAAUCAGUUGAUUACCUUUCAUUUCUUACUCGUAAGAAAAAGAAGGAUCAUUUGCAACAUCAUUUACCUGCCUGAAACCACUUUUGCUAUUUCAGUCCAUCUGUUGCCAAAUAUCUUGUGAGCCUGCAUAACAUUUCUAAGAAUCAGGUCACACUCAACUAACAAUAAAUAAGGUUUAUUUUUCUGGCUAGAAAAUCAUACAAGUGGAAGGUAAAGCAUUAGUAGUUGAAGAAAGAAAGUGUAAUAAUAACAUAGCAUCAUCAUUUUACCUCACAUAAGAGCACGUCUUCCUCAGGUGACCAUCCCCCUUUUUUGACAUCAGAAUUCAAAUAAGUGUACCAUCUGCAAUUGUUUUUUCAUAUCUACAUCAAAUUAAUUGGACUAAACAACACAAAUUAAGGAUAUAUGGGAUGAAUAAAAGAAGAAUAAGACGACAAAUACAAGAAUCAGAACUGUCAAAUUUAAAAAUAAUGGAGUAACCUUCUUUUGCACUGUCUUGUUGUUUUAUCUUUGAAUUUGGAAGUAAUAAUGGCCCAACUGCACUAUAGUUUCAAGCUUUUAAAUCAUUAAUAUUACAAAUGAAAUUCAUAAUAAACAUUUUUAAUCACUUAAUAAUGCUCUAUAAGUGAAAAUAUCAAAAGAACAUUUAUCUUUGCAAUAACGAGUAAAAGAGAGAAAUCAUUAUAAUAAUUAAAAUAUCCCCACAAUAUACACCAACUUCCAGCUCAAAAGCGAUGCAUAAAUAAAUACAAAAACAAGCAACCAGAAUAAUGAAUUAAAUCAACUACUCUGAACCAAUUUAUUCUUCAAGACUAAAAAUAGAAUAAGGAAAAGAUUGCUCCAAUCUAGUGAAGAAAGCAAUUUGUUGAAACCAACCUUCGCUCUGCUGGGGGAAAUAGCCAACUACGUGGUAGCAGCAGCAGCAAAGGAAGUAGUGAUUUCAAAGAAAAUUUAUGAAGAAGUCCAGAAAUUUUCAAAAACCAAGUAUUAGUAUAAUAACAAGGGAGGCUUGAACAAUAUGUCAAGUUGAAUAUAGGAGUAUAUCAUUAGGAUAACCAGUAAAAAGAUUGAAAACACAUAAUUGUGAACAAAAUGCCAUGCCAAGUUUUUAUCUUGCUCCAGGACAUGAACCCUGAAUGUAAAAGACCUAACAAAUUUGCAACUUGAUAGAAUGCAUGCAUAAAACAAGGAGUAUAACAUGGUUUGCCAUCUAUUCAUAAAUAGCUUACCCAGCAAACGAAGUACUAAAAUAACAUCAAAUAACAAAAGAUCCAGUUUAAUAAAAACACAAUUCAAGAUACUGCUUAAAAUAGGUGAAGUUUCGAACCAAAAUUUCCGACACUACAAAGAUAAACCCCAAAUUAUGGGCAGGGAAAAGACCGGCACUAAAACAGAACUUGUUCCAGUCAAUUCCCUGCCAUUCAAUCUCAUUCAUGUCUUAAACAACAGAUGAAACAAAACGAGACACCUAAGCAAAAAAAAAAUCAAUAAUCUAAACAGUAUUUUUGAAGUAGAAAUGAAAUUACUGCGACACACCCAACCACUUGGUAAAGUUUUCAAACUCGGUAUAAUCACUGUCUGAGAUCAUGGUCUUGUACCAACCCUUUCCAGCUGCCCUAAUCUUGGUUUCCUCCUCCUGUAAGAAAAAAUAACAGAGGAAGUCAAUUAACAACUUUGUAAAACCUACCAUAACAAAAAGCCCUUAGAUUGUUAUAGAAACCAAAAACUGGAUUUAGAUUGUUAUGAUGAAUCGAAUCUAAACUCACACGACAAAUGGUGAGAUCUCCAUCAUCGUUGUACUCUUUAGCGCCGCCUCUCUUUCCCUUUCUCUGUCCCUCUUCGUUAUCUUCUCCUUCAGGCUCUUCUUCCUCUGCUUGUCGCGCUGCUUCAGCUUUGGAUUGCAGGUCUGCGAGGUAGGAUUCGACAACUUUCCUGACGAAUUGCUUGCGCUCCGGUGGGGAGAGGUCGAGCCCUAGAUUAACUUCCAGAGAGGGAAAAGGAGGUCGAGCACUAGCUUAAGUUUUUAUUUAAUCGCGUUUUUUUUAGCUCCGUAUUUUUCUUCAUAGACAACAUUUUUUAAAAAAAUGUUAUCUAAUUAAAACCAAAAAAAUGCCCUUUUAAAUAGAUAACGUUUUUACAUAUAUAUCUACAACGUUUUUUUUAAAACGUUGUAAAAAAAAUACCACAACGUUUUUAUAAAAAACGUUGUAGUUUAAGUGUUGUCUAUUUAGUAUUUUGUAGUAGUGAAUAUUACUUACAUACAACAGAGUAUGGAAGAAAAUAUUAUUUCUUACGAAUAUUGAACAAAAAUAAUAUCCCUUACAACUGAUGAACGAAAAUAAUAUUCCUUACAAAUAUUGAACGAAAUUAAAAUUCCUUACGAAUACGAAAAAUAAUAUCGUAAGUGAAUAUGAAAUAAAUAAUACCCCUCACCUUAAAAGGAGAGUACUCUGAUGACUGUUAUAGCGGAGAUAUUCUUAAAGAAAAACUUGCACUAUUUGCUACACUCAAAGUUUCCUUAACUCAAAAGAAAUACGCUCAAUAUUAUAGAAGAAGAAUUCUCUAAUUCUGGUGUGAUUUUCAUUUAUAAACUAAGCAUCCUAUUUAUAAGAGAAUAACAGGAUAAUAUUUAAAAAGAAAAAUCACGGACUGUAUAGUAAUUUUCAAAAGAAAUCACGGGCGAGAAUUCUAAAAAAAUUCGAUUUUUACUAUGCAGCACUAUGUUGCACUAUGCAGUACUAUGCAUAUAAUAAAAUAUAUUAUAUUCUAUUUUAUAUAAAAAACAAAACUUAUAUAUAUAUAUAUAUAAUUGAGAUAACUUUCUAUCGAUAAUUUUAAAAAAUGGGUAAAUGGAGGUCCAUAUAAUUACACCUGGCAAACGGGCGGGCGGGCGCGGGCCGGGCCAAAACGGCCCGGGUUUUGGCGGGCCAUAAAAUUGAAGCCCAAAGCCCGCGGGCUCAUGGGCGGGCCGAGCCGGCCCGCGGGCCGAAGGGUGUUUGAUGCCUAUUUUUUGAUAUUUUUUGGGCCCAAGAGUGAACGGGCCGGGCCGGGACGAAAAGUCUCGGAUUUUUGUGGGCCAAAAAAUACGGCCCAAAGCCCGCUUUUGACGGACGGGCCGGGCCGACCCACGGGCUUUGGGCCCAUUUGCCAGGUCUACAUAUAAUAAGCCAAAUUUACAGUAAAUACUUCAUAAAAACCCCUCUAUUUAUCUUAAUUUAGUUGACUUCACCAAAUACAUUUUUAAUAACAUUUAUUCAUCAUUAAUAGUAUAACUCGAAAUAUUAACAACCAGAUCAUUCCCAGAAAAGAGGGAGCUUUUUGAUAAGGACUUCUCCUUAUUGGCGCGUAAUUAGGUGACCAAACUCCUUUCCUCGACAUAACUUUCUAGAAAUUUUCAAUAAUGCAAAUAAUAUUAUGAAUAACUUUGUCGUCUCAAUUAUUGAUUUAAUAAUAUAAAAUAUUAUGUAGAUGAUACUGUGACAAUAAUUGAAUCAAUGAUAUGAGAUACUAUGCAUCAACUUCUGUUGCAAUAAUUUAAUAAAAUUAAGUGACUUCUCACGUAAGUAUUAAUAAUCAAAGAUACUGUACAAUACCGUGUGCUACUAUGCAACCACGUGUAUUAGUGUAUUUUUAUCACCGGGUAUUUCAACAGUUAGCGGUAAAAUUUUUGCUGUUAUUUUUAUAAAAAUUUAUUUCUGUCACUUUCUAAAUCCGACAGUUAUUCCGUUGUGGGGUCCACCAAUGAUUGUGCUGUCAUACGAAUAUUCUCCGACAAAAAGAAUAUUCCUCGACCAAACAAAUAUUUUAUGAUAACUUGCUUACUUUUGUAAAAUUUUCACAUAUCACCCUUAACUUUAACCUUUUAUCAAUUUAACCAUUUACUAAAUAGAAUAAUAAUUAUAAGAAAAUUAAAUACUUUCAUUUUAUAAAAUUCGGGCUCUUACACAUAGCUUUCUGCAAACUGACCCAAAAUCAUGAAGUGAAUCUUGGGUCUCGAUUAGAAAUUAUGGAUACUGGCAUAGCAUGCAGUCUUACUGUGACACCCCCAAAAUAGGUAUACAUCACCCAUCUUGAGUCGCCAAAUACAUGGUACAAAAUUCAAAUACAACUUAAUUAUACAACAGUCGUGUGAAAUACGACAAAACAUAAUCUAAGAGUUUUAAUAAGAAUAUUGUCAUCUAGACAAUAUUCACACUCAAUGGAGUCCUCAUUACAUUUACUGUCACACUAUUUAACAGAAUAGUGAAGACUACUAAUGCUAUCAUCUGGACCGUCACUCCGUUUCCCAAAUAGUCCCGGCUACGUUCUCAUUUCUUGAAGAGAACAGUGAAAAAAAGGGUGAGCUCAACUAGCCCAGUAAGAAAUAUUAUGACUAAGAUAAUGCAGAAUAAAUUAUCAUUAGUCUUCAACAAUGUUAAACUGAUAAAAUACAAUAGACAUCAAGUUUAACUGCAGCGGAAUAAGCAAUCCAUUAGAAGAGUCAAGUAGAGCAUGAUAUCUACUAUCUUCUAUGAUUUAAAAUGUUUUCAUCAAUUUUUAUCGCUGAGACUCAGCUUAAUAAAUAAACCACAUCAUCGAGUCAUCCCUGCACUACGGGCCAAGGAUAUUCAUUAAAUCAUCAAUGGUCAUGACUAUACCGAAUAAUCCUUGGUCAUAAUCAUACCAAAAACUGUCCAUCAAUGCACUACAGGCUACUGAGGACUUUUACCGCAUCAUUUAUAACAUUACAGAUCAUGAUUAUACUGAAUAAUCCCUGGUCAUAAUCAUACCAAGUUCAUCUAUGUACGUAAGCCAAAGAUGACUUUCAUCACAAUAUAAGCAUGGGGAUGAUGACAAUGACAUAAUAAUUCAAUAAAAACAAGUUCACGAAUAAAUUUUAAAGAUUUAUAAGUUAAUUUAUCUUGAAAUCAAUUACGUCCAAAUUGUCAACAUGAUACUGCUUUGUGGAGUAAAAUUCAAGAAUGCUCAGAAGAAUAUUACCAUGAAAAGAUACCGGAUGAAGCGCAAAUAUCCAGGAUAUUCUACUAAUUUCGUGGAGUAUAGAAGCCAAAACUUUAACCAAAUGAGUAUCAUAGAAUAUAUGAAACUACAAAUGGAUUUUCACCUGCCAUACGGUAAUCCACGUAGACAGAUCAUUUCCACAAUUUAAUAAGGAAUGAAUACUAAGGAUCAUUCAUCAUGCAUGUGAUAAUCCACAUAGACAGGUUAUUCCAACAGAAUAAUAAAGAAUGGAACCAGGUCAUGCGUAAUUCGCACAGACAGGAUAUUCCAACAGAAUAAUAAAGAAUGGAUAACAGAAGAAUUCAACAUGCAUGCGAUAGACCGCACAGACAGGUUAUUCCAACAGAAUAAUAAAUAAUGGAACCAUGUCUAGCGUAAUCUGCACAGACAGGAUAUUCCAACAGAAUAAUAAAGAAUGGAAUAACAAAGAAUUCAUCAUGCAUGCGAUAGACCGUACAGACAGGUUAUUCCAACAGAAUAAUAAAGAAUGGAACCAGGUCUAGCGUAAUCCGCACAGACAGGAUAUUCCAAUAGAAUAAUAAAGAAUGGAAUAACAGAAGAAUUUCACCAUGUAUGCGGUACUUCGCAUAGACAGGUUAUUCCAACAUAAUAAUAAAGAAUGGAAUAACAUAAAAAUUUCACCAUGUAUGUGGUACUUCGCAUAGACAAGUUAUUCCAACAUAAUAAUAAAGAGUGGAAUAAUAGAAGAAUUUCACCAUGUAUGCGGUACUUCGCAUAGACAGGUUAUUCCAACAUAAUAAUAAAGGAUGUAAUAACAGAAGCUCUCUUCAUGAAUACGAAAGAAAUAAUACCCCUUACUAUAAUAACAAUAUCUCUUACCUUAGAAAGAAACUGGAUACUGGAGUAGAGAGGUAGCGGACUUCUUUUCUUCUUUCUCUCUAUAAUUUUUCUCUAUAAUAAUUGCUGUAUAGCUUUAGUGAAUUGGUGAGAAAUAAAGGAAGAAUGAGCUUUUAUUUAUAGGAAAAUAUAGUUUGGAUAAUUGCACAUUUUGGGGCUCGAAAUAUUACAGUACAAUACCUUCAACUUUUCUUUCAUUUUUAAUUUAGUCUUGCAAGUAUUAUCAAACUUGCACCACCUCCCCUAAUAGUAUAUCAUGUGAAUCAAUAGUUAUAAUCAUGUGAAUUAAUAGCAAUUAAUUGCUUAUUUAUCCGGUUAAUUACCCGACUGGUCAAUAUAACUUCCAAACAUCAAUUAAUAUCGAAAUAAAUGUUAAUUUCCACUAACAUUAAUAAUUCCAACACAAUGAAACUAUCAAUUUCAUCUUUAAUCAACACGAACUUAUUCAUCAUUAAUAUUAUAUCUCACAAUAUUUAACAACCCGGUCGUUCCCAGGAAAGAGGAGGCUUUUCGAUAAGGAUUUCUUCUUACUGGCGCGGAAUUAGAUGACCAAACCUCUCCUUGACAAAAUUUCUAGACAUUGUAAAUAUUUCAAUUUAAUAAUAUGAAUAACUUUGUCGUCUCAAUUAUUGAUUUAAUAAUAUAACAUAUUAUGCAGAUGAUACUGUGACAAUAAUCGAAUCAAUAAUAUGAGAGAUAUGAUGUAGCAAUUAUUGUAGCAAUAAUUGAGUACAACUGAAUGACUUCUCACGUAAGCAUCAAUAAUAAAUACCGUGUGCUACUAUACAACCACGCGUAUUACUGUACUUUUACUACCGGGUAGUUCAACAAUUUAAUGGUAAAACUUUAGCCGUUAUUUUUAUAAAAAGAUAAUUCUGUCGUUUUCUAACUACGACAAUACUUCUGUUGUGGGGUCCACCAAUGAUUGUGUCUUCGUACGAAUAUUCCCUUUUAAAAUGAAUAUUCUCUGACCAAUCGAGUAUUAUAUAACCACUUGCUUACUUUGAAAAAUUUGUAAAUAUUACCCACAACUAUAACAUUAUAUCAAAUUCACACCAUAAUAUUCAAAAAUAUAUUUUGAGAAAAUUAUUCUUUAUUCAUAAAAGUUGGGGUCUUACAACCUCCCCUUCUUAUGAAUUUUUGUCCUCGAAAUUAGGGUGCGUACCUGGUAUGUCGAAGAGGUGAGGAUACCUUGAUUUCAUCUCAGAUUCUAACUCCCAGGUCAUUUCCUCCACAUCGUGGUUUCUCCAUAAAACUUUGACUUGAGGUAUAACUUUAGAGCGUAGAAUAUGAUCCUUCUUAUCAAAGAUUUUAACAAAUAACUCUUCAUACGUUAAAUCUUCCUCUAUUUCGUCUGGUUCUAAUUCAAUAAUAUGGUUCGGGUCUUUCACAUAUUUACGAAACAUAGAUAUGUGAAAAAAGUUAUGAACACGAGACAUACUUGGCGGUAAGGCGAGUCUAUAGGACACAGUUCCUACUCGAUCGAGGAUUAAAAAUGGGCCAAUGAAUCGAGGAUUGAGCUUUCCUCUCUUUCCAAAUCUUGUAACUCCUUUCCAUGGAGCAACACGUAACAACACAUGAUCUCCAAUAUUAAAUUCCACGUCUUUUCGAUGAAGAUCAGCAUAACUCUUUUGUCGAUCUUGUGAGAUUUUUAUACGUUGUCAGAUCGUUUGAAUCUUUUCCGUAGUCAUAUGUACCAAAUCUGGUCUCAACAACGUUGCUUCACCCACCUCAUCCCAGCAUACUGGAAAACGACACUUUCUUCCACACAACGCCUCAAAUGUAGCCAUGCCAAUACUUGCUUGAUAACUAUUGUUGUAGGAAAACUCCACCAAUGGUAAGAACUUGUCCCAACUUCCCUUGAAGUCAAGGACACAGAGUCUUAAUAAAUCUUCAAGAGUUUGAAUAGUCCUUUCCGACUGCCCAUCCGUUUGAGGAUGAUAUGCUGAACUAAAUCAUAAAUUCGUGCCCAUAGGUUUUUGCAAACUAACCCAAAAUCUUGAAGUGAAUCUUGGGUCUCGAUCAGAAAAUAUGGAUACUGGCAUACCAUGCAAUCUUACGAUCUCAUUUAUAUACAUACUAGCAAGACAUUCAAGUGUAAAAGUUUCUCAUAUCGGUAAGAAAUGAGUAGACUUGGUCAAUCUAUCAACAAUGACCCAAAUCGCAUCUAUGCUUUCAGAAACCUUGGGAAUACCAGUAACGAAAUCCAUGGUAAUGUGCUCCCACUUCCAUUCUGGAAUUUCAAGUGGUUGAAAUGGACCUUUUGGUAAUUGAUGCUCCGCCUUGACUCGUUGACAAGUUAGACACCUUGAGAUAAACCCCGUUAUCUCUCUCUUCAUAUUGCUCCACCAAAAUAUAUGUUGAAGAUCACGAUACAUUUUAAUACUCCCAGGAUGGAUUGCAAACGGUGUGUUGUGCGCCUCCAUCAUGAUUUUAUACUUCAAGUCAGAAUCGUUAGGAACACAAAGUUUGGAGUUGACUCGAAGUAUUCCUUCUUCAUCGAUUCUUGCUUUCGGAAUAGCACCUUCUUGCACUUUCUUCUUCAUACGCAUCAGCUCCAAGUUUGUAGUUUGAGCAGCUUUAACUUUAUAGAUUAAAGUCGGUUCCACUCGUAUAUUCGCCAUCAUCACAUGGGUCCCUGGAGUCUUUAACUCUAUUUCCAUCCUUUCCAAGUUAUACAAAAUGGGUCUUUGCGUUGACAAUCUUGCACUCAUACCCGCAUACGAUCUUCUACUCAAUGUGUCAGCUACUACGUUCGUUUUUCCAUGAUGGUAUUGGAUGGUAUGAUCAUAAUCUUUCAAUAAAUUAAGCCAUUGUCAUUGCCGCAUGUUGAGUUCCUUUUGAGUGAAGAAAUAUUUGAGGCUUUUAUGAUCCAUAUAGAUCUCUACCUUCUCUCCAUACAGGUAAUGCCUCCAAAUCUUAAGCGCAAAAAAUGACUGCUACCAACUCUAGAUCAUGAGUAGGAUAAUUCCUCUCAUAUUCUUUGAGUUGUCGUGAGGCAUAGGCUAUGACUUUCCCAUGUUGCAUGAGAACACAUCCUAACCCUUUGCCUGAAGCAUCACUGUAGAUGACAAAUCCCUCCGAGCCAGAUGGUAUUGUCAGAACAGCUGCUGAAAUGAGUCUCCUCUUGAGUUCUUGAAAAAUCUUUUCACAUUCCUCACUCCAAUCGAAUUUUGUAUCUUUUUGAGUCAGCUGAGUUAAUGGAGUAGUGAUUUGAGAAAACCCUUCUAUGAAUCUCCGAUAAUCACCAGCUAAGCCGAGAAAGCUACGUUCUUCGGUCACUGACUUAGGUUGUUCCCAGCUUUGAAUUGCUUCAAUCUUUGUCGGGUCAACAGAUAUUCCAUGAUUUGAUAUCCCGUGCCCAAGGAAUGCAACUUCCUCAAGCCAGAACUUGCAUUUCUUCAACUUGGCAUAAAGCUUAUUUUCACGAAGCUUUUGGAGUAUCAGCCUCAAGUGUUGCUCAUGGUCUUUGCGGGUUUUGGAGUAUAUGAGGAUGUCAUCAAUAAAGACGACCACAAAGUGAUCCAAAUAUUCCUUGAAUACUCGGUUCAUCAUAUCCAUGAAGGCAGCAGGAGCAUUAGUCAAUCCAAAGGACAUGACUAGGAAUUCAUAAUGCCCGUACCGAGUUCUGAAAGCCGUCUUUGGAAUGUCAUCGGUUCUAAUCUUCAAUUGGUGAUAUCCGGAACGAAGAUCAAUCUUUGAAAAGAAUUUGGCUCCUUGCAACUGGUCAAACAGGUCAUCAAUACGUGGCAAUGGGUACCUAUUUUUGAUGGUGACAUGAUUCAACUCCCGAUAAUCAAUACAAAGUCGCAUACUCCCAUCUUUCUUCUUCACGAAUAGAACAGGAGCACCCCAAGGAGAAGUACUAGGACGAAUAAAGCCAAUGUCUAACAAUUCCUGCAGUUGGGUCUUUAACUCCUGAAGUUCAAUAGGAGCCAUUCGAUAUGGGGCUUUGGAAAUGGGUUUUGUACCGGGUUCAAGGUCGAUACAAAAUUCAAUUUCACGCUCUGGGGGUAGGCCAGGAAGUUCUUCAGGGAAUACGUCAGGAAAUUUAUUAACAAUAGAAAUAUCAUUCAAAUCUGACGUAUUUUUAUUUAAAUCCGUGACAUGGGCUAAGAAAGCUUGACAUCCGUUUUUCAAUAAACGAAUAGCUUUAUGACUUGAUAUGACAGUGAUUGAUUUUAGUGGUUUGGUUGCUUGAAUUCGCAUAAUAGGUUGGUUAGGAAUAUGAAAGCUAACAACCUUACGAAAAUAAUCGAUUUUAGCAUGAUGAGUAGUUAACCAAUCAAUCCCUAAAAUCACAUCAAAUGCAAGUAUUUUCAAAGAAAUAAGAUCGACAGGUAACGUGCGGUUACCGAUUUGAAUCAAACAAGACUUAUAAACCGUGGAUGUAAUGAAGGUUUCUCCCAACGGAGUUUCAACAGAUAAGUCAAAGUCUAAUUUCUCCGGAGUCAAAUUUAAACGUUGAGCGCAAGUAGGAGAAAUAAAGGAAUGGGUAGAACCGGUAUCAAAUAAAGUAUAAACUUCGCUAGAGUUUAUGAUUAGCUUACCCGUGAUCACCUCGUUCGGAUUCCUCGCUUUUUGGGAGGUUACGACAAACGCUCUCCCUUGAACUACCGGUUUUGUCUUGUCUGGGACACCCUUUGAUGCCUCCAUCCCAGCUGGACUUGACUUUGGUGCACGACAAAAUCGGGUUAGGUGACCUUCUUUUCCACAAUUAUAACACGCUUUGAACUGCAUCGUGCAGUUUGGACUUAUGUGUCCUUCCCCUCCACAUUUGUAACAUACGACCGGUGGUCGUUCUCCUUCCUUAACAACAGGUGUUGGUGCUGACGUCUUUCCAUCCUUGUUGAAUCUCCUCUUCUUGAAAUAUCCACUCUUAUUAUCAUGGCCAUGAUUACCACCGAAGUGAUUAUCAUUUCUGGCAUGUUGAUUCCCUCCACGUUUGUUGUCACCGCUUCAAUGAUUGCUACCACUGGUAUUAUCGACUUGUCGGUUGCUCUCUCUUGGUUGGGUUGACUCAUUAUCGAGCUCCAAUAACUAGGCCAUUUUCACAACAUCUGAAUACAAACACAGUUUGUGAGAAAUUAGGUAUUGACGUAUCUCGGGUUUCAAACCUCUUAGAAACAUCCACGUCAUUCUCUCCUUAUUAUCAACCAAGUGGGACGUAAACCGAGACAACUCGGCAAACUUAGCUUCGUACUGCGCCACGGUCAUAUUGUUUUGCUCAAGCUUAAUGAACUCUAACACCUUCAUGUGACGAAUACUUUUAGGAAAGUACUUGUCAUUGAACAGCUCUUGGAACUUCUCCCAAGACAUUUUGAGUGCGGCAGUUUGAGUACGCUUUACAGAUUCCCACCAAUAAUCUACCUCUGCUCGCAACAUGAAGGUGGCAAAGGGAACCUUUUGCUCCUCGGAGCAUCCCAAGACAUCAAAUAUCUUGUUGAUCUGCUUUAUCCACGUCUCCGCCUUAAGUGGUUUUGGCUCUCCAAAAAACUCUGGUGGUCCCAGCUCCUUGAACUGCUUAGCGGUGACCGUCCGAGGGUUGUCAGUGUUUCCACCUGCAUUUUGGACAGGAGCCGCUUUCGCCUGAUGUUGCAUGAAUUGCAUAAAGCCUCUGAACAUCCCAUCGUUCACCAUUUCAUCGGUGUUAUUGUUUACAUGAGGAUUAUUGUCUUCCUGUUGCACAUUAUCCUGGGCAUUAAUCUGUGGUGACUCAACGGUCUCAUGUGCUUCAUUGUUUAUCUCAACAUUUUCGGAUGCCAUUUUCAAAUACUGCCACAAAACAAGGGUUAAUUAACAUAUCACAUAUUAUCCCUAUACUCUGACCGACCAAUUAAAUACCAAAUAAACUUAGGUAGGUCAUACUAGCGAAGGAAUUCCCCGUCUCUCCCCUCCUAGUUCUUGUCUCACAUCUCAGCCAGGGAUCAUAUCCCUAAGCUUUGAUACCAACUGUGACGCCCCCAAAAUAGGUAUACAUCACCCAUCUUGAGUCGCCAAAUACAUGGUACAAAAUUCAAAUACAACUUAAUUAUACAACAGUCGUGUAAAAUACGACAAAACAUAAUCUAAGAGUUUUAAUAAGAAUAUUGUCAUCUAGACAAUAUCCACACUCAAUGGAGUCCUCAUUACAUUUAUUGUCACACUAUUUAACAGAAUAGUGAGGACUACUAAUGCUAUCAUCUGGACCGUCACUCCGUUCCCCGACUAGUCCCGGCUACGUUCUCAUUUCCUGAAGAGAACAGUGAAAGAAAGGGUGAGCUCAACUAGCCCAGUAAGAAAUAUUAUGACUAAGAUAAUGCAGAAUAAAUUAUCAUUAGUCUUCAACAAUGUUAAACUGAUAAAAUACAAUAGACAUCAAGUUUAACUGCAGCGGAAUAAGCAAUCCAUUAGAAGAGUCAAGUAGAGCAUGAUAUCUACUAUCUUCUAUGAUUUAAAAUGUUUUCAUCAAUUUUUAUCGCUGAGACUCAGCUUAAUAAAUAAACCACAUCAUCGAGUCAUCCCUGCACUACGGGCCAAGGAUAUUCAUUAAAUCAUCAAUGGUCAUGACUAUACCGAAUAAUCCCUGGUCAUAAUCAUACCAAAAACUGUCCAUCAAUGCACUACAGGCUACUGAGGACUUUUACCACAUCAUUUAUAACAUUACAGGUCAUGAUUAUACCGAAUAAUCCCUGGUCAUAAUCAUACCAAGUCCAUCUAUGCACGUAAGCCAAAGAUGACUUUCAUCACAAUAUAAGCAUGAGGAUGAUGACAAUGACAUAAUAAUUCAAUAAAACAAGUUCAAGAAUAAAUUUUAAGAAUUUAUAAGUUAAUUUAUCUUGAAAUUAAUUACGUCCAAAUUGUCAACAUGAUACUGCUUUGUGGAGUAAAAUUCAAGAAUGCUCAGAAGAAUAUUACCAUGAAAAGAUACCGGAUGAAGCGCAAAUAUCCAGGAUAUUCUACUAAUUUCGUGGAGUAUAGAAGCCAAAACUUUAACCAAAUGAGUAUCAUAGAAUAUAUGAAACUACAAAUGGAUUUUCACCUGCCAUACGGUAAUCCACGUAAACAGAUCAUUUCCAUAAUUUAAUAAGGAAUGAAUACGAAGGAUAAUUCACCAUGCAUGUGAUAAUCCACAUAGACAGGUUAUUCCAACAGAAUAAUAAAGAAUGGAACCAGGUCAUGCGCAAUCCGCACAGACAGGAUAUUCCAACAGAAUAAUAAAGAAUGUAAUAACAGAAGAAUUCACCAUGAAUGCGAUAGACCGCACAGACAGGUUAUUCCAAUAGAAUAAUAAAGAAUGGAACCAGGUCUAGCAUAAUCCACACAGACAGGAUAUUCCAACAUAAUAAUAAAGAAUGGAAUAACAAAGAAUUCACCAUGCAUGCGAUAGACCGCAUAGACAGGUUAUUCUAAUAGAAUAAUAAAGAAUGGAACCAGGUCUAGCGUAAUCCGCANNNNNNNNNNNNNNNNNNNNNNNNNNNNNNNNNNNNNNNNNNNNNNNNNNNNNNNNNNNNNNNNNNNNNNNNNNNNNNNNNNNNNNNNNNNNNNNNNNNNGAAGAAUUUCACCAUGUAUGCGGUACUUCGCAUAGACAGGUUAUUCCAACAUAAUAAUAAAGAAUGGAAUAACAGAAGAAUUUUACCAUGUAUGCGGUACUUCGCAUAGAUAGGUUAUUCCAACAUAAUAAUAAAGAAUGGAAUAACAUAAGAAUUUCACCAUGUAUGCGAUACUUCGCAUAGACAGGUUAUUCCAACAUAAUAAUAAAGAAUGGAAUAACAGAAGCUCUCUUCAUGAAUACGAUAGAAAUAAUACCCCUUACUAUAAUAACAAUAUCCCUUACCUUAGAAAGAAACUGGAUACUGGAGUAGAGAGGUAGCAUGUGAGACCCCAAAUUUUAUGAAUAAAGAUUUAAAUUUCUCGAAUUUUUUUUUAAUAUUAUGGUGUGGAUUUGAUAUAAUGUUAUAGUUGUGGGUAAUAUUUAUAAAUUUUGCAAAGUAUGUAAGUUGUUAUAAAAUAUUCGUUGUGUCGGGGAAUAUUCUUUUUGUCGGGGAAUAUCCGUACGACGGCACAAUCAUUGGUGGACCCCACAACGGAAGUAUUAUCGUAUUUAGAAAACGACAGAAUUAUCAUUUUAUAAAAAUAACGGCGGAAGUGUUCUUGUUAAAACUGUUGAACUACCCGGUAGUAAAAGUACAGUAAUACGUGUGGUUGCAUAGUAGCACGCGGUAUUAAUUAUUGAUGCUUAAGUAAGAAGUCACUCAGGUAUACUCAAUUAAUUGCUACAAUAAUUGUUGCAUCAUAUCUCUCAUAUUAUUGAUUCAAUUAUUUUCACAAUAUCAUCUGCAUAAUAUGAUAUAUUAUUAAAUCAAUAAUUGAGACGGCAAAGUUAUUCAUAUUAUUAUUUGCAAUAUUGACAAUGUCUAGAAGUUCUGUCAAAGAGAUGUUUGGUCACUUAAUUGCGCGCCAAUAAGGAGAAAUCCUUAUCGGAAAGCCCCCUCUUUCCUGAAAACGACCUGGUUGUUAAAUAUUGUGAGUUAUAAUAUUAAUGAUGAAUAAGUUCGUGUUGAUUAAAGAUAAAAUUGAUAAGUUCCAUUAUGUUGGAAUUAUUAGUGUUAGUGGAAAUUGACAUUUAUUUCGAUAUUAAUUGAUGUCUGGAAGUUAUACUGAACAAUCGGGUAAUUAAUAGGAUAAAUGAGAAAUUAAUUGUUAUUGAUUCACAUGAUUAUAACUAUUUGUUCACAUGUGUGUACUAUUGAUUCACAUUCUUGUACUAUUAGGGGAGUUGGUGCAAGAUUGAUAAUACUUGCAUGACUAAGUUAAAAAUGGAGGUAUAGAUGAAGGUACUGUACUGUAAUUCGUAUUUUCACAUGAUUAUAACUAUUGAUUCACAUGAUUGAACUAUUGAUUCACAUUAUUUACUAUUAGGGGAGGUGGUGCAAGUUUGAUAAUACUUGCAGGACUAAAUUAAAAAUGAAAGAAAAGUUGGAGGUAUACUGUAAUUUUUUCGAGCCCCAAAACGUGCAAUUAUCGAAAUUGUAUUUUCCUAUAAAUAGAAGCUCAUUCUUCCUUCAUUUCUCACCAAUUCACUAAAGCUAUAGAGCAAUUAUUAUAGAGAGAAAUUAUAGAGAAAAAGAAGAAGAGAAGUUUAUUACCUCACUAUUCCAGUAUCCAGUCUUCUUUUGAGGUAAGUGGUAUUAUUUCUUUCGUAUUCAUGAAGAGAGCUAUUUUUAUUCCAUUCCUUAUUAUUCUGGUUGAAUAACCUGUAUACGCAGACUACCGUAUAAUGGUGAAAUUCUUCUGUUAUUCCAUUAUUUAUCAUUCUGUUAGAAUAUCCUAUCUGUGCAUAUUACGCAUGACCUGGUUCCAUUCUUUAUUAUUCUGUUGGAAUAUCCUGUCUGUGCAAAUUACGCAUGACCUAGUUCUAUUCUUUAUUAUUCUGUUGGAAUAACCUGUCUGUGCGGUCUAUCGCAUGCCUGUUGAAUUCUUCUGUUAUUCCAUUCUUUAUUAUUCUGUUGGAAUAACCUGUCUACGUGGACUACCGUAUGCAUGGUGAAUUCUUCUGUUAUUCCAUUCUUUAUUAUUCUGUUGGAAUAACCUGUCUGUGUGGAUUACCGCUUGCAUGGUGAAUGAUCCUUUGUACAAAAGGGGUUUUUACCAGGGGCAGUUUCAUAAUUUUUCUGACUCUCAAAAAUUCUGGAAAAAAUUGAAAUGAUAAUUUGAUGAGUUUUCUAGAAUGUGUCCAAAAAUGGCAAUUUUUGGAUGUAUAGAUUAAGAGUUAUGGAUUUUAUGGGAAAAACUAUUUUAAAAGUAAACCCUUAUAAGUCUUUGUGGUUAACUCUAAAAUUGGUGAAAUUUUUAUUGGGAGUACAUGUAUAUAACAGGAGUAUACCCUGUAAAUUUCGGAAUUUUUGGACAAAAGUAUAAUUUCUUUCUGAUAAAUGUCUAAAUAUUCAGCAGUUUUGACCAUAUGAAAAAUAACAAAUGAAUUUUAAAAAUUCCGAAAAAAAUAUAUGUUCAAUAUGGGACUAUAUUCUGUUAAAUUCCAGAAAAGAAUUAUUUUUGGGACUGAUUUGGUAUUUUUCAUGAAAAUGAACUAGUUAUGAGUAAAUGAAUUAAAUAUGUUAUGUGAAGUAACAAAAUUGGAAAAUAGGAUUUUAUAGAUUGGGAAUCCUAUAUAGGGUAUAUACAGAUUUUUGAUGAGGGAUUUGACCAUUGGUGAUGAAAUCUUAUGAGUAUGGCAUUUUUGAAUAAUUAAAUGCAUUAUUUGGUAAAAUGUAAACAAUUGAAAUAAAUUGUUUAUAAGUUUAAGAAGUGAUUAAAAUAUUGUUAUAAUAUUAAUAAUAUUAUAUUAUGAGUUUAUUAAGCGAUUGCUAAUAUUUGGAUAAAUUUAAAGUCUUUAAUAUUUAUCCUUAUUUUCGUUUGAUUAAUGCUUAUAUCAUUAUCAUCAUUCUCAUGCUUGUGAUGUGUUGAAAGUCAUGACCUGUAAUGUUAUAAAUGAUGUGGUAAAAGUCUCAGUGGCCUGUAGUAGAUUGAUGGACAAUUUUUGGUAUAAUUAUGACCAGGGAUUAUUCGGUAUAGUCAUAACCAUUGAUGAUUUAAUGAAUAUCCUUGGCCCGUAGUGCAGGGAUGAUUCGAUGAUGUGGUUUAUUUAUUAAGCUUAGUCUCAGCGAUAAAAAUUUAUAAAAAUAUUUUAAAACAUAGAAGAUAGUAGAUAUCAUGCUCUACUUGACUCUUCUAACGGAUUGCUUAUUCCGCUGCAGUUGUUGAUCUAAAACUUGUUGUCUAUUUUAUUCUAUUAGUUGUUAUACUGUUGAAGGCUAAGGAUAAUUUAUUCUGCAUUAUCUUAGUCAUAAUAUUUCUUACUGGGCUAGUUGAGCUCACCCUUUCUUUCAUUGGUCUCUUCAGGAAAUGAGAAUAUAGCUGGGACUAGUCGGGGAACGGAGUGACGGUCCAGAUGAUUACAUUAGUAGUCCUCAAUAUUCUGUUAAAUAGUGUGAUAAUAAAUAUAAUGAGGACUCCAUUGAAUGUGGAUAUUGUCUAGAUGACAAUAUUUGUAUUAAAACUCACAGCAUAUGUUUUGUCGUAUUUUACACGACAGUUGUAUAAUUAAGUUUUUAUUUGUAUUUUAUACCAAAAAUCUGACGACUCAGAAUGGGUGAUGUAUACCUAUUUUGGGGGCGUCACAGUUGGUAUCAAAGCAUAGGGAUAUGAUCCCGGUUGAGAUGUGAGACAAGAACUAGGAAGGGAGAGACGGGGAAUUCCUUCGCUAGUAUGACCUACCUAAGUUUAUUUGGUAUUUAAUUGGUCGGUCAGAGUAUAGGGAUAAUAUGUGAUAUAUUAAUUAACCCUUGUUUUGUGACAGUGUUUGAAAAUGGCAUCUAAAAAUGUUGAGAUCAGUAAUGAAGCACAUAAGACCGUUGAGUCACCAACAAUCAAUACCCAGGAUAAUGUGCAACAGAAAGACAAUAAUCCUCAGGUAAAUAACAACACCGAUCAGAUGAUGAACGAUGGGAUGUUCAGAGACUUUAUGCAAUUCAUGCAACAUCGGGUAAGAGAGACUCCUGUUCAAAAUAUAGGUGGAAAUAAUGGCAACCCACGGUCAGUCACCGCUAAGCAGUUCAAGGAGCUGGGACCACCAGAGUUUUUGGGAAAGCCAGAACCACUUAAGGCGGAGACAUGGUUAAAGCAAAUCACCAAGAUAUUGAUGUCUUGGGAUGCUUAAAGGAGCAAAAGGUUCCCUUCGCCACCUUUAUGUUGCAUGAAGAGGCAGAUUACUGGUGGGAAUCUAUAAAACGUACCCAGCCUGACGCACUCAAGAUGUCUUGGGAGAAGUUCCAAGAGAUGCUCAACGACAAGUACUUUUCCGAAAGUAUUCGUCACAUGAAGUAGGUGGAGUUUAUCAAGUUGGAGAAAAAUAAUAUGACCGUGUUGCAAUACGAGGCUAAAUUUACGAAGUUAUCCCAGUUUGCAUCCCAUUUGGUGGAUAAUGAGGAGCGAAUGACACGAAUGUUUCUAAGAGGUUUGAAACCCGAUAUACAUCAAUACCUUAUUUCUCACAAAUUAUAUUUUGUAUUCAGAUGUAGUGAAUAGGGCUCAGUUAUUGGAGCGCGAUAAUGAACCAGCCCAACCAAAAGGCAACCAUAAUAAUCGUACCGGUGGCAACGACCAUCGGAACAAUUAUAACCAUCGUGGGGGAAAUUAUCAUGCCAAGAAUGGUAACCACUUCGGUGGUAAUCAUGGCCGAGAUAAUAGGAGUGGAAAUUUCAAGAAGGGGAGAUUCAACAAUGAUGGAAAGAUGUCAGCACCAGCACCUGUUGUUAAUUAAGGAAGGAGAACGACCGCCGGUCGUAUGUUACAAAUGUGGAGGGGAGGGACAUAUCAGUCCAAACUGCGUGAUGCAGUCCAAAGUAUGUUACAAUUGUGGAAAAGAAGGUCACCUAGCCCGAUUUUGUCAUGCACCAAAGUCAAGUUCAGUGGGGACGAUGGCACCAAAGGCGGAUACGGACAAAACAAAGUCGGUGGUUUCAGGAAGAGCGUUUUUCGUAAAUUCUCAAAAAGCGAGUAACCCGAACGAAGUUAGCACAGGUUAGUUAAUUAUAAAUUCUUGCGAAGUCUAUACCUUAUUAGAUAUCGGGUCUACCCAUUAUUUUAUCUCUUUUGCUUGCGUUCAACAUUUGAAUUUGACCCCAGAGAAUUUAGACUUUGACUUAUUGGUUGAAAUUUUGUUAGUAGAAACCUUCACUUCAUGUGUUAUCCAAGUCUUGGAUGAGAGUCACAGUUUUUAAAUGAUAUUUCUAUCGUUAAUAAAUUUCCUGACGUAUUCUCAAAGAACUUCUUAGCUUACCCCUAGAACAUGAAAUUGAAUUUUGUAUUGACCCCAGUACAAAACCCAUUUCUAAAACCCUCAAAUAUUUCUUUACCUAAAACGAUCGUAUAAUGUGCCAAAGACGUUGGCUCGAGCUGUUGAAGAUUACGAUCAUACCAUUCAAUAUCAUCGUGGAAGAGCGAACGUGGUAGCUGACGCGUUGAGUAGAAAAUCGUAUGCGUUUACGAGUGCGAUUUUGUUAACACAAAAACCCAUUUCGUAUAACUUACAAAUGAUGAAGAUAGAGUUAAAGAAUCUAGGGACCCACGUGAAGAUAACGAAUAUACGAUUAGAAUCGACUUUAAUGGAUAAAGUUAAAGCCGCUCAAGCUUCACACCCGAAUCUGAUGAAUGUGAAGAAUAAGGUUCAAGAAGGCGUUAUCUCAACCCUCGAUUUAAUUGACCCAUUUGAAAUCCUCGAUUGAGUAGGAACUGUGGCCUAUAGACUCGUUUUACAGCAAAGUAUGUCGCGUGUUCAUAACGUUUUUCACGUAUCGAUGUUACGUAAAUAUGUGGAUGACCCAAACCACGUUAUUAAAUUAGAACUAGACGAGAUAGCAGAAGAUUUAACGUACGAGGAGAUACGUGUUAAAAUCUUGGAUAAGAAGGAUCGUAUUCAACACUCAAAGGUUAUACCUCAAGAGUUAGAAUCUGAAAUAAAGUCAAGGUAUCCUCAUCUCUUCGGCAUACCAGGUACGUACGUAAAUUUCGAUGGCAAAAUUUCAUAAGGAGGGGAGAUUGUGAGACCUAAAAUUUUAUGAAUAAAGAAUUAAAUUUCUUGAAUUUUUUUUUAAUAUUAUGGUGUGGAUUUGAUAUAAUGUUAUAGUUGUGGGUAAUAUUUAUAAAUUUUGCAAAGUAUGAAAGUUGUUAUAAAAUAUUCGUUGUGUCGGGGAAUAUUCUUUUUGUCGAAGAAUAUCCGUACGAUGGCACAAUCAUUGGUGGACCCCACAACGGAAUUAUUGUCGUAGUUAAAAAAUGACAGAAUUAUCAUUUUAUAAAAAUAACGGCGGAAGUGUUACAGUUAAAACUGUUGAACUACUCGGUAGUAAAAGUAUAGUAAUACGCGUGGUUACAUAGUAGGACACGGUAUUGAUUAUUGAUGCUUAGGUAAGAAGUCACUCAGUUAUACUCAAUUAAUUGUUACAGUAAUUGUUGUAUCAUAUCUCUUAUAUUAUUGAUUCAAUUAUUGUCAGAGUAUCCUCUACAUAAUAUGAUAUAUUAUUAAAUCAAUAAUUGAGACGGCAAAGUUAUUCAUAUUAUUAUUUGCAAUAUUGACAAUAUCUAGAAGUUCUGUCAAAGAGAGGUUUGGUCACCUAAUUGUGCGCCAAUAAAGAGAAAUCUUUAUCGGAAAGCCCCCUCUUUCCUGAGAACGACCUGGUUGUUAAAUAUUGUGAGUUAUAAUAUUAAUGAUGAAUAAGUUCGUGUUGAUUAAAGAUGAAAUUGAUAAGUUCCAUUGUGUUGGAAUUAUUAGUGUUAGUGGAAAUCGACAUUUAUUUUGAUAUUAAUUGAUGUCUGGAAGUUAUACUGACCAUUCGGAUAAUUAAUAGGAUAAAUGAGCAAUUAAUUGCUAUUUAUUCACAUGAUUAUAACUAUUUAUUCACAUAUAUGUACUAUUGAUUCACAUUCUUGUACUGUUAGGGGAGUUGGUGCAAGAUUGAUAAUACUUGCAUGACUAAGUUAAAAAUUGAGGUAUAGAUGAAGGUACUAUACUGUAAUUCGUAUUUUCACAUAAUUAUAACUAUUGAUUCAUAUGAUUGAACUAUUGAUUCACAUUAUUUACUAUUAGGGGUGGUGGUGCAAGUUUGAUAAUACUUGUAGGACUAAAUUAAAAAUAAAAGAAAAGUUGGAGGAAUUGUACUGUAAUUUUUUGAGCCCCAAAACGUGCAAUUAUCGAAACUAUAUUUUUCUAUAAAUAGAAGCUCAUUCUUCCUUCAUUUCUCACCAAUUCACUAAAGCUAUAGAGCAAUUACUAAUAAUACCUCGUGUUAUCAUAAGACAGGGUUGUGCACAUCCACUUGCUGAGUAUAUCUACGAGCACUACCUAUAUAAUCUUGGAGUUUGUUUGAAAUAUGAUUCUCAAUUAGAGACAAUGGAGAUAAUUAUAAGUCAAAAGAAGACUCACCAUUGGAAAAAAGAUGAUAGCAAUCUUCUUGUUUUUCUUUGGGGACUAUUGGGUCAACCAAGGAUAAUUCUGUGGAUAUAUGAUAUCUAUCAUAACCUAGACGCAUGGCCUCCCAUGUACGAAGGUUUCCUUGAGUAUUUUCCAAAGAUUUUAAUUUCUAAAAAAUUUAUUGACUGUACUUUUAUGUAAAGUACCAUUGUAAGGUUGUGGUCGAGGCACCAUGAGAGUUACAUACAUUUGUAUUAAAACUCACAGUUUAACUGUGUUCGUAUUCUGCACGACAGUUCAACAGUUGUAUAAAUGAAGUUUGUAAAUAAUUUUUAUAGUGUGAUAUCUGGCGACUCAGAAUGGGUCAUGUGGACCUAUUUUGGGGGCAUCACAAAUGGUAUCAGAGUUUAGGGAUAUGGUCGUUGGCGGAGAUAUGAGUCUAGAACUAGGAGGGGAGAGACGAGUAAUAUACUUCGCUAGUGUGUGACUUACCUAAGCUGAAAUUGUUUACUUGAUAAGUUGACAAAUUGUGAUAUGUCAAUUAACCUUUGUUUUGAAGAUAUACUCUAGAAUGAUAUCUGAAAUACAGGAGAUGAGCAAUAGAAAAAUCAUGAUACAGAGGAAAUAACCGGGAAGGUACAAUCCGAAAUGAAAGCAAGGUAUUCUCAUCUCUUCGAACUACCAGGUAUAUAAAUUUCGAGGGCGAAAUUUCAUAAGGAGGGGAGAUUGUGAGACCCUGAAUUUUAUGAAAUGAAAGUAUUCAAUUUUUUUUAUAAUUAUUCUAUUUAGUAAAUGGUUAAAUUGAUAAAAGGUUAAAGUUAAGGGUGAUAUGUGAAAAUUUUUCAAAGUAAGAAAGUUUUCAUAAAAUAAUCGGUGAUAAAAGUACAGUAAUACGCGUGGUUGCAUAGUAGCACACGGUAUUGAUUAUUGAUGCUUACGUGAAGAGUCACUCAAUUAUACUCAAUUAUUACUACAGUAAUUGCUCCAUCAUAUCUCUCAUAUUAUUGAUUCAAUUAUUGUCACAGUAUCAUCUACAUAAUAUGUUAUAUUAUUAAAUCAAUAAUUGAGACGACAAAGUUAUUCAUAUUAUUAUUUGCAAUAUUGACAAUGUCUAGAAGUUCUGUCAAGGAGAGGUUUGGUCACCUAAUUGCGCGCCAAUAAGGAGAAAUCCUUAUCGAAAAGCCCCCUCUUUCCUGGAAACGAACUGGUUGUUAAAUAUUGUGAGUUAUAAUAUUAAUGAUGAAUAAGUUCCUGUUAAUUAAAGAUGAAAUUGAUAGUUUCAUUGUGUUAGAAUUAUUAGUGUUAGUGAAACUCGACAUUUAUUUCGAUAAUAAUUGAUAUAUGGAGGUUAUAUUGACCAAUCGGGUAAUUAACCGGAUAAAUGAGCAAUUAAUUGCAAUUGAUUCAUAUGAUUAUAACUAUUUGUUUACAUGUGUGUACUAUUGAUUCACAUUCAUUUACUAUUAGGGGAGUUGGUGCAAGAUUGAUAAUACUUGCAUGAGUAAGUUAAAAAUGGAGGUAUAGAUGGAGGUACUAUACUGUAAUUCGUAUUUUCACAUGUCUAGAACUAUUAAUUCACAUGAUUUACUAUUAGGGGAGGUGGUGCAAGUUUGAUAAUACUUGCAGAACUAAAUUAAAAAUAAAAGAAAAGAGGAAGGUAUUAUUCUGUAAUAUUUCGAGCCCCAAAAACGUGCAAUUAUUGAAACUAUAUUUUCCUAUAAAUAGAAGCUCAUUCUUCCUUCAUUUCUCACCAAUUCACUAAAGCUAUAGAGCAAUUAUUAUAGAGAGAAAUUAUAGAUAGAAAGAAGAAAAGAAGUCUACUACCUCACUAUUCCAGUAUCCAGUCUUCUUCUGAGGUAAUGGAUAUUGUUAUUAUUGUAAGGAGUAUUAUUCUUUCGUAUUCAUGAAGAGAGUUAUUUUCUUUCAAUAAUCAUAAGAGUUGUUAUUCCAUUCUUUAUUAUUAUAUUGGAAUAACCUGUCUAUGCGAAGUACUGCAUACAUGGUGAAAUUCUUCUAUUAUUCAAUUCUUUAUUAUUCUGUGGGAAUAACCUGUCUGUGCGGUCUAUCACGCAUGCCUGGGGAUUUCUGUUGUUAUUUUAUUCUUUAUUAUUCUGUUGGAAUAUCCUGUCUGUACGGAUUACGCAUGACCUGGUUUCAUUCUUUAUUAUUCUGUUGGAAUAUCCUGUCUGUGCGGAUUACGCAUGACCUGGUUCCAUUCUUUAUUAUUCUAUUGGGAAUAACCUGUCUAUGCGGUCUAUCGCAUGCAUGGUGAAUUCUUCUGUUAUUCCAUUCUUUAUUAUUCUGUUGGAAUAACAUGUCUAUGUGGAUUACCACAUGCAUGGUGAAUGAUCCUUUGUAUUCAUUCCUUAUUAAAUUGUGGAAAUGAUCUGUUUACGUGGAUUACCGCAUGGCGGGUGAAAAUCCAUUUGCAGUUUCGUAAUUUUUCUAACCCUCAAAAAUUCUGGAAAAAUUUAAAAUGAUAAUUUGAUGAGUUUUCUAUAUUGUGUCCAAAGAUGGCGAUUUUUUGAUGUAUAGAUUAAGAGUUAUGAAUUUUAUGGGAAAAGAUUAUUUUAAAAGUAAACCAUUAUAACUUCUUGUGGUUAACUCCAAAAGUGGUGAUAUUUUUAUUGAAAAUACAUGUAUAUAACAGGAGUAUACCCUGUAAAUUUCGGAAUUUUUGGACAAAAGUAUAAUUUCUUUCUGAUAAAUGUCUAAAUAUUCGAUAGUUUUGGUCAUAUGAAAAAUAGUAAAUGAAUUUUAAAAAUUUUGAGAAAAAUAUAUGUUCAAUAUGGGACUAUAUUCUGCUAAAUCCCAGAAAAGAAAUAUUUUUGGGACUGAUUUGAUAUUUUUUAUAAAAAUGAACUAGUUAUGAGUAAAUGAAUUAAAUAUGUUAUGUGAAGUAACAAAAUUNNNNNNNNNNNNNNNNNNNNNNNNNNNNNNNNNNNNNNNNNNNNNNNNNNNNNNNNNNNNNNNNNNNNNNNNNNNNNNNNNNNNNNNNNNNNNNNNNNNNNNNNNNNNNNNNNNNNNNNNNNNNNNNNNNNNNNNNNNNNNNNNNNNNNNNNNNNNNNNNNNNNNNNNNNNNNNNNNNNNNNNNNNNNNNNNNNNNNNNNNNNNNNNNNNNNNNNNNNNNNNNNNNNNNNNNNNNNNNNNNNNNNNNNNNNNNNNNNNNNNNNNNNNNNNNNNNNNNNNNNNNNNNNNNNNNNNNNNNNNNNNNNNNNNNNNNNNNNNNNNNNNNNNNNNNNNNNNNNNNNNNNNNNNNNNNNNNNNNNNNNNNNNNNNNNNNNNNNNNNNNNNNNNNNNNNNNNNNNNNNNNNNNNNNNNNNNNNNNNNNNNNNNNNNNNNNNNNNNNNNNNNNNNNNNNNNNNNNNNNNNNNNNNNNNNNNNNNNNNNNNNNNNNNNNNNNNNNNNNNNNNNNNNNNNNNNNNNNNNNNNNNNNNNNNNNNNNNNNNNNNNNNNNNNNNNNNNNNNNNNNNNNNNNNNNNNNNNNNNNNNNNNNNNNNNNNNNNNNNNNNNNNNNNNNNNNNNNNNNNNNNNNNNNNNNNNNNNNNNNNNNNNNNNNNNNNNNNNNNNNNNNNNNNNNNNNNNNNNNNNNNNNNNNNNNNNNNNNNNNNNNNNNNNNNNNNNNNNNNNNNNNNNNNNNNNNNNNNNNNNNNNNNNNNNNNNNNNNNNNNNNNNNNNNNNNNNNNNNNNNNNNNNNNNNNNNNNNNNNNNNNNNNNNNNNNNNNNNNNNNNNNNNNNNNNNNNNNNNNNNNNNNNNNNNNNNNNNNNNNNNNNNNNNNNNNNNNNNNNNNNNNNNNNNNNNNNNNNNNNNNNNNNNNNNNNNNNNNNNNNNNNNNNNNNNNNNNNNNNNNNNNNNNNNNNNNNNNNNNNNNNNNNNNNNNNNNNNNNNNNNNNNNNNNNNNNNNNNNNNNNNNNNNNNNNNNNNNNNNNNNNNNNNNNNNNNNNNNNNNNNNNNNNNNNNNNNNNNNNNNNNNNNNNNNNNNNNNNNNNNNNNNNNNNNNNNNNNNNNNNNNNNNNNNNNNNNNNNNNNNNNNNNNNNNNNNNNNNNNNNNNNNNNNNNNNNNNNNNNNNNNNNNNNNNNNNNNNNNNNNNNNNNNNNNNNNNNNNNNNNNNNNNNNNNNNNNNNNNNNNNNNNNNNNNNNNNNNNNNNNNNNNNNNNNNNNNNNNNNNNNNNNNNNNNNNNNNNNNNNNNNNNNNNNNNNNNNNNNNNNNNNNNNNNNNNNNNNNNNNNNNNNNNNNNNNNNNNNNNNNNNNNNNNNNNNNNNNNNNNNNNNNNNNNNNNNNNNNNNNNNNNNNNNNNNNNNNNNNNNNNNNNNNNNNNNNNNNNNNNNNNNNNNNNNNNNNNNNNNNNNNNNNNNNNNNNNNNNNNNNNNNNNNNNNNNNNNNNNNNNNNNNNNNNNNNNNNNNNNNNNNNNNNNNNNNNNNNNNNNNNNNNNNNNNNNNNNNNNNNNNNNNNNNNNNNNNNNNNNNNNNNNNNNNNNNNNNNNNNNNNNNNNNNNNNNNNNNNNNNNNNNNNNNNNNNNNNNNNNNNNNNNNNNNNNNNNNNNNNNNNNNNNNNNNNNNNNNNNNNNNNNNNNNNNNNNNNNNNNNNNNNNNNNNNNNNNNNNNNNNNNNNNNNNNNNNNNNNNNNNNNNNNNNNNNNNNNNNNNNNNNNNNNNNNNNNNNNNNNNNNNNNNNNNNNNNNNNNNNNNNNNNNNNNNNNNNNNNNNNNNNNNNNNNNNNNNNNNNNNNNNNNNNNNNNNNNNNNNNNNNNNNNNNNNNNNNNNNNNNNNNNNNNNNNNNNNNNNNNNNNNNNNNNNNNNNNNNNNNNNNNNNNNNNNNNNNNNNNNNNNNNNNNNNNNNNNNNNNNNNNNNNNNNNNNNNNNNNNNNNNNNNNNNNNNNNNNNNNNNNNNNNNNNNNNNNNNNNNNNNNNNNNNNNNNNNNNNNNNNNNNNNNNNNNNNNNNNNNNNNNNNNNNNNNNNNNNNNNNNNNNNNNNNNNNNNNNNNNNNNNNNNNNNNNNNNNNNNNNNNNNNNNNNNNNNNNNNNNNNNNNNNNNNNNNNNNNNNNNNNNNNNNNNNNNNNNNNNNNNNNNNNNNNNNNNNNNNNNNNNNNNNNNNNNNNNNNNNNNNNNNNNNNNNNNNNNNNNNNNNNNNNNNNNNNNNNNNNNNNNNNNNNNNNNNNNNNNNNNNNNNNNNNNNNNNNNNNNNNNNNNNNNNNNNNNNNNNNNNNNNNNNNNNNNNNNNNNNNNNNNNNNNNNNNNNNNNNNNNNNNNNNNNNNNNNNNNNNNNNNNNNNNNNNNNNNNNNNNNNNNNNNNNNNNNNNNNNNNNNNNNNNNNNNNNNNNNNNNNNNNNNNNNNNNNNNNNNNNNNNNNNNNNNNNNNNNNNNNNNNNNNNNNNNNNNNNNNNNNNNNNNNNNNNNNNNNNNNNNNNNUUUUAAAUCAUAGAAGAUAGUAGAUAUCAUUCUCUACUUGACUCUUCUAAUGGAUUGCUUAUUCUGCUGCAGUUAAACUUGAUGUCUAUUGUAUUUUAUCAGUUUAACAUUGUUGAAGAUUAAUGAUAAUUUAUUUUGCAUUAUCUUAGUCAUAAUAUUUCUUACUGGGCUAGUUGAGUUCGCCCUUUCUUUCACCGUUCUCUUCAGGAAAUGAGAAAAUAGCUGGGACGAGUCAGGAAACGGAGUGACGGUCCAGAUGAUAGUAUUAGUAGUCUUCACUAUUCUGUUAAAUAGUGUGACAAUAAAUGUAAUGAGGACUCCAUUGAGAGUGGAUAUUGUCUAGAAGGCAAUAUUCUUGUUUAAACUCUCAGCUUAUUUUUUGUCGUAUGUUACACGACAGUUGUGUUAUUAAGUUUUUAUUUGUAUUUUGUACCAUGUAUUUGGCGACUCAAGAUGGGUGAUGUAUACCUGUUUUGGGGGCGUCACAGUUGGUAUCAAAGCUUAGGGAUAUGAUCCCUGGCUGAGAUGUGAGACAAGAACUAGGAGGGGAGAGACGGGAAAUUCCUUCGCUAGUAUGACCUACCUAAGUUUAUUUGGUAUUUAAUUGGUCGGUCAGAGUAUAGAGAUAAUAUGUGAUAUGUUAAUUAACUCUUGUUUUGUGGCAGUGUUCGAAAAUGGCAGCUGAAAAUGUUAGUAAUGGAGUGAAUGAGACCAUUGAGACACCUUUAAUCACUAACCAGGUUAAUAUGAUGUUAGACGAAGAAGAAAUUAGAGAUAUCUAUGUGGUAAAUGAAGAACUAAUAGUUGCACCCGAGCUAGUUGCAGAGGUAGCAGCUGAGAGUGAGGAAGAAGAGAAAACUGAAGAAAAUUUAUUAGAAGAAUUUUAUGAUCAAAAUUUAGAAUUACAAAAUCGUAUUCAUGAGUUAGAAGAGCAGGCUGAAGAACGGCAGGCGGUCGUGGAGCAAAGAGAUGCAACAAUUCAAAAUUGUGUUACCCGAUGUGCGAUGCUUGAACAGAAGCACUCUUUAGAAGAGUAUAGAUAUUAGAGCUGGAAUCUGAGAACACUAUGAUCAAAGUUCUGAUGAAAGCAGAAACAGCUGAACGAAGAAGAAUAGAUGAUGCGUGGGUAACAGCCGCACGACGCGUUGAUAGUGUAGAAAAAGACUUCCGAUCCAAUAAAGUCAAAAUAGAUGAAAUGGAUUUCGCUUUUUGGACAACAAUUGGGAGAAUCCAACAUCGAAUUCAGAAUUACCCUGUACAGAGCAGUCAACACCAAUUCGAUAUGGAUCGGAGAGUAAUGAUUCAAAUCAUGGAUCAGGAAUGUGACGAAGCAAUUAAGGGUGGAAUGUACUCUAUAGCAAAGUCAAAUCCGGUAGUUUAAGUGAGAGUGUUUGUCGAUAAACCUGAACGAAGUUAUUACGGGUAAGUUAAUUACAAACUCUUGUGAAGUCUAUGUCUUAUUAGAUACCAGUUCUACCCAUUAUUUUAUCUCUCUUGCUUGCGUUCAAUGUUUAAAUUUGACUCCAAAAAAAUUAGACUUUGAUUUAUCUGUUAAAACUCCGUUGGGAGAAACCUUCGUUACCUCGACUGUUUAUAAAUCUUGUUGCUUCAAAUCAACACUUUCACGUUACCUGUCAAUCUUAUCUCUUUAAAAAUACUUGCCUUUGAUGUGAUUUUAGGAAUCGAUUGAUUAACUACUUAUCAUGCUUUUCGUAAGGUUGUUAACUUUCAUAUUCCUAAUCAACCUGUUUUGCGAAUUCAAGCAACCAAACCACUAAAGUUAAUCACUGUCAUAUCAAGCCAUAAAGCUAUUCGUUUAUUGAAAAAUGGAUGUCAAGUUUUCUUAGCCCAUGUCAUGGAUUUAAAUAAAAAUACGUCAGAUUUGAAUGAUAUUUCUAUUGUUAAUAAAUUUUUUGACGUAUUCUCGAAGACUUCUUAGCCUACUUAGAGCGUGAAAUCGAAUUUUGUAUUGACCCCAGUACAAAACCCAUUUCGUAUAACUUACAAAUGAUGAAGAUAGAGUUAAAGUCUCUAGGGACCCACGUGGUGAUAUCAAAUAUACGAGUAGAAUCGACUUUAAUCGAUAAAGUUAAAGCCGUGCAAGCUACAUACUCAGAGCUGAUGAAUGUGAAGAAGAAGGUUCAAGAGGGCGUUAUUCUAGAAGCAAGAAUCGAUGAAGAGAGAAAAUCUCAACCCUCGAUUUUAUUGGCCCAUUUGAAAUCCUUGAUCGAGUAGGAACUGUGGCCUAUAGACUCGUUUUACCGCCAAAUAUGUUGCGUGUUCAUAACGCUUUUCACGUAUCGAUGUUACGAUGACCCGAACCACGUUAUUGAUUUAGAACCAAAUGAGAUAGCGAAAGAUUUAACGUAUGAGGAAAUACGUGUUAAAAUCUUGAAUAAGAAGGAUCGUAUUCAAUACUCAAAGGUUAUACCUCAAGAGUUAGAAUCUGAAAUGAAGUCAAGAGUUACUAUUCAUGAGUUACUAUUCACGAGUUACUAUUCAUGGGAUACUAUUCACCCGAAUAAAAUAUAUUUCUUUUCGGUCCAAAUCAUUUUUGGGUACAAUAUUAUUCCAUGAGGAGAUGUGCUAAUUUUUUAGACCGUUGGUUGAAAUUAUAUUAGUAAAUCAAUAUGGAUCGUUGGUUUAAAGUUUAAUAGUGAAUCAGUAUGGACCGUUGGUUUAAAGUUUUAAUAGUAAAUCAAUAUGGACCGUCCGUUUAAAAGUAAAUCAAUCUGGACCGUUCAUGAAUUAGUUACUAUUCAGUCCAUUCUCCUAUAAAUAGAAGCUCAUUCCUUCAUUAUUUCUUACGAAUUCACUGAAACUCUAGACAGAGAAAUUAUAGAGAGAAAAUCUAUAGAGAGAAAGAAGAAGAGAAGUCUGUUACCUCACUAAUCCAGUAUCCAAUUUUAUUCUAAGGUAAGGGAUAUUAUUUGUUGUACUCGUAAGGGGUAUUAAUUUUUCCAUAUUCAUGAAGAGAACUUCUGUUAUUCCAUUCUUUAUUAUUCUGUUGGAAUAACCUGUAUACGUGGACUACCCUAUACUUGGUGAAAUUCUUCUGUUAUUCCAUUCAUUAUUAUUAUGUUGGAAUAACCUGUCUAUGCGAAGUACUGCAUACAUGGUGAAAUUCUUCUAUUAUUCCAUUCCUUAAUAUUAUGUUGGAAUAACCUAUCUAUGCGAAGUACUGCAUACAUGGUAAAAAAUUUCUAUUAUUCCAUUCCUUAUUAUUAUGUUGGAAUAACCUGUUUAUGCGAAGUACCGCAUACAUGGUGAAAUUCUACUAUUAUUUUAUUCUUUAUUAUUCUGUUGGAAUAUCCUGUCGGUGCGAAUUUCGCCUGACCUGGUACCGUUAUUUAUUAUUCUGUUGGAAUAUCCUAUCUGUGUGUUUACGUCGGACCUGGUUCCAUUAUUUAUUAUUCUGUAUUUAUUAUUCUGUCGGAAUAUCCUGUUUGUACGUUUACGCCGGACCUGGUUCCAUUAUUUAUUAUUCCGUUGGGAAUAACCUGUCUGUGCGGACUCUAUCGCAUUCAUGGUGAAUCCUUCUGUUAUUCCAUUCUUUAUUAUUCUUUUUGGAAUAACUUGUCUAUGUGGAUUACCACAUGCAUGGUGAAUGAUCCUUUGUAUUCAUUCCUUAUUAAAUUGUGGAAAUGAUCUGUAUACGUGGAUUACCGCAUGGCGGGUGAAAAUUCAUUUGCAGUUUCAUAUAUUUGUUAUUAUACUCAGUUGAUUAAAGCUUUAACUUCUAUACUCCAUGAAAUUAGUAGAAUAUCCUUGAUAUUUGCGCUUCAUCCAGUAUCUUUUCAUGGAAAUAUUCUUCUGAGCAUUCUUGAAUUUUACUCUACAAAGAAGUAUCAUGUUGACAAUUUGGANNNNNNNNNNNNNNNNNNNNNNNNNNNNNNNNNNNNNNNNNNNNNNNNNNNNNNNNNNNNNNNNNNNNNNNNNNNNNNNNNNNNNNNNNNNNNNNNNNNNNNNNNNNNNNNNNNNNNNNNNNNNNNNNNNNNNNNNNNNNNNNNNNNNNNNNNNNNNNNNNNNNNNNNNNNNNNNNNNNNNNNNNNNNNNNNNNNNNNNNNNNNNNNNNNNNNNNNNNNNNNNNNNNNNNNNNNNNNNNNNNNNNNNNNNNNNNNNNNNNNNNNNNNNNNNNNNNNNNNNNNNNNNNNNNNNNNNNNNNNNNNNNNNNNNNNNNNNNNNNNNNNNNNNNNNNNNNNNNNNNNNNNNNNNNNNNNNNNNNNNNNNNNNNNNNNNNNNNNNNNNNNNNNNNNNNNNNNNNNNNNNNNNNNNNNNNNNNNNNNNNNNNNNNNNNNNNNNNNNNNNNNNNNNNNNNNNNNNNNNNNNNNNNNNNNNNNNNNNNNNNNNNNNNNNNNNNNNNNNNNNNNNNNNNNNNNNNNNNNNNNNNNNNNNNNNNNNNNNNNNNNNNNNNNNNNNNNNNNNNNNNNNNNNNNNNNNNNNNNNNNNNNNNNNNNNNNNNNNNNNNNNNNNNNNNNNNNNNNNNNNNNNNNNNNNNNNNNNNNNNNNNNNNNNNNNNNNNNNNNNNNNNNNNNNNNNNNNNNNNNNNNNNNNNNNNNNNNNNNNNNNNNNNNNNNNNNNNNNNNNNNNNNNNNNNNNNNNNNNNNNNNNNNNNNNNNNNNNNNNNNNNNNNNNNNNNNNNNNNNNNNNNNNNNNNNNNNNNNNNNNNNNNNNNNNNNNNNNNNNNNNNNNNNNNNNNNNNNNNNNNNNNNNNNNNNNNNNNNNNNNNNNNNNNNNNNNNNNNNNNNNNNNNNNNNNNNNNNNNNNNNNNNNNNNNNNNNNNNNNNNNNNNNNNNNNNNNNNNNNNNNNNNNNNNNNNNNNNNNNNNNNNNNNNNNNNNNNNNNNNNNNNNNNNNNNNNNNNNNNNNNNNNNNNNNNNNNNNNNNNNNNNNNNNNNNNNNNNNNNNNNNNNNNNNNNNNNNNNNNNNNNNNNNNNNNNNNNNNNNNNNNNNNNNNNNNNNNNNNNNNNNNNNNNNNNNNNNNNNNNNNNNNNNNNNNNNNNNNNNNNNNNNNNNNNNNNNNNNNNNNNNNNNNNNNNNNNNNNNNNNNNNNNNNNNNNNNNNNNNNNNNNNNNNNNNNNNNNNNNNNNNNNNNNNNNNNNNNNNNNNNNNNNNNNNNNNNNNNNNNNNNNNNNNNNNNNNNNNNNNNNNNNNNNNNNNUGUUGAAGACUAAUGAUAAUUUAUUCUGCAUUAUCUUAGUCAUAAUAUUUCUUACUGGGCUAGUUGAGCUCACCCUUUCUUUCACUGUUCUCUUCAGGAAAUGAGAAUAUAGCUGGGACGAGUCGGGGAACGGAGUGACGGUCCAGAUGAUAGUAUUAGUAGUCCUCACUAUUCUGUUAAAUAGUGUGACAAUAAAUGUAAUGAGGACUCCAUUGAGAGUGGAUAUUGUCUAGAAGACAAUAUUCUUGUUUAAACUCUCAGCUUAUGUUUUGUCGUAUGUUACACGACAGUUGUGUUAUUAAGUUUUUAUUUGUAUUUUGUACCAUGUAUUUGGCGACUCAAGAUGGGUGAUGUAUACCUGUUUUGGGGCGUCACAAUCAUCGUUGCCGCAUGUUUAGUUCCAUUUUGGUGAAGAAAUAUUUGAGACUUUUAUGAUUGGUAUAGAUCUCCACUUUCUCCCCAUACAGGUAAUGUCUCCAGAUCUUUAGCACAAAAACGACUGUUGCCAACUCUAGAUCAUGAGUAGGAUAAUUCUUCUCAUAUUCUUUGAGUUGUCGUGAGGCAUAGGCUAUGACUUUCCCAUGUUUCAUGAGAACACAUCCUAACCCUUUGCUUGAAGCAUCACUGUAGAUGACAAAUCCCUCCAAACCUGAUUGUGUUGUCAGAACAGGUGCUGAAAUGAGUCUCCUCUUGAGUUUUUGGAAACUCUUCUCACAUUUCUCGCUCCAACCGAAUUUUGUAUCUUUUUGAGUCAGCUGAGUUAACGUAGUGGCGAUUCGAGAAAAUCCUUUCAUGAAUCUCCGAUAAUAACCAGCUAAGCCCAGAAAGCUACGUACUUCGGUUAUUAACUUAGGUUGCUCCCAACUUUGUAUUGCUUCAAUAUUUGCCGGGUCAACUGAUAUUCGAUGAUUUGAUAUCACGUGCUCAAGUAAUGUUACUUCCUUAAGCCAGAACUUGCAUUUCUUCAACUUAGCAUAUAGCUUAUUUUCAAAAAUCUUUUGGAGUAUCAGUCCCAAGUGUUGCUCAUGAUCUUCACGGCUUUUGGAGCAUAUGAGGAUAUCAUCCAUAAAGAUAACCACAAAAUUAUUCAAAUAUUCUUUGAAUACUCGGUUCAUUAUAUCCAUGAAGGCAGCAGGAGCAUUAGUCAAUCCAAAAGACAUGACUAGGAAUUCGUAAUGCCCGUACCGAGUUCUGAAAGCAGUCUUUGGAAUGUCAUCAGUUUUAAUCUUUAACUGAUGAUAUCCGGAACGAAGAUCGAUUUUUGAAAAGAAUUUAGCACCUUGUAACUGGUCAAAUAGGUCAUCAAUGCGAGGCAACAAGUAACUAUUUUUUAUGGUGACAUGAUUCAACUCCCGAUAAUCAAUGCAAAGUAGCAUACUCUCAUAUUUCUUCUUUACGAAUAAAACAGGAGCACCCCAAGGAGAUGUACUAGGACGAAUGAAACUGAUGUCUAACAAUUCCUGCAAUUGAGUUUUUAACACCAGAAGUUCAAUAGGAGUCAUUCGAUAUGGGGUUUUGGAAAUGGGUUUUGUACCGAAUUCAAGGUUAAUACAAAAUUCGAUUUCACGCUCUGGGGGUAGGCCAAAAAGUUCUUCGGGGAAUACGUCAGGAAAUUUAUUAACAAUAAAAAUAUCAUUCAAAUCUAAUGUAUUUUUGUUUAAAUUCGUGACAUGAGCUAAAAAAGCUUGACAUUCAUUUUUUAAUAAACGAAUGGCUUUAUGGCUUGAUAUGACAGUGACUGACUUUAGUGGUUUAGUUGUUUAAAUUUACAUAAUAGAUUGGUUAGAAAUAUGAAAGCUAACAACCUUACAAAAAUAAUCAAUUUUAGCGUGAUGAGUAGUUAACCAAUCAAUCCCUAAAAUCACAUCAAAUGCAAGUAUUUUCAAAGAGAGUAGAUCAACAGGUAAUGUGAGGGUGCUGACAUGAAUCAAACAAGAUUUAUAAGCAGUGUAUGUAAUGAAGGUUUUUCCUAACGGAGUUUCAACAGAUAAGUCAGAGUCUAAUUUCUCUGGAGUCAAAUUUAAACGUUGAGCGCAAGUAGGUGAAAUAAAAGAAUGGGUAGAACCGGUAUCAAAUAAGGUAUAGACUUCGCAAGAGUUUAUGAUUAGCUUACCCGUGAUACCUUCGUUCGGGUUCCUCGCUUUUUGGGAGGUCACGACAAAUGCUCUCCCUUGAACUACCAGCUUUGAAUUGUCUAGGACGACCUUUGGUGUCACCAUCCCAGCUGAACUUGACUUUACUACAUGACAAAAUCGAGCUAGGUGACCUUCUCUUCCGUAAUUAAAACACGCUUUGGGUUGCUGCGUACAGUUUGGACUAAUGUGUCCCUCCCCUCCGCAUCUGUAGCAUACGACCGGUGGUCGUUCUCCUUCCUUAAAAACGGGUGUUGGUGCUGCUGUGUUUCCAUCAUUAUUGAACCUUCUCUUUUUGAAAUUUUCACUUGACUCGUUCCUUGGGCUUGUGCUACUGUGCAAUACCGUGCGCUACUGUGUAACCACGCGUAUUACUGUACUUUUAUCAUCCUGUAUUUCAACAAUUAACGGUAAAAGUUUUACCGUUAUUUUUUAUAAAAAGGUUAUUUCUGUCGCUUUCUAUAUCCGACAGUUAUUCGAUUGUGGGGUCCACCAAUGAUUGUACCUUCGUACAAAUAUUCCUCGACAAAAAGAAUAUUCCUUGACCAAACGAAUAUUUUAUGACAACUUGCUUACUUUGUAAAAUUUACACAUAUCACUCAUAAUUAUACCAUUAUAUCAAAUCAACACUUUAUUAUUCAAAAUAAUAUUUAAAAAAAAUUAAAUUUUUAUUCAUAAAAAGUUGGGCUCUUAGAACAACUUCAAAUUUAAUUUUUUCAAACUUUAGUUAAAAAGUCCUACACUUUCUAUGUCAAUGGCUUCCACUGAUCAUUUCCCAUCAAAAUAACUGGUCAUUUCUAAUCCAAACAACUGUCAUAAUAUGUAAAGUAUGCAUCAUUGGCAGUUGGAAAUUCAAGAAUAUGCAAAAUUAUAACUCUAAUAUGUCAACAGAUACAAUAACCAAUGGUUUUAAAUACUGCAACAAACAAAAUUAUAAUCAACCUUUUAGAUAGUAGUGAUUAUGUCAAAUAUAAAUUAACAUGACAUCAGAGAGAUUCCCAGUGACAAAUCAUCAUACUCCUAAGGAGUUUCUGAUGUCCCUGUCUGUUUAUCAUCACUUGUACAAAAUUAUUUUUCAGAAAGAAAAAAAAUAAAAUCAUGAACACUUGCAGAUUAAAUAACUCAAUCAAACAUGGAAAACAAUUUCAAUCCCAUUACAUACUUAAUGUUUUAAACUGAAAACAACAUAAGUGCAUCAGAUUUAAUUGCUUUCAUAGCGGAAAAACUCAAAGUAUAUUUAGAACCAUCAUCGACACUAAUUAUAGUUUAAAAAAAACAUAUAACAUAACUAGAAAGGAAAUUGGAAGCUAAUUGACACAAACAUAUUUCAAAAAUAAUUUGUUCAACAUAAUAGAAUGUUACAACUGUGAUAGCAAUGCAUCAGGGAGAUUCCCAUCGAAAUCUUUUCUCCAGAUGGAUUUCUAAUGUCCCUAUCUUUUUGUCAUCACUUGCAACCUAUUAAACCCCCAAUUUCACAUUACCAAAGAUAUAAUUUUAGCUCUAUUCUACAAAUACUUUACUUUAGCUCUGUCAAUCAAAAAUUUUAGCUAGUCUACAAAUACUUUAUUAGAUUCCUUCUCAAGUACAAAAUAGACCCAAGUAUUGCAAACAAUUAAUUAUAGAACUCUGUUGUCCAAUAAUUACUCUACCUUAUUAGAAAAACAAAGCAAGCCCGCCACCAAGGGACCAAUUAAAAAAAUUAUCAAAAUAAAAACAAACCAACCAUAAAAAAGCCCUAAACAUCUAUAUAUCGUAUAUAGACAAAUCGACAUAAGUAGAGAGAAAUUCAUUGGCUAAAUCUCAAAAUAAACUUAAAAUUACCUAAGAAAAAUUUGGAGUCUGGAGUUGGAGGCAGACAUCAGCGGUGCGGCAAGUCGACGACUGACGAGUGAAGAUUGAAGACUGAAAAGUGAAAUAGAAACGAGUCGGAGGUUGGCUGAUGGGAGAGGAUAGAUCAGAGAAUUCGAGAUGGAGACAAAGGUUCAAGAUGGAGACAAAGGUUUGAGGAUAUGGUUUGAGGAUAUAAUCUAUUUGGGAAUAAACUCAAUAAAGUGAAGGCUGGAGCUAUGAAAGAUUGAAAGUGAAAAUUAUUAAAUAAACAGGUACAAUCGGAUCGGUUCGGUAUAUACCGAACAAGCCAAACCCCUAACCAUACCCGAUUCUGAAAGGCCGGUAUAUACCGGUUCUGCUUACCGGUCCUGAACCAAUUACAAUCUGUCCCAAACCUGCCGGUUCAAACUGGUUCGAUUUCCCUAAAAACUGAAUAUACCAAAUUUUUUGCCCACCCCUAGGAUUUAUUAUCAUCCUGGUAAGGCUAAUGUGGUUGCAGAUGCUCUUAGCAAAAAAAAGUUCAAGGAGUCUAAUUGCCUUGGUUACACAACCUCAACUCAUCUCGGAUAUGGAGCAUUUGGGUUUAGAGUUAUAUGUUAGAGGUUCUGAUGGGUUGGUAGCAGGUAUGAGGGUGGAAUUUUCUCUUAUUUUGUGGGCUAAAGAAAACUAAAAGGAGGAUAGUGAGUUGUGGGAUGUAACGCAGAAUAUGGAUGAGGGUACGCAACCCGAUUUUUGCAUUGAUGAACAAGGUGUGAUAUGGUUUGGUAAACGGUCAUGUUUUUCGGAAGAUCCAAUUAUUUGUGAGGCAGUAUUGAUCGAAGCUCAUAGUUCAUCAUUCUCUAUUCAUCCGAGGUCUACAAAGAUGUAUAAGGAUUGAAGGAGAAUUUCUUGUGGAACAGAAUGAAAAGGGAUGUAGCUGAAUUUGUAAGUAAAUGUCUUACUUGUCAACAAGUGAAAAUAGAGCAUCAGUGGCCUGGUAGUUUGUUGCAAUAGUUAGAUAUUCCAGUGUGGAAGUGGGAUGACAUUUCGAUGAAUUUUAUAACUGGUUUACCGAGGGCUCUCAAGAAGAAUGAUAUAUGUUAUUUGGGUACUGGUAGUGGAUCGUUUGACCAAAUUAACUCACUUCCUGGAUAUCCGUGAGGAUUUUUCGGUAAAUAAGUUAGCAGAUAUUUUUCAACAUGAGAUUUUUUAGCUUCACGAAACUCUCGUUUCAAUUGUUUCGAAUCGGGAUCCGCUGUUUACUUCUUGGUAUUGGAUUUCAAUGAGCUUGGGGAACGCUACUCAAUUAUAGUACAACUUUUCAUCCACAAACGGAUGGACAAUCGGAGAGAACUAUUCAGAGAUCAGAAGAUAUGUUGCAAUCUUGUGCUUUAGAAUGGACAGGAAAUUAGGAUGAUUAUUUGAGUUUGGUGGAGUUCGCAUAUAAUAAUAGAUGGCAAGCUAGUAUUGGUAUGGCUCCUUUUGAAGCAUUGUAUGGAAAGAAGUGUCGAGCUCCGACUUAUGGGUAUGAUGUUGGAGAAAGGGUAAUAGAAUGACCCGAUUUGAUAAGGAUUACUUCGGGGAAGGUAGCGGUGGCUAAAGAAAAAUUGAAAGAAUCUCGGUCGCGACAAAAGAGUUAUGUUGAUAUUCAUAGAAGGGCUCUUGAAUUCACACCUGGUGAACACGUGUUUUUGAAAGUCUCUCCAUGGAAAGGUGUUCGAAGGUUUGGUUUGAAAGGAAAGCUUAGUUCGUGUUUUAUAAUUUUCCCUUUUGAAGUUCUAGAGAGGAUUGGAGAGGUGGCAUAUCGGGUGGUUUUGUCUCCACAGUUAUCUCAUGUGCAUAAUGUCAUUCAUGUUUCGAUGUUAAAGAAAUAUAAUUAUCAUCCACUUUAUGUUGUGCAAUACCCGUUACAUAAUAUUCGAGAAGAUCUUAAUUACUUAUGAGGAAGAAGUUGAGACAAUUUUAGAUCAUCGAAAAUGGGUUAUGAGAAGGAAGACAAUUCCAUUUGUUAAAUUCUUGUAAAAAAAUCAUCGAGAGCGCGAAGCUACUUGGGAGGCGGAGGAGACUAUUCGACAGGAGUAUCAUCGCCUCUUUGAUGUCAGGUAAAUCUUUGUUACUCUUUUGAUUCUGGGGACAAAAUCCUUUGUAAGGGGGAGGUGAUGUAAUAUCUGAAAAAAAAAAAAAAUAAUAAUAAUAAUAAUAAUAAUAAUAAUAAAAAUUAAUUGGGUCAAACUAAGUUAUAAGUAUUUAAGUUUUGGAUUGUUAAACUAUUUGAGCCCAAUUUAUAGUAUUUGGUUUAAAAACCAAAUUGAAAUAGAAUAACAUUAAUAUAUUAGGUCAAAACCCUUCCUAAUACAUGCAUGUAGUGACAUUAAUCGACUAAACAAAAGAAGAAGAGGGUUUUUGACGUAGCGAGAAACGAAUAGGAGAUGGAAGAAAGGUUGUGGGAUAAAAAUAAAAAUUUGGGAAGAAGAUUGUAAAACUAUAUUCAACAUAAUCGUAUCUCUAAAAGGUAAUUAUUGGAUUUAUUUUUGAAAUAUAAAAUAAGGGCAAUAUGGCCAUACAAAGUUGUGUAUAUUUUAUUUGUGCACGGUCUGUCAAAAUUACGUCGUUGGCAGAUUUGUUUUUUAAAAAAAAUAGUUUCUCUCCUCCCAAAUCAGAAAUGAAAAAUAAAUCUGUCAAAACGAUGUAGUUUUGACAAACUGUGCACAGAUAAAAUAUACAUAAUUAUGUAUAGUCAUUAUUUCCAUAAAAUAAUUAAUUUCAUUAAUAUGAUUACAAUCUAUUUUAAAAAAUUUCAUUACAUCGUUUGCUUAAUCUGAUGUGUUGCUAUAAUCUUGAUACGUAACUGAAAAUUUAAGUUUGAUUGGUUGUCUUCCUUUGGCUUGUGAAGGAGUACCACCACUAUCAAUAUUGUCGACAUUCAUUAUAUUGCUUCAUUCCAAACUUUAACUCUGAAUAAAACUCCCACGUAUUCAUACCUACAUAGACUAAGAAAAGAAUGAAUUGAUUUACUAUUUAAUUUUUUUUUUCUGCUGAAGAAAUCCCAUUCUAAUCUUCAAGAUUAAAUAAAUGAUGUGUCGUCAGGAGCAUUACUCGACCAUUUGAAGAAUCAAUUCUAACUAGUUAUGAAGAAUCAUCCUGCAUAUAUAUACAUAUACAUAUUUACAUAUAUAAAUAUAUGUACUAUCAUUUUCUAAUAAAGAAUUUGGUAAAUACCAUAUAUUAUAUCUAUAAAGGCUUGAUUUGGUCAGAGUCAUUAAGCUGAGACUUUUAUUGUAUUUGAUGGGAAACAUUUCAAGGCAAGAAAACUUUGCAUUCUUUAUGUAGUAUUUAAAUAUAUAUGGCAAUAAAUUAAAUAUACUCCAUCUGCCUCACAUAAAAUAUUAUUGAUUAAUUUUGUGUUUAUGUGUACUGUUAAUAUCAAAAUCAGUAUUAAGAAACACCAGAUUGAAUAGUGACUGUAUUAAUGUACAGGAGUUUUAAGAAUCAAUAAAAUUAUAUUUAUAUUAUUAUAGCAUUAAUUAUACUCCCUCCGUCUCAGAAUAAAAGUUUUGGUAGAUUUUUCACGCAUAUUAAGAAGAUGAAUGAAGUGACAAAAUUACCCAUAAUAAUAUGUCAUUAAUUAUUUUCAAUGUAGAUGAGAGAGUGACUUUCUAGCUACUAUUCAAUUCAAAAUAUUCUUUCUCCAUACUUAUUAAAUAUGGAGAGAGAAUUAGAAUAAGAAAAGUAUGAGAUAUUUAAUGCUACGGGCAUAAUAAGAAAAAAUAUGUAAAAAUUUGGUUAUUAAAGAAAAGUGGACAUUUAACAUGGGACUACUCAAAAUAGUAAUAAGGACUUUUAUCAUGGGACGGAGGGAGUACUAAAUUAAAAUGAUGUUUUUGCAUUACAGAAUGUACAAAAUGUAUUCUUAACUUUAGAGGGUUAUGAAAUAAUAUUAAGGUUGUUAAUUUUAUAAAAAUAAAAUACAUAAAUUUUAUAAUUUGGCAAUUUAAUUAAUGGUCUGGUAUUGAUUUGAUAAUUAUAUAGAUCGGAUUGAGCAGAUCUAGCGGUGUGAUAUUUAGUUCGGUGAAUUAUUUUGGUAUUAUAUUUAGGUACGGAUUCCGUAAUUCGUUUCUUGAUUGUGCUUCUAUUCCCUAUAUCUGUUAUAUAAUGUUUCGUCAUUUGGGAAACUGUGUUUUUGAGACUUCAUUCGUUUGAAUCAUUCUUCGUAUAUUUUCGUUCACAUUCGGGAGUUGUUUUGAUCAUUGAUGUCUUGUGAUAAUUAAGUAUGUUCGUAUUUGAUAAUUCGAUGUUAAUCUUGUCAUUUGGAGAUGGUCAUGUAAGCCUUAUGAUUUGAACACCUUUUAGCUUACAUUUUAUAGUUUGAUCCUUAAGGUAUACUUGAGCUACCCACCUGUGGGGGUACCACAUGCAUGUCUUCUUAACACAAGGGCAUGACACAUUUUGUCGCGGUGUGAUUAGUCCACGUCGUAUCCUUUUGUAUGCUCUGGGUGUGAGAUUUGGUAUUUGAUAUAUUUGUUCAAGAUACGUAUGGGUCGACCCAAUAUUUGAUUUAAUUUGAUUAAUUUGGCGGAUUAGUGACGCAUGUGUCGUGCGUACUAUUCUGUUUGAUUUGCAUACAUCACGAUACCAAUGUAUUUUGUUAGCAUUUUGAUAUUUAUACUUGAGUUCAAUAUGAAAUUUUUACCUUAUAAACAUUUGAUUCAACCUUAUUUCGUUUGGAAUCCUUUUGACUAUAGUUGUCGGUUCAACGGUGUUUUGUACCUUAUCUCAUUAAUUUUGAUAUAUUCAUAAUUUUUUCGUAGUUUGUAUUUGUUCGUUCAUUUAGUUCUUUUGGGUACAUUAUAUAUAUAUAUAUAUGUGUGUGUGUGUGUGUGUGUGUGUGUGUGUGUGUGUACAUCUUUAUAGCCGUAUUGGACAAUUGAUUCACGAUGUGUUGUUUCUCCGGUAGGUAAUCAGAGGUGAUCAGGAUUUGUGAAAUGAGAGUUAUCUUUGAUCCAAAUAAAUAGAUUGGUUUGAGACUAUUAUUUUAUUUGGAUUUUUUUAAUAUUUUGUAUAUGGAUGUUUGUGCCAUUUUGACUUUUAUGCUUAAAAGUAAAGACUAUAUUCAUGUGGAGUUCUUCCUAUUUAAAUUAUUAUAUGUGACGGUUAGUGUUCAAUCUAAUUAGAAAUAUUUUGAGAUUUAUUAGAGGAUUGUAUUUAUUAUGUUUGUGUGUAACAUCCUUUUUCUUUUGAGAAAGAAUGUUACAUGAACAAUUUAGAAGACUUAAAGAGUAUCAUACUUUUUAGUUGAAAUAAUAUUUCUUUAUAAAUAAUACAUACAGUGUAGUAAAAAAAUUAUCAAUUUUUUUUGAAAUAUAUCGGUAUAAUGAGAUCUAAAGAAGUCCAUAUUUCAAAUUGAGUUAAAGAAAAAUUUAAAACAACUCUUAUGUUUGGAACAAAGAAAAUAUUUUCAUAUAUUUCUUCAAAAUGGUAAACUUUUCUUUAAAAAGAUUGCUGGUCGACUAUUCACAAAAGAUAUUAAAAAGUAUUGGCUCAUUAGUUAGGAGAAAUAAUGAACUAAGCUCAAUGGAUUAUGGAUGUUUGGUGAAGUUAUACUUUUUGAGUAAGUGGUGGAUUCUUUUCGGGUAGAUUCUUGGUGAAUCUUUAGGAAACCAUUUCUAAAAAUUUAAUAAUUUUUAUUUUUAAAAAUAUUUUCUCAAAAAAAAAUUCUCUUAAUUUUGUAUAUAUAAUCAAAAAUAAUAUUACAUACUUGGUGCUUGAUUGUAGCACAAUUGAGAAUUAUGGUUGAUUCUAAUAAAGUUUUCUCCUCCUUAUCUUCCUUUCUGUAUGAUUCUUAUUUUGGUAUAAAGUAUUUUUUUCUGAGUGCGGAUUCAAAAUACUGCAUGAGGAUAAAUAUAUAGAGUUCUCAACUCCCGAUUUAUCAGGAUAAAAAACUAACAAAUAUAUUUUAUCAUGUAGUUUUGUUAUAUCUUAAUAAAAAAGAGUGAGGAUCAAGUAGGAUUCCAUAAUUUUAGCUCCAAUAUAAAUAUAAUUUUUGAUUAACUCUUUAAUCAAUUAAAAUUAUAACUAAUUUUACUAAAUAGUUAUAAUUGCUCUCUAGAAAUAGUAGAAUUAAAAUUAAUUAAUUUAAUCCUUCCACUAUUAAUAUCUUGCAAAUAUAUCUCUUUCAAUUAAUAUCCAUAAACGUGUGUAGUAAAUAAAAAUUGUUAAUCCACUAUGUUUACGGCUUAUAUCCUUGAGUACAAAAUUUAUAAACUUUUGAUCAAUAAUUAAUUGGGCAUAUGUGAAAAUAAAUUUAUGUGUAAAUUUAUAUGCUUAUAAUAAAUUUAUAAACUUUUUAUACCCUUUCUUUUGGUCAACUAGAUCCUUUUGACCUGCUGACAUGUCACAUGUGAUACAACUUACGUGAAUGCUUUCUAAUUAAUAUCCAAGAAACAUAAUUUUCCUAAGAUUCGAACCCAAAAUUUCAAUUUUAAAAUAUUGAUCAUAAGACCACCCGAACACCACAACAUAGCUAUAAAAUUAUUCCGGAAUAGAUUUUGUACUAAAUCAAUAUAUCCCCCCAACAGAAUUACAUUAACUUUUGCCAUCUCUUCAUCCUUAUCCUCAUCCACAUCCUCAUCCUCUGCCAGCAAAAUUACAACUUUUGUUAUCUCCUCCUCAUCCGUCGUAACCCAUCAUCACCACCGCAAACUUGUACCGGUCCCCGUCGUAUCUCCAGACAAUUCCUGGUGCUACCCCGCCUCCAAACCCCUUCCCCCACCGUCUUUCUCCCGUCAAAACAUCUAGCUGGAAUCUACUUUCCUUGUUGAUUUUACCAUCUUCACCAUCAAUCUCUUUUAUCUGUUCCAUCUCGUUCACCUCUCAAAUCCAACAUUAAAAACCCUAACUCAAACAUAGAUUUAUUCAACUCCAACUAAAUUAGUUAAAUCUCUCAACACAAAACACACAAAAUUAGUCUAACUGUAAUAUAAGAAAUCCAACAAAUGAAAGAAAAAAAAAAGGAAAAUUAUUAUUGUUCACCAUCGCUUUUUUAACACUAAAACCCUAUCUUUUCGCCAGAAAAUAUUAUGGUUUACAGAAAGUGGGUCAUGGCGAAGCAAGUUAAAUUUUGAAUCUUGUCGUGUGGGAUGCUCUUCUCGCCGAACUCUCUAACUAUCGAUCUGGGUUACGUCCUAGCCGCUAUAGUUAAUCUUCUUCUCUAUUUUCAGCUUUAUUUUGAGAGAAUUCAUGCCCAAAUUAGGUGAGAGUUCUUGUUAAUUGGAAAUUUAGGGAAGAAUGAAUAAAUUGAUUUUUAUUUUAUGAGUUUGAUUUGGGCUAACAUAGCUUAAAUCUGGCUACAGACGAUUAUGGGGGAAAAGAAAAGAAAAUUUGAAAAAAGAAAAGGAAAGGAACAGGAGAAUCUGGCUAUGAAUGAUUGGAUGAGAGAGUGAAAAUUAAUUUUUUUUGUUUAUUACGAGUUUAAAUAAUCUUAUUAGUUUUUUAAAGUAAUUUUUAAUUUUUUAAAUAAUCUUAUUACUUUUUUAAGUGUAAUUAUUUAAUUUGUAAUAAUAUUUAUAUUUUUUUUUAAGUAUAAUUUUUUAAUUUGUGUAAAUAAUUUUUAUUAGUUGCCAUUUGUUUAAAUGUCAUUAUUUUCUUACAUAUUUUUAGCAUAUUUUUUUACAAAAUAUUUUAUUUUAUUUUCUAAUUUUAUAAAAUUAAUUGAUCGUAAGAUUAAAAUUUUAUCACUUAUUUUUAUUGGAGGAAUCGAUUGAUUAAGUAUAUAAGUUAUUUGUUGAGAGAAUUAAAGAAGUAUGUGUCGCCCCAAAAUUGGUUCACACAAUCUAUUCUAAGUCGCCAGAUACUCGGUACAAAAUUCAAACAAAAACUUCAUUUAUACAACUGUUGAACUGUCGUGCAAAAUACGACAACACAUAAGUUGUGAGUUUCAAUACAAAUAUUGUUGCGUAUAUAAUACAACAAUAUUCAUACUCAAAUUAUUACAAUGUCAUAUAAAGUACAGCAGCAAAUAUUUCAAGUCUCCAAAGGGACACGAGAAGAUUUAUGUCCUCCUCAUUUUAAUUGAGUGCAUUUUUGACGCUUUCAAAGUUGGUUUCUCAUCACCCUAUUAUUGUUCAUCCACUACAAAAAAUUGGGUCAUAGGCGACGGGAGUAAUGGCGACGGGAGAAUUGUCGUCGGUAAUGACCUCAAUAGCGACGGCCACGCCGUCGUUAAUGUAUGCCGUCGGCAAUGACUUAUUUUCACUCAUAUGGCGCCAUCUUUUUUACUACCCGCGCGCGGGAAGGGUGUAGGGCGACGGGCUUUACCAUUGGCGACGGGAUUUACCGUCGGUAUUAAGUCAUUGGCGACGGGAGUAAUCUCGACGACUAUGCCGUCGAGAAUGAGUCCUGUAUAACAGAUAAGUUUUAAUUUUUUGCUUAUCCUUUUUCUUCUCCCCCCGCGCGAAUCUUCUUUCCCUCUUCCUCCUGUCGUCGCCCUGAGUAGCUCGUCGUCGUCCAUCUUCCGGUUAUGCCAUCGCCCAGCUUCCGAUUACCACAUACCACCUCGCCGUCGAGUCCCCGUCGCCGCCUCACCUCUGUCCUCAACAGUCCUCGCCUCGAGCUCAGUAAGUUUUUUCAAUUCAACUUUUUCCCCUAAUUAACUUAUGGAACCAUUAUAAUAGCUUUGUUAUCAUCUCAAUGUAUAAUAAGAUUUGAUUUAAGGUCUAUAUUAUUUGAUUUAUACUGGUAUUGACAAUGCUUGUGUUAAGCUAGUUUGGUAAAUUUCCCAAUUUUUUUUGCCAAAAUCCAAAGUACAGUGCUUGUGUUUAGCUUCUUUAAAUCAAAGUAUGAAAACUUUUGGGCAUUGUGUUAUUCUUCAAAUUAAAAACUUGAGAUUGUCAAGUGGCUUUUGGAGCCUGAAUCCCAGGUUGGUCUUGCAUUCUGUUUUCAGUUUUAUAGGAUUUGUAAAAAAAAAACCUUGCCUUUUCAUUUUGCUUAUUGUUUUAUAUUUUGUACAUAUCUGUAUUAUUGUUAUGUACAUAGAGAUAAAUUUACAUACCAUUCUGUAGUGUAUUGUUAUGUACAUAGUAUAUAUAUUUCUAUAUGUGUGUGAUGGUUAAUUUAUGUGUGCUACCAUCUUAUGUUGAGAAUAUUUAUGUCCCAGGUCAAUUCCAUAUGCCAUUACUAUUUUAGUUUCUAAAAUGUGAAUAAAUGCACUAAUCUCUCGUUACGUUGUAAGCUAUUCGCACCUUUUGUUGUUGUAUAUUCAGUGUCGUACUGUGCGUGCUCGAUGUCUUGUUUAAACGAAUCUUUCGUUUAUUUCUAUUUUUUAUUCUUUUGGGGUUAAGUUUUUUGUUAUCACUAGUAGCUUUCAAGCCUUGGGUUAAGCUUGAGUUCAUAAAGAAUAAGGUUGAGAUGAAAUUGGUUUGAGCUUAGACCGUGCCUUGUACAUUCUAAACCCAUUUUAAUUUUUAUACAAAAUUUUAAAACUAUAUGAGACAUUAUGUGUACUUAGCUAUUAAAAUAUGAGUUUUUUAAAUAAUAAAGAAGCUUAACAUUCAAUCUAAUCAUAUGAAGUCCAAUCUCAACAUGUUGUUAGACUAAUUAGGUAUGAAUGAUAUUAAUAUCUAAUCAUAGUAAUCAAGAGCAAAUCAAUAGAUGCUAUGAAAAAUAUAUCUAAAUAACAAGUACGCGGAGCAACAUCAAUCAAAAGAUAAUGGAUCAACCAAAUAGAAAUGGUAAGUAAUGUUUGUCUUGGCUCUUAAAGGAGGUUUGGAACCUAAGUUGCCUUAAUUUAUAAAAAUUUACACUAAAAUCAUAUAAAGAAGCUAAGGAUCCUCCUGCUUCUUCUGUGAGUUAGAUCCAACUAUAUAUAUAUUUGUCUCUGUUCAUGAAGAAUGAAAGCUAGCAAAUAAGUAAACCUACUGGAGUUGAUAUAUAUAGAAAGAAUUGAGGUACAAAUAAAUAAAAUUUGCCCACUAUAUCGCUUAAACCAUUACUGUCGCACUUAAUGUAUAAUUCUAUAACAUCUAUCAUUUUUACAAACAAAAGUAAUCGUAUAAUUUUUUGUGACUGCUUGAAAGUUUUGGUUUAUUAUGUCACAAUAUUUUGACAAUUUUGACAUGGGUACUCCUCAAUUUUAUCAAUUAUUUGUACUAAAAUGAAGUGUCUAGUACCCUAGUACCUAUACCCUUUUGUGUGUCGAGUGUCGGAAACUAGUAUUUUAAGGCAAAUUAUGAAGAGUCCGUGUAAAACAAUAUUAGCUUUUCUAUGUAGCAAGUUCCCAUGUAAAGCCAAGACUCAUGGAAACAUGUACUCUUUGUGUAAUAAUAUUAGGAGUAUGUACUCUUUGUGUCCUUUUAGUUGUAUUCAAAUGUAAUAGUUUGUAGUAGUACAAUCAUUAUCUUCAACUUAUAUUAAUCUACUAAAUAAGGUGUUAGUUGUUUUAGGUUACUAUUUAUGCUGUAUCCUUUUAGGUUACUAUUUAUGUUGCAUUCUUUUAAUUGUAUCUGUAUGUUAUCCUCUUUGUUACUGUUCACAAAUAUAGUAUUUACGUAUGUAUACAUACAUAUGAUUUGACAGUAUAUGUUAUCUUCUUUUUUCUGUAUCUGUAUGUUAUCCUCUAUGUUAUCCCUCUUUUACUGUAUGUUGCAUUCUUUUAGUUGUAUCAAUAUAGUAUUUUUUUUAGUUUUGGUGGUAUACAUACAUAUGGCGCGCACACCACACGGCGAUCGUGGUGGGCGUGCAGGUCGUGGGGACCGUGGCGAUUCUACGCGUGAUGAUCAGGCCGGAUCGUCAGGUAUAAUUACAUAUUUUAUUGGGAUACAUCUUAUUAUUUUUUAUUUUUUAUUAUAUUGACAUUAUAUUCAUUUAUAUAAAUAUUGAUGUAUUUCACUACAUAGGUGAUCGACGUAGGCCUCCGCGGGGACUAGCACGUGGCUUGCUAGGGAAUCCCCCCCAGGCGCCGCUUAUAUGUCGUGUUGGGACUCAUAGGUAAUUUCAUAAUCCUAUAUAGUAUUACUAUAAUAUAAGUAUUUAGUUCUUAAUUAUAUAUUUUUUGUAAUUUGCAAUGUAUUAAUUUCAAUUGUAGUAUCCUUGACGCUACGCCAAGGAACACGUUGCUUGGGAUCGUCCGCAACUGAUUCUCAAGCCCGUGGAUGAGGUGGGCGGAUGUGGAUGACCGCACACGUCAGUUGAUUAUUGCUGAGUUUAGGGUAGGAUGUCAAUCAUUCAUACGCUAGUUUUAUAUUCCAUUUGAAUAUACUGUUACCUCUUUGAUUUAUGUUGUUUACUAAGCUUCUUAAUGUGUAAUGUGCAGAGAUAUUAUCGUUUUGAGGAAAGGAAGGAAGCCCAUGGCAUGACUGUUCUACACAGAUACCUAGAGAUGAAUUGACACAAGUGGGUCUACGACUGGAAGAAGAAGGCCCAGACGAAGAUGGCUGAUGGACAGACACUUAAGGAUGUCCGGCCAAAUUUCACAUCUGCUGCGGUGUGGGACCAGAUGUGCAAUAUUUGGGACUGUGAGGCCUUCAAGAAGAUGUCGGCACAGCAUUCAGCUGCCCGACAGCAGAGUCGUCUCCCACACUGCACUGGGUCUCAGUCGUACGACCUGUACCAGGAGAGACUUGAGGUGAGUUUAAAGCAUGCACCCUCCCGCUUGGAGUUUUGGUGGCACGCCCACCAAAAGAAAGGUGAUGGUGGUUAUAUCUCACCUGAGGCAGAACGCAUUGCUGUAAGUUAUUUAAUUCUCUUAUUUAGUAUGUAUUUAAAAUUCGGAUAUUCUUUUGUAUUCUUUCAUUUUAUACUUUGCGUAUCAUCUACUAAUGUGUUUUUUUUCAGUGAUGGUUCGAGGAUCUUGUAGUGGCCCGGUGCAGCCAGAGAGGUGACACUCCAGUAGACGAGUCGACGCGUGCGGACGAGGAGAUAGAGGACUGGCUGCAGGCUACAGGGGGACCGAAGAAGGGUAGAGUUGUGGGCAUUCCCCAUGUCCCAGCUUACACCCUAGUCCCUGCUGCAAGAUCUCGGCGACGCCCACCCACUAGAGGUAGUGGUGCUAGUGGAUCGGGCGCCAACCCUUCAUUAUCCGAUGACUUCUUUCGGCGGAUCAUAGAGGGGUGCAUGGCGAGCGGUGUUGUGCAGUCAGACGCACCAUCACGCGAGCGGAUCUAUCAGCUGGCUAAGGAGGUUGUCCACGGCUCUAUCAAUCCUACAGCUGCCGUUGACGACCUCAUAGAUGUAGUGUGGGAGGAGGCCAUCCGCGUGUGUGCAGUUAUCUUGGCCAACAUCUUCCUACCAUAUAUUCGAUAGGUAAAAACAAUUAAAUUUUGUAUUUCCUUAUUUAAUUUAUGUAAUUUAUAAUUGUAUUGCUUAGAUAAACUUAAGAUAAAACCAAAACUUCCAUUAAACUUACUAAACUUUUGGGACUCGAUUCUGACAUACAGACUCCCUCUAAAAUACCAUUAAACUUACUAAACACACACGUAGAACCACGUAGGUAUUAGACAUGCGUUACAACUUACGGGACUCGAUUCCGACAUACGGAGAUCGAGUUAUCUCCCAAAUUGCAAAACUCGCCAACAGUUAGGCAAAAAGCUGAAAAAGAGACCAAAAUCCGCCUCGAUCAUCGGAAUGACACGGAAACACACACGUAGCACCGUAUAGGUAUUAGGCACGUAUUGCAACUUACAGGACUCGAUUCUGAUAUACGGAUGCCGAGUUAUCAGCCCGUUUUCCUGAUGAACCAACAGUUAGGUAAAAAGCCAAAAAAGAGACCAAAACCCUCCUCGAUCGUCCGAACGACACGUAAACACACACGUAGUACCACAUAGACAUUAGGCACGUGUUGCAACUUACGGGACUCGAUUCUGAUAUACGGAGAUCGAGUUAUCGCCUAAAUUGCAAAACUCGCCAACAGUUAGACAAAAAGCCGAAAAAGAGACCAAAUCCCGCCUCGGUCAUCCAAAUGACACGCAAACACACACGUAGCACCGCAUAGGCAUUAGGCACGUGUUGCAACUUACGGGACUCGAUUCCGACAUACGGAGAUUAAGUUAUUGCCCAAAUUACAAAACUCGCCAACAGUUAGGCAAAAACCCAAAAAAGAGACCAAAACACGCCUCGGUGGUCUGAACGGUACGUAAACACACACGUAACACCGCAUAGGCAUUAAACACUUGUUGCAUCUUACGGGACUCGAUUCCGACAUACGGAUAUGUCAAUUAACCCUUGUUUUGUGACAGUGUUAAAUUUGCGGAGUUAUCCCGGUUUGCAUCCCAUGACGUGAAUGUUUCUAAGAGGUUUGAAACCCGAUAUACGUCAAUACCUCAUUUCUCAUAAACUUUUUUUAUAUUCAGAUGUUGUGAAUAAGGCUCAGUUAUUGGAGCGCAAUAAUGAGUCAGCGCAACCAAAAGGCAACAACCAACAAAACGAUAAUAAUCGUACCGGUGGCAACGACCAUCGGAACAAUGAUGACCAUCAUGGGGGAAAUUAUCAUGCCAGGAAUGGUAACCACUUCGGUGGUAAUCAUGGCUAAGAUAAUAGAAGUGGAAAUUUCAAGAAGAGAAGGUCAUUUAGCUCAAUUUUGUUGUAUAGUGAAGUCAAGUCCAGCUGGGACGAUGACACCAAAGGCGGAUACAGACAAAACAAAGUCGGUGGUUUUAGGAAGAGCGUUUUUUGUUACUUCUCAAAAAGCGAGUAACCCGAACGAAGUUAGCAUGGGUUAGUUAAUUAUAAAUUUUUGCGAAGUCUAUACCUUAUUAGAUACCGGUUCUACCAAUUCUUUUAUCUCUCUUGCUUGCGUUCAACAUUUAAAUUUGACUCUGGAGAAGUUAGACUUUGACUUAUCGAUUGAAGCUUCGUUAGGAGAAACCUUCAUUUCAUGUGUUAUCCAAGUCUUGGAUGAGAGUCACAGUUUUUAAAUGAUAUUUCUAUCGUUAAUAAAUUUCCUGACGUAUUCUUGAAGACUUCUUAGCCUACCCUAGAGCGUGAAAUCAAAUUUUGUAUUGACCCUAGUACAAAACCCAUUUCUAAAACCCUCAAGUAUUUCUUCACCCAAAACGAACGUAUAAUGCGCCAAAGACAAUGGCUCGAGCUGUUGAAGGUUACAACUAUUCAAUACCAUCGUGGAAAAGCGAACGUGGUAGCUGACGUGUUGAGUAGAAGAUCGUAUGCGUUUAUGAGUGCGAAUAUACGAACCUACGUGAAGAUAACGAAUAUAUGAUUAGAACCGACUUUAGUCAAUAAUGUUAAAGUUGCUAAAGCUACAGACCCGGAGCUGAUGAAUACGAAGAAGAAGGUUUAAGAGGGCGUUAUUUUAAAAGCAAGAGUUGCUGAAGAGAGGAAAUCUCAACCCUCGAUUUAAUUGGCCCAUUUGAAAUCCUCGAUCGAGUAGGAACUGUGGCCUAUAGACUCGUUUUGCCGCCAAGUAUGUCGCGUGUUCAUAAUGUUUUUAACGUAUCGAUGUUACGUAAAUAUGUGGAUGACCCGAACCACAUUAUUAAAUUAGAACUAGACGAUAUAGCAGAAGAUUUAACGUAUAAGGAGAUACGUGUUAAAAUCUUGGAUAAGAAGGAUCGUAUUCAACACUCAAAGGUUAUACCUCAAGAGUUAGAAUUUGAAAUGAAGUCAAGGUAUCCUCACCUCUUCGGCAUAUCAGGUACGUACGUAAAUUUCGAGGGCGGAAUUUCAUAAGGAAGGGAGAUUGUAAAACCCCAAAUUUUAUGAAUAAAGAUUUAAUUUUCUCGAAAUAUUUUUUAUUAUGGUGUGGAUUUGAGAUAAUGUUAUAGUUGUGGGUAGUAUUUAUAAAUUUUGCAAAGUAUGCAAGUUGUUAUAUAAUAUUCUUUUUGUCGGGGAAUAUCCGUACGAUGGUACAAUCAUUGGUGGACCCCACAACGGAAUUAUUAUCGGAUUGAGAAAAUGACAAAAAUAUUUUUAUGAAAAUAACGGCGGAAGUUUUACCGUUAAAAUUGUUGAACUACUCGGUAGUAAAAGUACAGUAAUACGCGUGGUUGCAUAGUAGCACACGGUAUUGAUUAUUGAUGCUUACGUGAAGUCACUCAGUUUUGUUCAAUUAUUACUACAGUAAUUGCUGCAUAGUAUCUCACGUUAUUUGAUUCAAUUAUUAUCGAUAUUUUAUAUAUUAUUAAAUCAAUAAUUGAGACAACGAAGUUAUUAAUAUUAUUAUUUUUAAUAUUAACGAUGUCUAGAAGUUCUGCCAUGGAGAGGUUUGGUCACCUAAUUGCGCGUCAAUAUGGAGAAAUCCUUAUUGGAAAGCCCCCUCUUUCCUGGGAACGACCUGGUCGAUUAAUAGUAUGAAUUAUAAUAAUGAUGAUGAAGUUUAUUUUAUUAUUAUUAUAAAUAUAAUAAAACAUAAAAAUUUUUAUAUAAAAUAGAAUACUUUUAUAAAGUUAUUUAUUUUAUUAGACUAUAAAUAGAAUAUAUUAUAUUCUAUUAUGCAUAGUGUUUGCAUAGUGUCUGCAUAGUGUUUGCAUAGUAAAAUCUUUUUAUAUAAAACAGAAUACUUUUAUAAAGUUAUUUGUUUUAUUAGAUUUUAAAUAAUAUAUAUAUAUAUAUAUAUAUAUAUAUAUUAUAAAUAAAAUAUAUUAUAUUUUAUUGCAUAGUAUCCUUUCUAUUUUCCUAUAAAUAGGAUGCUUAGUUAGAAUUGAAAACACACCAGAAGUUUAGAGAAUUCUUCUUCUAUAAUCUUGAGCGUAUUUCUUUAAAGGUUAAGAAAGCUUUGAGCGUAGUGCAAGUUUUCUUCAAGUAUAUCCUCGCCCUACCCGUCGGAGUACUCUUCUUUAUAAGGUAAGGAAUAUUAUUUGUUGUACUCGUAAGGGGUAUUAUUUCUUUCGUCUUCAUGAAGAUAACUUUUGUUAUUCCAUUCUUUAUUAUUAUGUUGGAAUAACCUGUCUAUGCGAAGUACCCCAUACAUUGUGAAAUUCUUCUGUUAUUCCAUUCCUUAUUAUUCUGUUGGAAUAACCUGUAUAUGUAAAGUACCGCAUACAUGGUGAAAUUCUUCUGUUAUUCCAUUAUUUAUUAUUCUACUGGAAUAUCCUGUCUGUGCAUAUUACGCAUGACCUGGUUCCAUUAUUUAUUAUUUUGUUGGAAUAACCUGUCUGUGCGGUCUACCGCAUGCAUGGUGAAUUCUAUUGUUAUUCCAUUAUUUAUUAUUCUGUCGAAAUAUCAUUUCUGUGUGUUUACACAUGACCUGGUUCCAUUAUUUAUUAUUCUGCCGAAAUAUCUUGUCUGUGCGUUUACGCAUGACCUGGUUCCAUUAUUUAUUAUUCUGUUGGGAAUAACCUGUCUGUGCGAUCUAUCGCAUGCAUGGUGAAUUCUUCAGUUAUUCCAUCCUUUAUUAUUCUGUUGGAAUAACCUGUAUAUGUGAAUUACCACAUGCAUGGUUAAUGAUCAUUUGUAUUCAUUCCUUAUUAAAUUGUGGAAAUGAUCUGUUUACGUGGAUUAUGAUGAAAGUCAUAAUAUAAGCAUUGGACUGUUGAUUAUGAUGAAAGUCAUAAUAAAAAUAUUGGACUGAUGAAAAUCAUGGGUAUAUGUUGUAAUAGUAAGUGUUAUGAUGAGUUAUGUUGGUUAUUAUAUGAAAACAUGAAAGUUUCUUAGAAAUCACAAAGGGUUGAAAAUCAUAUUUUGUGAAAAUGGAAUAUGAAAUUCAAUUGACCAUAUCUCCUAUAAUAUUUCAAAUUUUUGAGUGUGGUCAAGUUGUAGAGUUAGAUCUAUGAGUUUUCUAACUUAUCCAAGUGGAAUCACUAGAAAAGGUGUUGUAAAUUUUUGUGUUAACUGAUUUUAGCAAAGGAGUCAAAAACUGCAAAGUACUAAAAAGCUACUGCCCAUAAAUUUAAAAGGGCAUUUUCGGCCACUUAAUUUGUGAGAAAAAUUAUGGUCUUUUGGGACAUGGAAAUAUAUGGUAUAAAGUACCUCCUGUCAAAAAAUGAGCUCAUUCCUACUUAAAAUGAGUAAGUUAUGACUGUUUCAAUAUUUAGGUUUUUUUGACGAAAAACGCUAUAACCGGAGUUCUAUAACUCCGAUGACCAUGAAAUUUAAACCGGAAGCUCACGUUAACAUGUGUAAGAUCCUGCCAAGAUUUGGGAAUUUCUAGAGUUAAACUUGAGGUAGCUAAUUUCUUAAGGAAUUAAUUAGAAAUUAAUUUUUGAAAAAUACUUAAGGGAGUUGAAAAAUUAUAAAAAAAUACUUUUUGUGUAUGAAAUAUAUGUAUAUAUGUUUGGACAAAGGAUAGAAAAAUAAUAAGUUAAUUUGGUAAUUUUUCAUGAAAAUGGUUUAGUUACAAACAUAUGAGUUAAAUAUGUUAUGUGAAGUUGAAGAAUUGGUAAAUAGGAUUUUAGGGCUUGAAAAUCCUAUAUAAGGUAUAUACAGAUUUUUGAUGAGUGAUUUGAUCAUUGAUGAUGAAAUCUUAUGAGUAUGACAUUUUUGAAUGAUUAAAUGCAUUAUUUGNNNNNNNNNNNNNNNNNNNNNNNNNNNNNNNNNNNNNNNNNNNNNNNNNNNNNNNNNNNNNNNNNNNNNNNNNNNNNNNNNNNNNNNNNNNNNNNNNNNNNNNNNNNNNNNNNNNNNNNNNNNNNNNNNNNNNNNNNNNNNNNNNNNNNNNNNNNNNNNNNNNNNNNNNNNNNNNNNNNNNNNNNNNNNNNNNNNNNNNNNNNNNNNNNNNNNNNNNNNNNNUUGAAGACUAAUGAUAAUUUAUUCUGCAUUAUCUUAGUCAUAAUAUUUCUUACUGGGCUAGUUGAGCUCACCCCUUUCUUUCACUGUUCUCUUCAGGAAAUGAGAACGUAGCUGGGACUAGUCGGGGAACGGAGUGACGGUCCAGAUAAUAGUAUUAGUAGUCCUCACUAUUCUGUUAAAUAGUGUGACAAUAAAUAUAUUGAGGACUCCUUUGAGUGUGGAUAUUGUUUAGAUGACAAUAUUCUUAUUAAAACUCUCAGUUUAUGUUUUGUCGUAUUUUACACGACUGUUAUAUAAUUAGUUUGUAUUUGUAUUCAGUACCUUGUAUCUGGCGACCUAAGAUGAGUGAUGUAUACCUAUUUUGGAGGCGUCACAAUUUAUAACAAACCAUUAAUUAUGGAUGAAUUUCCUAUAUAUAUAUAUAUAUAUAUAUAUAUAUAUAUAUAUAUAUAUAUAACAAAUACUUGCUAUAAUAUUAUUCGGAUAAAUACAUAUUUGACCGUUUAUAAGAAAAAUGUGUGGUUCAGGUUCAAAAAAUUAAAUGUCAUCUGCUACACACUAAUAGUAUAAAUGAAUUAAAAAAAAUAAAUUUGGAAUACCCAAUCUCUUGUGGGCGGUCAGAAAUUUAUUUAAUCGAAUAAUAUCAUAACACAUAUUCAUUAUGUUUUAAAAUUAAAGAUAUAAUUAUGAUUUUUGAAGUCAAAGGAUAACAUAUUAAAUUUUAAAAUUUUGUAUGACUCAUAAAAAUUUAGAAUGAAAUAAAUUUUGUGAUUAAUAAUUUUUGUUAUAUAUUAUUUAAUUAUAAUAAUUAUAUCAACUAAAAUUAAAUAAAUUUAUAUUAAUUUGAAGUUUAAUAUAUUAUCAGUUGAUCAAAAAUUAAAUUGAAUCUUUAAUUUUAAAAACAAAAAGAGUAUUUUAUUAUGAUGAUGUGUGUCCUCGUCAAACACUACUAUACAAUAAAAGUAAAAGGUCAAAAAGUUAAUUCUCAUUUUAGGACAGGAGUAUUAAGAAAAUCUCUAUCAACUUAAUUUUCAGAAAUAUUGGAGUUUUUUUGUGCAAUAAAUCUGAAAGUAAGGGACUGUGAGUGUAAUUAAAAAAUUCCUGCAAAAUAAGGAGAGAAUAGAAGGGGGAUGAUGGGGCUUUGUUGUACAAGGAAAAGCAUGAACGCACGUUAUUCCCACCUAAAUCACUUGGCAUUUUCCUCCCCCUCAAAACUAUUCUUUGUGUGAUCGGUGUCUGCGUGUGUCAACGUUAUAGAUAAUGUUAUUAUUAUUGUCGCCUAAUUUUGGAGCUUUUCCAAUUCAAACAUUAUCACUCUGUCCCUCCCCUUUCGUCAAGAUUGCUCUCGACUCUCUCUCUCUCUCACUCCGUAUAUAUAUACAUAUAUAUAUAUGAUUAAUUCAUGUUGAUUAUUAUUAGUAGCGGACGACGAAUUAUGUCUACUAUUAUUAGUAGCGGACAACAACAGAUAUAAUGGGUGUCGUCCGCUACUAAUAAUAGCGGACGUGGUUGAAAAAAAUAAUAUUAUUGUCCGCUACUAUUAGUAGCGGACAUAAUAGUAGCAAACAUAACAUGUCGUCUUCUAUUAAUACUAUCGUCGUCCAUUGCUAAUAGUAUCAGACAUGAAUUUUUCAGUUAUAAUUUCGGUUGUUGAUUUCUAUAUUGAAGGAUAGAAAUAUAGAAAUUACAUUUAUAAAUUUAAAAUGGAGGGGCUAUAUUUAGAAGCCUUGACGUUAGUUUAGGUUGGCAAUAAAGUGGAUUCGACUUGGUACCUUUUCCCCCU